AUCUUCUUCCUAUUGUGCUUAUUAAUAUAUAAUAAACAAAAAUUUUGAUAUUUCGGAAAAAAACACAACAAAUAUUUUGCAGAUUUCAGUCAUUGGAAUUUAUGUAUUCCUCUAUGGUCAGCUAUACUUGGUUCUUAGUGGACUGCAAAAAGCACUCAUGAUUGAGGCUAAAAUGAGGAACAUACAAUCAUUAGAAGCUGCCCUCGCCUCUCAAUCAUUUAUCCAGCUUGGGCUUUUAACAGGCUUACCAAUGGUAAUGGAGAUUGGCUUGGAGAAAGGAUUCCUCAAUGCCCUUAAAGAUUUUGUCCUCAUGCAAUUGCAGCUUGCUGCUCUUUUCUUCACUUUCUCGCUCGGUUCAAAAACUCAUUAUUAUGGUCGAACAAUUUUGCAUGGGGGAGCUAAGUAUAGACCUACUGGACGUAAGGUCGUGGUGUUUCAUGCCAGCUUCACUGAGAAUUACAGAUUAUAUUCACGAAGUCACUUUGUUAAAGGAUUUGAACUAUUACUUCUGUUGAUUGUCUAUGAUUUAUUCAGGCGGUCAUAUCAGAGCAACAUGGCAUAUGUGUUUAUCACUUACUCCAUUUGGUUCAUGUCAAUCACUUGGCUGUUUGCACCAUUUUUGUUUAAUCCUUCUGGAUUUAGUUGGGGUAAGAUAGUAGAUGACUGGAAAGACUGGAAUAAGUGGAUCAGGGUGCAAGGUGGCAUAGGCAUUCCACAGGAUAAAAGUUGGCAUUCUUGGUGGAUUGACGAGCAAGCCCAUCUGCAUCGUUCAGGGUUGGGUGCUAGGUUGUUUGAGAUUCUUCUUUCUCUUCGAUUUUUUAUCUAUCAGUAUGGUUUGGUCUAUCACCUAGACAUCUCCCAGCAGAGCAAAAAUUUUCUGGUUUAUGUGCUUUCAUGGAUUGUGAUUCUUGCGGUUUUCCUCACAGUCAAGGUAAAAUUGUUCCACUUCGAAUGAAAUUUCAUUAAGGUUCAAUGUAGAUCUAAGUAGUUGUUGCAUAUUGUAAGCUCAGUCUUUGUAAGUCACUUGAUUAAGAAGCAUUACUUUAGUUGUGAUCUACUCGUUACGCUAACUCGAUCUGAAACAUGAUGUGCAGGCAGUGAACAUGGGAAGACAACAAUUCAGUGUCAAUUACCACCUUGUGUUUAGGUUCAUCAAAGCGUUCCUCUUCCUUGGUAUUCUAUCUACAAUAAUUUCACUUUCUGUCAUCUGUCAACUAUCUUUCAAGGACAUAAUCGUGUGUUGUCUAGCAUUUUUGCCAACGGGAUGGGGUCUAAUAUUGGUAAGGGUUAAAAACAUUCUCGUUCUUUAUUCUUAAACAAUUUUACUCUGUUCUAUCUAUAUUUUGUUUCAUAAACAUUUCGGUUUCUUCAGAUUGCGCAAGCUGUGAGGCCAAAGAUAGAGAAUACAGGAUUAUGGGACUUCGUAAAGGUUCUUGCUAAAGCGUACGACUAUGGAAUGGGGGUCGUUCUUUUUACGCCCAUAGCUGUUCUGGCUUGGCUCCCCAUCAUAUCAGCCUUCCAGACUCGCUUCCUUUUCAAUGAGGCCUUCAAUAGGCAUUUGCAAAUUCAACCAAUUCUUGCCGGGAAGAAAAAGCACAGAUAAUUUUUUGCAGCAGAGUGGCAAGUACUUGUUUAUAACAGUAUUAGAGUUGAGUACAUUAGUAGGUAUAUUUUCAAUACAUGUCAAUAAUUUAGUGUAUAGCUGCAAUUCAAGUAAGAUUAUAUAAAAUAGGAAUAGAAGUUCAACAGCGAAUAUUCAAUUACCUAUUUUAGAGGAUAGAAACUGAACCCAUGUCAUUCAUUUAUCAAUGAGUUCUUAAUAUUCUGAUAAAGCAAUUGUCUUGUAUGUCAUCUCUCCGGCUUUGUUUUAUCACAUAACUUUCUUUUCUCCAAGCUAAGUGGAUUAUUAAAAAUAGGGAAGUAACAUCACUGUGAGUCUGUGACUGACCGAAAUUUUAUGGAGACUUUUUUUUUUGUCCAAAUUACAUGAAUCUCUAUUUUAAUAAUUAUAUUCAUAUAAAAUAAAAUUGAGUUACUUUAAUCAAAGGAUAUACAAUUAUCUUAAAAUGAAGAAGUGAUAUGGUGAGCGAUAAACGAUGAUACUCAACUAAUAAAACUUCUCCUAAAAUAAAUUCAUGUGCUCACUUUUAAAUACAAUUAAUCUCAUUACUAAUAAUAAGUAGCAAUAAAAACCCACUCGAGCAACAAAGCUUGUGAGAAGCGCAUUUUAUUGCUGCUUGUGAGCAGAAAAGAGAACUACAAACCCAUUGACACACUCAUCGUUUUCAUUUGCUUCUGGCCACAAAAUAUGAUCUUACGUUCACAUUUUGCUCGUAACCAUCGCCAAUCAAUCAUUCAAUCUCUUUCUUCUGCUUCAACAAUCACUCGUAAAAGAACUUUCGCACUCGCUUCUCCUUCAGCUUCGCAUCAAGAUUCUGAUCACCACGCCUACAAACUGAAUCACAAAGACUGGCUCUCACCAACCGAAGUCUUGAAAAUCUUUUCAAAUCUCAGAGACCCCAUUUCAGUAAUUUCAGUUUUGAAUCAAUACUCCAAGAGAAAAGACUACAAUCCGAAUGAAGCUCUUUACACUCUUAUCAUCAACAAGCUUGCUCAAGCCAAACGCUUCGAUGCCAUUGAAGACAUAAUGCAAAGAAUAAAAGUUGAAAAACUGUGUCGUUUUUCAGAUGGAUUUUUUUAUAAUGUGAUCAAAAUUUAUGGAAAUAUGGCUGGGAGAAUUAGCAAAGCAAUUGAGACCCUUUUUGAUAUGCCAAGUUAUAAUUGUUGGCCGAGUGUCAAAACGUUCAAUUUGGUGCUCAAUUUGCUUGUUUCGGCCAAACUGUUUGGUGAGAUACAGGGGAUUUACACUAGUGCUGCUAAGCUUGGAGUUGAGAUUGAUGCUUGUUGUCUUAACAUUCUUCUUAAAGGGUUGUGUGAAAAUGGGAAUUUGGAGGCUGCAUUCUACGUGCUCGAUGAAUUUCCUAAACAAAAUUGUGAGCCCAAUGUGAGGACGUAUUCGACGUUGAUGCAUGGUUUGUGUGAGAAGGGAAAUGUGGAGGAAGCAUUUGGGUUGCUUGAGAGGAUGGAAAGUGAGGGAAUUGAUGCUGAUACGGUAACGUUUAAUAUAUUGAUUUCGGGCCUUAGGAAGCAAGGCAAGGUUGAGGAGGGAAUGAAGCUUUUGGAGAGGAUGAAGGGUAAAGGGUGUUAUCCAAAUUCAGCGUCUUAUCAAGAGGUUUUGUAUGGUUUGCUUGAUAAGAAGAGGUUUCCUGAGGCGAAAGAGCUUGUAGGUAGGAUGAUUUGUGAACGUAUGAGUCCUAGUUUUGUGUCCUACAAGAAGUUGAUUCAUGGACUUUGUAAUCAGAAGCUGGUUGAGGAUGUGGAUUGGGUAUUGAAGACGAUGGUGCAACAAGGUUUUGUUCCGAGGAUGGGGAUGUGGAGGGAGAUCGUUGGAUGUGUUACUUUUGGGAAAGACAAUCGUAACCGUGUUUACGUCACAGAAACUGUUGAUAGCUUGGCCAGUUGAGGUUGAUCCAUGAAUGGGAAAAUUAUGUCUUGCUCUGUUGGCCUGUAGAUGGGUAUGCUUCAAGGGGUUUAGAACUGAUCGUCGGACAUAAAAUGGAGGGCGAUGAAGAUGCCUUUGGCUUAAACCAUCAUAAAGAUUUUGAUGAAUUGGUUUGAUCAUGGUCUUCAAUUUGACACCACCAUGCCUGGACCUUUCAAUUGUCUGAGAUUAAUGUCAACUGCUGUACCACUCUCAAAGGAAAAAGAUGUGGAUGCCUAUAUACUCUCUUUUUGUCCAGCCACAUAUGUAUCUCUAAACUUCAGCAGCAAAUUGGCGAUGCUGUAGAAUUAAGUUCUCAGACUCAGAAUCGAUUGUAAUUGUUCGACCUCAAGCUUUAUGCAAAAUUUCCAAAAACAGAAGAGUUGAAAAUUUGCAUUGAAGUGGUUUCUGUAAUAUGCUAUACAUGUGCUAACAAGUAAUACAAACAUACCAACCAAAUGAAAAUGCAAUAUCUAAAAAGCAGUUUCUGACAUUCUAUUUGGAUGCGAUACAAUCUAAUCAAAAAAUGCGCAAAACUUAAACGUUCAUUUCGUAAUUCACACCUAUUUUGCAAUGGUAAAAUUACUAUGAGACAUCAGUUUCAGCUCCUCGGUUUAUAUCCUCUGCCCCCUUCAGAUCCCCUUCAGAAAGCUCAGGUUUUAUGAACUCGAUCUGCCCAUCAUCAACCCCCUCAGUUUUGUUCACCUCAUCAUCAUCUUUCUUUUCUUCACUAUCAGCACUCACUUUAUCUGUUUGGCCUAAUAUGUCUGCUUCAGGAUCACUUGAACUUGUCCGCGUGAUCUGUUCCUUGGUAUCACAGUUGUCAUCUCUAGUGGAGCAGGAGCUCAUGGGAAUGGGAAAAUCAGGAAUCCUUUCAAGUCUAGAGGAUGGAAGAGAUUCAUCAUCAGAGGAAUCAGAAUCAACAUAAAGUUCUCGUUCUGUCACCGGUGAUGUACCUCCUCGACGCUUUGUUGAAUCUUUCCGAGAGAAGGCAUGUUUUAUGCUGCGAGCAUGUUUCUCAGCAUGUUUCAUGAUGCUCUUUGCCAUACCUUUCACAUGUCCCCUGCUAGGACUUUCUGGACCACUUUCGUCCGAACUCACAUUUAUAUCUUUUGUAGCCUUAACAGGAAUAGACCCUGAAAGGCUGUCUUCCACUAUGAACUUCACACCAACGUCCUUUGUAUUGACUGCUCUAAGGUUGACACGUGGAGAAGGAACAGCCUCUCCAAUGCUUCCUGCAUGAUCUUCCUUUCUAGAAUUCCUCUGAAACAUAGAACCAAUCUUCCGUAGGCCCCGUCUUAUUGAAUUUUUUCCCUCCUGAUUAUCAUCAGUGCUGCUGCUGUCAUUGUUCAAGGAUCCAGAUGCGGCAGAAUUGGUACUGUUAAAGGAACCAUUAGGCACUCUGCGGACCAGGGUAUCCAAGCGCCUGUUCUUACCCUUUCUAGGCUCCCAUGUCUGAGCUACUUCACUUCCUGGUUGAUGGACCCAUAUCCCAGUCUCUUGUUGCCCCUCAAUGUUGAUGGGUUCAAAAUUAUCUACCACCUUUGGUGACUUCUCUGACGAUACAGACGAAAAGGAACCCUUGUCAGUAGUUUCAUUCGCAAAGGAUUCCUGUAUAUCUUUCUUGUUGCUUUGAUCCUCCUUGUUUCCCAUACCUUCCUUGUUUAAUGUUCCCCCGUCACAUGGACUAUCAACCCCCUGCUGAAAUUAUGCCAACAGUUCACAUGAAACUUUACUGCUUACCUCGGCAGAAGUGUUUCAUCACAAUUUAAAACAAUAUGUCAAACUGUUAUAUUUUUACUAGUCACUGAAAGCUGAUACAACAGACCUUUGCACUCUCUUCAAGAACUGUUAUUGCGAGAUGCAGCCUGCCUAUUUUAAUGUUCUGAAGAGGUAUCCACAUGUCGUGUCUCUGGCCAUCCCUAAGAUCACUGAUAUUUAUGGUACAAUCACUGUGAAUAACAGAAAAUUAAGUCAAAUAUAGCAAUUGCAGAACAAGCUUUCAUUAGAUCAUGAAAAAUUAGAAUUAAAGAUUGGUAACUAAGCAAGAAAAAUUAAGAAAAAUGAAGGCAGGGGGAAAAACAAAGAAAAUGACUGCCAGAACAAAAGUGCAAGUCAUACCAUAGAAUCUUAUUUUAUAAAUCCCUAUUCAAAAUAUUUUUAGUAAUUCUAAAGGGCAUGCACCAGUAACUUACUAUAAAUGUAAACAAGAAAACUUUUAAAUAAUGACGGCCCGGUAUCCUUACAGCCAAUAUAAAAAGAGAAGUCAAACACUUUUAAGUUCUUUAAGACUACCUCAAGGAACUUCAGGGAAAGCAUCAAAUUCUUCCAAAGGGCAAAAGUAAGAGAGGCAUCAACAUUUCCACCCUUUUCUCUGUACUACACUAUGCUUUAACAAUAUUUCUUCUCAUUGCAAAAUAAAUAUGCAUCAUACUGAUAUCCAAAUUUUGUUAUCUGACUGCCUGUUAUUUGGGGAAUAAUGGCUCCAAAGAAAGAAGCUGUAUAAGCUAAACCAAAUGCGCAUAAAAUCUUAGUAAUUUGGCAUUUAUCGCAUGAAAACCAUAAAUUAAGUGCCGCAAUAGUAGAAUCUCUUAUAGAUGUUUUAUUUGAUUGUUUAUUGUUCUUAUUGAAAAAUGAAAAAAAUGUGAUAGGAAGAUACCUGAAAACCUCAAUGUACAUAAUUAUGAACAAUCAAAAGAAAAAAACAAAACUGCAUUGCCUUUUUUAUAGCAUUAAGUGCAAAGGUUUGCCCCUUAGUACACGAUGUUAUAUAGCAAGGUUUAGAAUAAUACCCAAGAGUAUCAUCAACGAAAUGGUCCUUAUCACGAACUUCAAUAACUAGCACAUUAGGAGAGUCCCAAGUACUUAUGGGAAUAUUAAAUUCCUCAUGCCAUUUUGGAGACAGUGUUUUCCUCUGUGUUUUUGUCCUGAAUCUGUAAGGGCCAAGUUGCCCCUUCACAUAUGGAUCAGCCAGACCUGAAAAUUUCAACCAGUCAUCGCAAAGAAAGAUUUGGAAUACUCUGUGACGGAACAAUGACAAAAAAAUAGUUUUUAACCAAACCAUUUAAAUCCGAUGGUUUCAUGUCAGAUGCUUCAACAACUUCAACUCUGGCAUAUGCAACUGGUUCCUUCACAUCAACAGAGAACCAAUUUCCUGACAAGAAUAUAAUUAAGGGAAUGAAUUUAACAUAUCAAUAGGGGGGAAAGAAAAGAAACUACAGCAUCCCGAACUAUGGCUAGCAAUACAGCAAUGAUCUUCAUAUUGACAUCUGUCUUCAGGUACAAUAUCCAGAUCCAUAUCCACAUCAUAAAGUGAUAUUGAAUAAAACAAAGUUAUUGUUCAUUUGGUUCUGGUAGUACAGCAAUGAUUAAAAUCUCAUAACUUAUGCCUGCAUUUUUUCACCCAACUUCCAUGAAAUAAUCUACUUAAGCUGAUAAACAAUAUACUCGCAUGUGCCCUUCCCACAUGCCAUAGCAAUCCACAUACCAUAUAAAGCAACCAUUUUUCUUUCCCAAAGCUUUUCAGUAGCUUAUUCAUUUUCAUUUAACCACAAGUAAUAUUUCUCAUAACUAUCAUAAGUUCACUUGAGCAUCUCUGUAUCUUACUUAAUACCUAGAGACGGUAAGAAGCCUGAUGGUUUUCUAAAUCUACCUUCCCUUCUAGACCUUACUACUCCGGCUCUUUCCUGGAUCUUAAAAAACGAGUGCAACCCUCUUGUACACUAAAAGAUCCCCUUAUUAAACCCGUAUCUCCACCAACCAAGUUACCUAUUCCAGCCUACAGAUUACCUACCAGUCAACUCCAAAAUUAUGAAGGAACCAUAUUCUACACCAAUGAAUAAUGAUAAACAGAAAAAAUUAUUAACUACUAUCAAAAGUUAUAAACCACAAAUUCGAAACACACUGCAGAAUCCCAGAAGAUUUAGGCUGUGAAUUACCUGGCUGUGGUGAAGCAAAUUUAUCCACAUCAACAACCAGCAUAUUGGGCUGUAAAAAAGAUCAAAUAUUAAGCCAAAACUCAAACCAAAAGAAACAUUGUUGGAUUUGAGAAUCUACAACUUCAUCCCAAAGUCGCGACACUGAUUUUUAGGUUAAAAAAGAAGAAGAAACUAACUACUACAUGUUUGUGAAAUUUAAGCAGCAAAUGAAACUAAAUGAAAGGACAGCUGCUAGUUUGAAGGGAGUAAGGAUAAAGAACUAACCUCCACAAGUGUCUGCUCAAAUGCUAUGGACAGGAGCUUGUCCUAGGAAAAGAAAAGAGAAAACACAUUGGACUUUACAGAAGGAGAGAGAUAUCAAACAAUUGAAAGUCAAUAAUUUAUUUUUGUGUUCCUGUAUUAAACUUACCAGCCAUCCAGCAAUUCCCGGAAAUUCUGUAACAUCAAGCCCGUGAGUGAAGAUAGGUUUCACAGUCAUCUGGAAAUAUGGCGGUUCAGCAAAGCAUACCCUCAACCGGUCAAUGAAAGGCCAUCUCCGAAGAAACUUCACUCCAACCAGAACCUAGAAGAAAAUAAAAGCGUAGCUUAAAGUCAAACAAUUUCACCCCAUAUUUCUUCGAAUAAAAUAAAACACAAAAAAAAACACCAUGCCAUUUAAAUCACCCAACAAAUAUUAGUAUUGCAAGAAUUUGAACUGAUUCGUCAUAUUCAAUCAACCGACAUUUAUCUUAAAGACAGCCUAAAAUAUACUUUAAUACAAGAAUCACAUAUACUGCCCGAACCUUCCCCUCAACAUGCAUGCCAGUCACAUGCAUCUUGGCCCACAUUCCAAAUCCCAGUCUUUUCCUUAAUUUCACAGCAAGUAUUGCACUCAUAUCAUCUGCUGUGAGAAAGUUCAUUCCCAACUCUAAUACCUGCAAUUAUCACAUAUUAAAAUCUCCUUGGAAACAAUAACAAAAUACAUUGUAGAGCCACCACGCUAUAAGAGAAGAUACAACAUGCCAGAUCAGGGUUCAGUGACACAUACCAUGUGGUCAUCAUCAUUGGAUUGGCGAAGAACUCUCAUUUCUGUAAGCAUUGGGGGGUUUCUACCCAGGUACAGAUGCUGAACCAAAGCUUUCUUCUGCAAAUAUAUCAUUGCCAAUACAGUCAUUAGCAGACCAAAAUAUAACGCCAGAGAAAAGCUAUAAGCUUUUGGCACUGAAAAUGGAUACUAUCUAACUGAAGUAAUCAUGUUUGCUAACCUCAACUAACAUUGAAAUAUAAAACUAGUGAAUUCUCAUAAUUCUGUUACCCGUCCUAGAGAGAAAAGGAAUUUUAUAAAGUCAGUUCCAAAAGUAAAUAGUGUCAUACUGCAGUCCAUGGUUUGUACUUCUCCAAAAACCAUGGUAUAAUGGGGAGAAGUAACUUCUGUGAAGCAAUUUGUUCCAUGCAUAUGGGCCACAUCUUUUCAAUAGCAUGAUUCAACCAUCUUACCGUUUCAGAAUCUUUAAGCACCUGAAAAUAAAGAGAAAACAUUAUCAUUUACUCCAAGAAUCAAGAUCAACAUCAAUGCAUCCAGUUUAGUUUUCAUUUAUAUAUUAAACAAAUGUAGCAUAAAGUUAAUAACAAAAAGCUGAAAGCAUAGGCACCUUUACUCUUUGAAAGUGAAAGAAGAAAAACUUUAUCUUUUGAUCCUUUUUCACUUUGUCUUAGUGGAUCAACCAAAACACAUACUAACUUUCCACUGAACCCAGAAAAUAUAAUUUGAUUUUGAGUUUUGAAGACUAAGGCUAACUUCAUACUUAAAGGAAUCAAUACAAAACCUUUUCAUUUUACAAAAUUUCCAUAGAUUCACACUAAAUCUAAAUUAAAAUACCCAUUAAAAUGAAUAAUCAAAAAUAAAAAAAAAAAUCAACAACCAAGAAUCUUACCAUAUCAAAAGUAGAAUAUUAAGAAAUAUAGAAAUAGAAAAAUACCCUUCUUUGAAAAGAAUUCUUUCUCUCCUCGAACUCCACUUUCCUCCUCAAUCUCAUGACGUAUCGAUCAUGAACCUUUCACCAAAAAAUUAAUUAAAAACACAAAUUAACCCACUGAUCAUUCAAAUCACAAUUAAAAACAAACAAAUUAACAUUAAAUUUUAAAAUACAUACCGAGUACAGAUAGAUUAGAGAGAUGAAAUAAGCAGCUGGGUGGCAACGAUCGAAGUAAGAAAGCAACCAAAGCAAAAACAAAACAAUGCCCACAUGGUGCAUUAUUGAUAUCUCCAUCAAACUCAUCUUUUUUGUUCUUUGCUUUUAUCAACAAAUAUUUCUCCCUUCGUUCUUCACGUGACCUAAUUCAAGAAUCACAAGAAAAUUGAAGGAAAAAAAUAAAAUAAACUCCUGAAAUAAAUAUUGAAUUUUGGGUAUUGGGUGGCGGCAGUUUUCAGAGUUACUACUACUAACACAACAUGCUGUGUUUUGUUUGUAAUUAUUUCUUUACGAGAAGAACAGGGAGCGGUUAAUGAACAAAGGUAAAUUAUUUAUAGGAUGAGAUUAUUUGUUUUUUUUUUCCGGUGAAGUAACGGUACCGUAAUAUGGAAGCAAGCGGCCGUAUUUAAACUAAUUAAUUAAUUAGUAUCUGUUUUUUCAGAUUUGGUUCGACUGGCUUUGUUCUGAAAGCACAUGAAAAGUAGUCAGUUUGAUGUUCGUGCGCUUUGACUGCUUGUUCUCCGACACGUGUCCUUUACGUGUCUCAUUGUGGGGCCUUGUGUACUAAGAAAUAUAUAAGAUCCCUACAGAUAAAAUUAUGUAAUAAUCGUUAUUUAAAAAAUAAAUAAACAUUAUGUAAACUGUUAUUUUUUAUAAAGGUUCACUACGUUAGAGUUCAUUUAUAGUGGAGUACGAAUUUCAGUCAUACACGUAAAGUGAUAAAUAAUAAAUAAUAAAUUAUAAUGAAUUUUUUAUGAUUUAUUAUUUUUCGUGUGUGACUAGGAUUCGUAUUCCACCGUAAGUGAACUCUAAUAUAACCAUAGUCUUUUUAUAAAUAUAAAAUUUUAUAACUUAAAAAAUAUAUAUAAAGAAAUAUCAUUAUGUAAAUUGUUAUGACUAUGAACAGAUUAUGAAUAUGAUUAUGUGCAUACCGAACAAGUUUUUUAUAAUUAUUUUUGAAAUUCUAAAUAUGGAUUUAAAAAAAACGUGUUAAUAUCUAAAAAUUAUACAAUUUGAGGACUUUAAUUAAGUGUCGAAAUAAUUAUUUGGGUAUUGGGACAAUCAUGCCCACACGUUCACUUUCUCGAUUUGUGCUCUUCUCACAUGUCUAGUGGAUUAAAAUAUGCGAUCAAGUGUUUUGAAAUUUAGACAAUUAUGAGAAUUUGAAAGAUCAAAAUUACUAAAAACGUUGUACAAUUAAUUGGUUAGAUACUAUUAUGCAAAGGAUUUUUUUAAAACAUUAAAUUGAUUUUUUUGGUCAAAAUUAUUUUGGGUGUUGCUUUCCCUUUCAAAGAUCAAUGCGACAAUGACCGAAAACUAAAAGAAGCUUUAACGGUUACCACUUACCAUCCAAUCCAUCCACGUUAAUAAAUUAUUUAGUUAUUGUAUUCUAAUUGGACACAGAAAUAUAAUUACAGUCGGUUUUUCUCUUUUUCUUUUUCUUUUUUUGAACAGAUUUUUUUUUAAUUAGGAAAAAGAUUUUUAUUAUAUGUAUACAUAUGAAAAAGAGAAAGAAAUGACUUUAAUGACCUGUAUGUAACUAUUAAAGAGAUUGUUAAUUUCUACCGAACUAUAAUUAAUGUAUAGCACUUGUUCCUUUACUAUUUUAAUAAUAACCAAUAACCACUGGCACCAUAAUUUUAUAGUAUUGUUCUUAUUUUUAAAUAUACUUUUAUUCAUAUUUAUUAUUAAUUAAAUAAACCAUAUAAAUAGAAAUAACUAAAAUGAAAUAAUUUAACUACUACAAGUAGGACACAUAGGUUUCAAUGUGAAUACAAAAUUUAUAAUAAAGUACUUUUUAUAUUCCUAAAAUAAAAUAAAAUAAGCAAAUGACCAUUUAUCCCUCAUUUCUUUUGAAAUUUUUUGUAACGGAGAAGUUAUCAACUAUUAUGAAAAUAACAAGUAAUUAGUGGUAUAUAUAAUAUUUCAGUAGAGUGAUACUGGCAAUCUUUCUAACUACUAUAAAAAAUAAAACGACUGGGCUUGCAUUUAAAAUAAGAUAUAGUAAUCAGACAAAACAAUUUGGAAUGAGAUAAUUAAAUGCAUACAAUUAAUUAAAAAAAAAAAGGCAAACCUUAGUUUGUAUAUUCUAAUAUAUUCAUAAGAUAAUUUAGAUUUUUUAAUUCAUAUUAUUUUUUAAAUAAUAUACAACAAUCUAAGGUACAACACCUUGAUGCUUAAAAAGUGAACACUCUAAAUUCUUAGUUACACCUUUAAAUUUGGGAAAUUAUUUCGGCACUACCUUUUUUUUUGUCAUAUGUAUAUCUAACCACCAUAAAAUUUUAACAUGUACUUUGCACCACCUUUGUUUUUAAGUUUGUAUCAAUCAACUAUUUUGACACUAAAAGUGAUCAUUUUAUCCCUAAAUGAAUUAAAAGACUAUUUUAUCCUAUUAAAUUUUGAAAAAAAAACUAUAAUUAUAAGGAUACCCCUAAAUUCAAUAAAAUAAAUAAAUCUCAAAAUCUAAGAUGAUAAUUUUUAAAUGAAAUUAUAAUUAUGAAAAAGUAACGUCUUGUAAGUAUAUUUAUUUGUAUUAUUUUUUUGUAAUUAAAUUAUAUAUUUAAUAAUAUAAUUAUAAUUUUAUUUAAUUUUUGUAAUUAAAUUAAGUAUAAGGAAGUUUACAAAAAUUAACAUGAAGAGAAAAGCUCCGUAUAAUUAUUGUAAACUUUCCUAUAAUUAAUAUUAAGAAACUUCCCCAUACAAAUAAAAUGAAAUUAUGAUUAUAAAAAAUUGGUAUGAUAAUUUUUAAAUGAAAUUAUAAUUAUAAAAAAUUAACAUAUUAGAUUUUAAAUUUAAUUUUUUUUAUUAAACUCAGGGAUAUUCUUAUAAUUCUAAUUUUUUUCAUUUUUUAAAAUUUUGUAAAAUAAAAUGGUCUUUUAAUUCAUUUAGAGGUAAAAUUGUUAUUUUUUAAUAUCAAAGUAGUUGAUUGAUACAAACUUUAAAAUAAAGCUAGUGUAAAGUACAUAUCAAAAUUUUGUGUUGGUUACAUAUGACAAAAAAAAAGGUGGUGCCGAGAUAAUUUUGCUUUCAAUUUUCAUUAAGCCGAAUUUCUAUAUGUUGUAUGUAAUACUAUAUAUAUUUUCAGAGAGUAGCUAUGCUCGGGUCAUUCUCAACUAUAUGUCUCAAAAUGAUGUCGUGCUUUAAGUAAUUAAGCAUCUUAGAUUUUCUCUCGGCUAUCUUAUUUCUGAUCCGUUGAUUUCAAAGUGAAUAUUACUUUUGUUUAGAUUUUAUAUUCUACAUAAAAUCCUGUAGAUCUCUUUCCCCCUUCUCUAUCGCCCGAGAGUGAUUCCAAAGCCUUCUUCAAGCUUUUCCCAUUUUGUCAACUAGCGGGAAACUCCACCGAAGCCCUCUCUCGGUGGAUUUUUUUUACUCUCUCUUUUCUUUGCCUUUAUCUUAGGUUUUGAAAAAAAAUUCUCUCUCCUUUCAUUCUACGCAGAUAUUUAUUUUGGCUUUUUUUUUCCCCUUGAUUCUGAAGCUUUUAGUCUUCAUAUUUUGAAAAUUCUAGCACGUUGGAGGUCAAUUCAUACAGAUUUGUUAUUUUAUCAAUUGAAAAAAUUGUCACGAGCAGUAGAGAGAUAUUCUGAACGAGCUUAAAAGUUUCGAGCACAUUGUAAAAGAAGAAUCUCAAAAGUGCACAAUUCUCUCGAACUUCAAUAAAUAUAUAUAUUCCUAUGAUUUUCUCAAUUGAUUACGUUACCAAAUUAGUGUUUUUUUUCGAUCGUGUUAUUACUUUAUUGUAAAUAGGGAUUAUCACAAUGUUGAGUUGUGUCUCACAUUGAUUAAAAAAUAAGAGAUACUUGAGUUCAUAAGGUGGUAGGUCAUUCUACUUAAAAAGUUAGUAUUUUAGGUUGAAUAUCUAGAAAUCUUCUACUAAGUUCCUCGAACAAGUGAUAUCAGAGCUAGACACUAAUAACUGAAAUGUGGUGGUAAAACAACUCAGGUGUGUCAGACGAAAAAACCGGAGUCCGAUGGUGGUUUCGUCUGAGGGAGAGAUUGUUGAGUUGUAUCCCACAUUAACUUAAAAAUAUAUAUAUUUAAGUUUACAAGGUGAUAAGUCACUCCACCUAAAAAGUUAAUCUUUUAACUUAAAUAAUUAGAAAUCUCAUGGUAAAUCCACACAAUAUUUUAGUUUCUGUUUUAUAUUUUGGAUAUGUAUUUUUAAUUAUGUUUGUAUCUCCACCGUUAGUGGCUUUAAUAAAUGACAUGCUGCCCAUUUCAAAAAAAAAAAAGGAAUCUACAUUUUCAAAGUUGACGUCAUAAUUAAUAUAUAAGUGAAAAAGGGCACCACGUGGCCAAGUCAAGUAAGAUGUCACUAUACAAUUAAAUUCUUUUAUGGCAAAUUAUCAAAUCUACAUGGAUUUUGCGUUUAUAAGCCGCGUCGGCAAGCUAGCUUCAAUCAUUUGCAUCCGCGUUUACGUUUUUGUUGUGUGUGUCCACUUAUUCGGCGACACAUCAUCCAAACGGCAGAGUUUAUCGACUUUGCAGGCCAGUUUCACAUUCUGAAUUUCCGUCGUCGUUUUCAUGAUGGCCAUUGUCAAAUUCUAUAUAUAUAAUUAUUCCCCUUUUUUUCCUUUUCAAUGGGACCAAGUACCAGCAGGUGUUUAAAUAUUAUUUGAAUUAUGGGGUUCGGUAUCUAAGUAUCUAAUUCACUGUUUAUGAUAAUAUCCAAUUUUUAAAAAAAAUUAAAUUUUCAUUACCAUCCAAAUAUAUAAAUACAGCAGUAAGUAGAACAAAACCACAUUUAAGUCAUGUACGUAAAUACGUAAUGAGAUGUCAUGCAUACGUACUUUCACUCAGUAUAUGCAGUAUGCACAACAGAUUUGUGCUCCACUUAAGUUUUCUCUCCAAUCUUUCAUAUUAAUAAUUAAUGAGAUUUGUUUGGUAUAAGUUCGAGUCUUAACUGUUUGGUUUCUCAUUUUCUCUCAAAAUUAUACAAUUAAGUAUGGAUUUUUUUUUUUUUAUAAAAAUAGGUAGAGUAGAUAUAUCUUUUCAAUAGUAGUAAGAUAAAUAUAUCUUAAAUAUAGGAAUAUGAAUCUGAUUUUGAAUUAUAAAAGAAUUUAUUUAGAUUAGUUUCAUUAGAUUUUUUUAAUUAUAAAUAUCAAUAAACUUCUGAUGGCAACAUAUUAGUAAUAAAAAAUAAUGAGAUAUGCUUCUAUGUUCGUUUUCACACCAUCAUCUUUCCCUUUCGUUCCCAAAAUAAUUAAAUUAUCUCAUAAUUGUUGACUAGUUUUUGAUAAACAAAACCGUCAAAAUGUUAGGUUGAUAUGCGGAUAUGGUGUUACGUUAAUUAUCCAAUUACUUAGGAAUAGUCAAUAAAUGAUGCCAUGCUAGGUUUGAUUACACUUUGCACAUAUGAAAAAAGACACAAGAUAACGCACAUCUACUGGCAAGUCCAGGAGGCCCCAUAUAUUUGGGCUUCUAAAUUAGGGAGCAUAGGGCUUGGUAUGCAGAGAACAAACCAUUUCUUUGGUAACAUCUUGUCUACAGCAAUGACAAAUAGCUCAACCCUAAAAUCAGGGUAACGAGUAAAUUUAAGGGGCAAAUAUUUACAGACCAGAUGAUAUUUUACAUUUGAUUAAAAAUAAACUGAAACUUUUAUUUUUCAAUUGUCUACUUAAGUUUUAUAAAGUGGAUCAAUGCUCCACUGACAUCUUAAAAUUAUGACAUCCUUUAUCGGAUUAUAUUAUAUGGCAAGUCCAGGACACUGAAUUAAGUUGAUUAGAUUAAGUUGAAUUAUAUUAGAUGGUCUCAUGUUUGGUCCAGUACCGGAUUAGAUUAUAUUAAAUUAUAUUUAGAUAAUAUUAAAUAGCAUUUAAGUUGAUGUUUAAAUAUAAAUAUCAAUUACUCAUGAAAUUUUAUAAUCAUAAUUAAAUAAAUUUAACAAGUAAGUAAUAAGAAAAUUAAAUAUUUUGCAAAUAAGUUAUUUGGUAGUCAUAAUAUAAUAAUCAAAUAAAAACACACAAAACAAUCUAAAUAUUGAAUUAAUUUUUAUCAAAUAUUUAGAAAUAUUAUAUCAAAUCAAUUAAUUAAUGGUAUUAUUAAUUUUCAUGAUUAUUUUUAAUAUUAUAUUAGUGAUUAUUAAAUUUAGUGCAAUCCAAUAAUGCAGUAAAUUAUUAAAAUGGUUAAUUUUAUUGAUAAAUUAUUAAAUAUACAAGUAAUGAAAAUAUAAUCUCAAGAGUUAGUAGAAAUAAAAGUACCAAUUUAAUUGGAUCAUAGAUAGCAAAUAAAAAUAAAUUUUAAGUAAAUCAAAAAUAAAAAUUAUUUGAUUAAAUUAGGUAUAAAUAAAAAAUUAUAUAAAUAAAAGCAUCAUGAAUGGACAAUUUUUUUUCUUUAAAUCUUAUCCCAUGUAAACUCAUGUGUAAAUUAGUAUUAUUAAUCCCAUGAUUUUAGGAUUAAAUUCAAAUUUUAGUCCCCCUUAAUCCAAUCCAACUAAGCUUGCCAAACAUAGGAUAAGUAUUUAAUUCCAAAAUUAAUCAAAUCUUAUACUUAAUUCUAUCAUCCAAACAUGGCCUAAAAGUUUCCUAUUAACUAUUAAUAAAUAAUAUUAAUUUUUUAAUAUCAAUAAAAUACCCUAACUGUAUCAUAAUUUAUAUCAAUAAUAUAGUAUAUAAAAUAUAUAAAAAUAUAAUUAAUUUUUGUAAAUAUCAAUAUAAUUAAAAUGAAACCCAAAAAAGUUUAAAAAAUAUAUUGAUAAUGGUAACACAUAUGUUAUGUUUAUCAGGAAUUUACCUCUGGUGUGCCCNNNNNNNNNNNNNNNNNNNNNNNNNNNNNNNNNNNNNNNNNNNNNNNNNNNNNNNNNNNNNNNNNNNNNNNNNNNNNNNNNNNNNNNNNNNNNNNNNNNNNNNNNNNNNNNNNNNNNNNNNNNNNNNNNNNNNNNNNNNNNNNNNNNNNNNNNNNNNNNNNNNNNNNNNNNNNNNNNNNNNNNNNNNNNNNNNNNNNNNNNNNNNNNNNNNNNNNNNNNNNNNNNNNNNNNNNNNNNNNNNNNNNNNNNNNNNNNNNNNNNNNNNNNNNNNNNNNNNNNNNNNNNNNNNNNNNNNNNNNNNNNNNNNNNNNNNNNNNNNNNNNNNNNNNNNNNNNNNNNNNNNNNNNNNNNNNNNNNNUGUUCUUCUCCUUUACGAGAUUUCUUCCUCCUCCUCUUCACUGAAUUUCUUCUCCUUUGGCCGCAAUAGCUUCAUCAAAAUUACCCUUAUCAACCAUAAUAAUUUCUCUCUUGUUGGUGGUGGCAUUCUUGGAGGCGGCAUUCUCAGUGGCUGUGAAAAUCAUCCCUAAUCGACGGCCAAGAUUUCAUGAAGUAGCAUCAAUAUUAGAUCUUCGCCAAGUAAAAUUUUAUAUAUACAUACAUGGGUUUCUUGAAUCUUGGUCCUAUAAUUUAUAGUUGGUUAACGUUGCAUUUCUUGUUAUCAUGUCUGAUAUGGUAAUGGGUUGGAUUAAUCUUGGGUUUUAUCCAAUACUGUUGAAGAGUUGAUUGAGUACUUUAUUGAUACUGAAGCUCAGGAGCUUGAGUUUGAAAUUGCAAGGUUAAGGCCAAGGUCAGUUCAUUUGUUUGAUUUAUUGUUUUAUUAAAACAAUGAAAUGUUUUUAGAAAUGCAUGCAACUUGAUUGAUAUUUUGCCUCUUCCAAGGCGUAUUAAUAGAUGAAGGUGUACAAAUUUGGUUAAAUGCAUCUUAGAAUAAUUUAUAUGUUAAUGAGAAUGAAUGGAGUGUGAAAGGUUUUGUAGAUAUGUAACUCCUUGAUUUGCUAAUAGAAAGUGAAUUUCCUUGAUUUUUCUGUAUUUGUGAAGAUUAUCUACUUUUUGAAGUUUGAUUAUGAGAAACAAUGAGUUCCAAUUGUUUGGUCAUUCUUCUUUUCUACCUCACCAGGCACUUGCAGUAGCAUCAAUAAAUUAUAGGCAUCAAGAUUCAAGGAACGUCAUGAUGCUUGUCGACUUCACUUAUUUCACUUGCAUGCUUGGUAUCACUCUGUUUUUGCUUGAAGAGUUUUUUCGGCUAUAUGCCCUGAAUUUAUCUUGUCUCAUCCUGCCUGUUUCCGUUCCUUCGUUCCUCUCUAUUUCUCUCCUCAUGCUUGCAGGAGAAGAUGUGCCCAUUUCUCUCUACACUAGCUGUAACUUCAACGAAAAAGUAACUUUUUUACAACUUUCAUAUUCUCAUAGUGUGGAAUUACCUUGAACCAAAAAUUGAAGCACUAACACGUUCCAUCAUGUGCAAGUUUCAGCUAGAAUGUAUGGCCCCUUUUAUUUUUAUUGUUCAUUUUUUCUAAUUAUUAUCAUCAUCAUCAUCAGUAGAAGCAGCAGUAGUAGUAGAAGGUAGAAUUUCGAGACUUUCAAUGUGAAUUGGUCAAAAUAUCUUUCAAUAUGGCAUUUUUAUUAAAGAGUGUUUUUGUUUCUUUUCAUUUAUUUUAAUUUUUAAAAAAAAGCAAAAGAAAUUUUGUCUACCUUUUCUCAUUCUCAGAUUCUUGUUCCUGGACUCCUAAUUAUGUCACAUGUGUUGCUGGUAUAGAAGUAGCUGUGCUAAAGGCCAAAUGCUUACCAUUUUCUUUUCUUUUCUUUAUAGAUUUGAAUUUGAACUACUUUCCCUUCCCUAUUUGUAUCUUUUUCCAUACUCUUCCUAUCUUAUUAUUAGACAAUUAAAAAAUCUCUGGUUAAUUUCAAGAAAAAAAUUUCUCUAUGGUUUUAUCUAGUUUUGAUGGUCAUGGUUUUAAGCUAUUGCAAAUACCUUUGCUACUUCAGAAGAUAUCAUAUUAAGAAAAACAUUUAGACUGUACUGAUGUGAUAUCAAAUAUCCCUUCGCCCAUCUUGCGAGUAUGAAACAUCCUGCAAAAAAAAAAAAAAAUCAGGGUAUGCAAUUUAGUACAUUAUAUAUUAGUUUUUUUUUUAUAAUAAGAAUGGUGAUUUUAUUAUUGAUAUAAAUGAAUUUUAUUAGUGGUAAUUGUGGAGCAUUUUUUAUGCAGUCUUUGGAGGUUCUAGCUCAUGGCCUUGACGUCAACAAGUAUUGCCAAUUAAGAUGAUAUUACAUGAUAUCGAAAAAUAUUGGCUGUCAAAUUAUUUGGCCAUAGGUUGUGGAAACCAACUAUAUAGUGACACACUCUCAAGAGCUUCAUUACUCUGAUUUUGUCAUUUUUGGAUAAGUUAUUAUGAGAUGCAACAGUUACAUUAGGGAUGUAGUUGACAUUUGAUGUAAUUAAAUAUAGUUUUAUUUUUUUAAAUAUAUUAUUAAAAGAAUAUAAGAUAUUUUGUGUUAUAUAUGGGAUAUAACAGGAUGAUCAUAAUAAUUAAAAGAAUGUUCAGCUCAAAUACACGACUAUAGUCGAGUAUUUUCAUAAAUACACGACUACAGUCGAGUAUCUUUAUAAAUACAUAACUACAGUUGUGUAUCUUCAUAAAUACACGUUGACUAUAUAUUAUUGAAAGAAUAGAAGAUAGUUUUGUAUUAUAUAUGUGAUAUAACAGGAUAAUCAUAAUAAUUAAAGGAAUGCUCAGCCCAAAUACACGACUACAGUCAAGUAUCUUCAUAGAUACACACACCUCUCACUAGAAUUCAUAAUCUUCUUGUGUUUUUAUUGAUCAUUUGACACUUAUAAAUCAUUACCCAUCACUUAAACAUCAAUUGUUCAUCUCUUAAUAAAUAACUGCAGUCGAGUAAAAUUAUAUAUGCACGACAAUAGUAAGGUAACUUCAUAAAUACGUGAUUGCAGUCAAGUACGUAGACAAAGAACAAAAUUACCUAAAACACUCAUCAAAAUGAUAACACAAUCAACAUAAGUUUAACAUAUCAAACUUCAAUUUAUCAAACAACAAAAACUUUUUUACAUUAAACAACAUAGGUCCAACGCAUGUCAGAAUCAUAAAUAAGUUUUAAAAGAGCACAAGUUGCUACUCAAUCAUCCUAACUAUAAAUUUGCUCCAAACACUCGGCCCAUCUAUUAUGAUCUCCUUUGUUUCAAAGUCAAAUUUAGAAACAUCAAUGGAAAUAACUCGAGAUACUCUUUCUAUCAAUUGUGCAUAUGUUGUAGAAUGGAGAACCAUGAUUCCUCUUACCUCAGUACCAUUAAGUGUUUGAUGGCUAUUUUGCUCAAUCCAUAACCAUGAAACAUAUUAGAUACACAUACUGAAGUCAUUUCCUGUAAUAAUAAACAAAUAAUUAUACAAAAAGUACAAAAAUAAAAUCAAACAAGGCAUAUAAUAGCGUGUGGAACUGUCUGCCUAUUUACAAGAUAGCACUCGUGUAACUUGCUAAAAUACAGGAUUAUAGUACAGUAAAUAAUCAGAGAAUAUAUUUAGUGAAAAAAUAUAUUUUUUUUGCACUAGAAAAAUGCUAGAGUGUCAUAACAGCUACGACAUUUUCACACUUGCACGACUGUAAUCGUGUAAAAUCAUACAUAUACGACAAAAUUCGUGUAACUUUUAAAAUCACACAACUACAGUUCAGUAAAUAGUCAGAUGGUGUAUUUCUUCUAAAAAAAAAAUACUUUUGCACUGAUAAAACACUAGGAUCUCAUAAUACAACACAUGAUUAUACAACAAAUACAAAAACAAAAUCAAACAAGGUAUAUAACAUAAUAACAAAGUGUGGAAUCGUCUGUCGUCUUGUAAUUGCUAGUUUACAAGACAGUAGUCAUGUAACUUGCUAAAAUACACAACUAUAAUCUAAUAAAUAGUCAGAUGAUAUAUUUAGUAAAAAUAAAAUGUAUUAUUUACACUAACAGAAUGCUAGGUGUCAUAACGGCUACCAUGUUUUCACACUUGCAUGACUAUUGUCGUGUAAGUUCAUACAUACACGACAAAAGUCAUAUAAGUUGCAAAAAUACACGACUCGGUAAAUAGUUAGAUGACAUAUUUCUUCUCUAAAAAUUAUUUUUCUUGUACUAAUAAAAUGCUAGGGUCUCAAAACAGUUGAAAUAUUUUACAUAUUUGCGCAAUUAUAGUAUGUAAGUUCAUACGUAUACGAUAGUAGUCGUGUAACUUAUUAAAACAUACGACUAUAGUCUAGUGAUAGUCAGAGGACAUAUAUAACGAAAAAUAGAUUUUUUGCAUCAAUAGAAUAGUAGGGUGUCAUAAUAAUUGGAAUAUUUUGUACACUUGCACGAUUGCAAUCAUGUAAAUCCAUACAUACACGACUACUAUCGUGUAUGUCGGGUGCAGAACAAAAUUUUGGCAAUAAAUUUAGGUUUUAACGAAUGUAGUUAUAAAAUCCAUUAAAUAACAGUGAUAUGAUACAAAUGUAAUGGAAAUAUGAGUUGUUUUAUUAUUUAUCACAAAUCAAACAAAAUCCUAAAAAUAAUAUAAUAUCAAUAAAAUGAAUAAAUAACACAAAAUAAAUAUAAAGUUUCAAAUACCUUAUUCAUGGGAUGAAUAAUGCACUUAGCUGCAAAACUAAAAUCUCAGUACAUUGGUUGUUCAUGAGUGAUUUUGAGAGUGUGGAGUGAGUUUUUGUUGUGUGGAAUUAAAAAGUGUGAGAAGUAAAGAGUGUUGGAGGUGAGUUGUAUGUAUUUUAUGUUUUUCUUUAGGGAUAUUUUAGAUUAUAUACCACAUAAAAAUACAUACCUACAUAAUUUUGAAGUAUGGAGUAUAUUUAACUAAAUAACUUAUUUUUGAGUAACUUUAAUUAAAAACCCCAAUGUUUAUUUUAAAAUACAUACCUACAUAAUUUUCAAGUAUGGAGUAUAUUUAACUAAAUAACUUCUUUUUGAGUAUCUUUAAUUAAAAACCCCAAUGUUUAUUUCGGCUUUUAGAAUGCAUAGCCAUAAACGUGAAGAUCGAAAGAGAUUGAUCCCCAAGCAUGUGCCAAGAAACCAGUCAUUCAUGGGAAUUUGUAAGCAUUGAAUUGGUGACAGUCAUAUGCUCAGAGAUUCCUGUUCUGGAAUUUGCUCGUGGAUCACAUUUUAAUGCCAAAUAAUUAAUGCUUGCAUGCUGUCACACUUUUUCAAUAACGAAUUUGAUUCAUCUUUGUUUGCACAUGAACGUCGGAAACGGAGGGCGCCUUCUGAACAAUUAUUGCAUGUAUUGUUGCAUUUGAAAUCCAUCCAAUUGCAGCAAAUGAUAUUGAAGAAUUGAAAAACAGAUAAAAUGUUAAUAAAACGCUGACCAGAAGAGGUUUAUGCACCUACAAUAUAUUUUAGGAGAUUUAAAAAUAAUUUUAAAAAGUUAAAAGUUAAAUUUUGAUAUUUGAUAUAUUUUUUUAAAAGUUAUUUUCGGCAAAAUCCCAUAUUCUACAAUAUAUUUUAAAAAGCAGGAAAGAAAUAAUUUUCUAGAAUCACACAUCCUACAAUAGUUUAAUAAUAAGAUUUACCAAAUACAUAUGAUUGCUUUUAAAAACUCACAUCACUUUUAAAAAUAAAUUUUACUAAAUGUUUUACUAAUUCUAUUUACAGCUGAUUAUUUCUAUAACAUAACUAAUAGUAAUUAUUUUAAAAACUAUAACAUUACUAAACUGACACUAAACAUGUAAAUUUAGUAGGGAUUGUCAAUAUUUUGUCUUUUUUAUAUGAAUAAUAUCAUGAUAUUACGUUUUGUUAUAUGUUUUUAAUGUAUGCUUUGAAUUUUUUUAAAAAAUUAAUUAUCAUUUAUGGAUAAUUAAUUUUUUAUAGUAUAAUUUAAAGAUAUAAUUCAAAGAUAUACUAAUUGGAGCUCGAAAAUAUGAUCAUAUAAAUCUUUGAGAGAUUUCUUCCCCCACCUAUAUUUAUGGAAUAUGAAAUAUUUAAGUAAUCUUGUGCACUCAAUUUUUGUUGAAAGAAAGACCCACCCCUAGGUCAGGCUUAGUUAGUAGGGUAUGCUUGAUGAUGCUAUUUGUACAUAAUUGAUAAUACUAUGUUAUUAGUUAAUACAUUGUACAUAAUCCGGUGGGAUAAUCACACUUAAGAGUUAAGACCUGUCAACUUAAUGAUUCAAUUUAUAUAGAGUGUAUAUAUCUGUUAAUGUAAUUAAGUAUGUAAAGUUCUGUGGUAAAUCAUCCCCUUUUCCAUCCUUGUGGGAUGGGGCUAGGGAUUUUGAGUAUUUUUAUAUGCCGUUAUGGAGGUUUUUUCCUUUUUUUUUUUUAAUAUAAAAAUAUCCGGCCAGGUUUAGUUGGAUUUUUAACUGUGAAUACCAAUGCUGCAAGACCCCGUGCCCUUAUAGGUUACAUUAAUUACAAUUAAAAACAAAAAAAAAGGCUUUAGCAAUCUAAUUGCACGAGGCACGUGCCUUAUGAAAUAGCUAGCAUUGAUGUUUGAAUUUUUCUCAAAGUUGAGGGCGAAAACCCUACGCAAUAAGCAAUGAAAUGACACUAACCAAGCAUUCAUUAUCCAUGAAAGAAACCAAAAAUAUUUGUUGGGUAAUCAACGUGAUUGAUGCUAGAAUCGAUAAUGGAAAAAAAAAUGACCUUAACCAAACCUAUGAUUGAGAUAUGACAUCCUACACAUUAUUCAUUCUGAAAACGAUAAUGUUUCUUUUCCAAUUUUCUCGUCCUUUCGAGGCACAUCUAUAAAACAAAACAAAACUUUAAAAAGACUACUCUAUCUUUGAAUUGUUAAUUUUUGCUGCAUAUCUGACAAGUUUUGGCAAUUUUUAUUUUUAUUUUUAGAAGCUUAUGGAUAGAAUUUAUUUUCAAAAUUUAGUUUGAAUGUUGCUCCAAGUUUAUUAUAUCGUGAUCAAGAACUAUUUUCAGCUUAUGUAAUUUUUUUUUCUUUCUAAACAUAGAUAUGUAGAUCGGUCAUUUUAUCAAAUUCUUAUCGUAUAAAGCUGUAGUGUGGAUCCCAUUUGCUUGAUAACUCACUUUCACUGCAAUAGUUGAGUCUAGUGGCUGAACCUUCCUUUUCCUCUCACUAUGUGAGUAACCCUAAUCUUUCUGCUAAAAUUUGUAUACCUAACUCAUAUUCAUAAGCUAAUUUUUAAAUAAGGUAAGCGAUCCUUUAGUCCCCGAGUUUUAAAUCCAUUACUCAAUUAGUCCCUAUAUUUUUAGAAAGAGUUAUUAUCCUUUUACUAUUUAAGUGAUUAAGAAAUGACAUCUAGGUACAACAAUUAUUAUACUCUAAUACUUUACUAUUAAUAAUGUUGAGUAGUUAUGUAUUACAAGUAUGGUACAUUCCGAAUUUCAUAAUUUGACAUAUAGGUGUUCGUUUUCAGUGUAUAAUAUAUCGUGUCAAAGUUUGCAACGAGACGAAUCUAACCCGAAAUUGCUUGUGCCAUUUUGCCUCGGGGUUGAGCCGGAAAUUCUGCUUUUUCCUUAGUUGUUUCCUAAUUUUAAGAUUUUUUCCUAUUUUUCCUGAUUCUUCUAAGAUUUUUAUCUUUUUUUCAAAACCCAGAUUUUAGUAUUGUUUUUUUUUUCUUAUUUUGAUUAGAAGAAUUUAAUUAUCAUAUUAUAUUUCAGAUUUGUCUAUUUUGGUAAAAUUCGCAAUAUUUAAGUUUGUUAUAAAAGGGGCUAAAAAACCUAGUUUAAUUUGUUCAAAAUUUUCAAUAAAAUUUAUCAUUAUUAAGAAACUUUUAUGUCUUCUAUCAAUCUACUUUUAGGGUCUCCGUUUUGUCAAUUAAAAAAAUUACAAAAUCUCACAUUUUACUACUUUCUAAACAUGAUUAUUAGUCGACUGCUAACAUCAUGUUGAUAUAAUAGGGGUAAAAAGUGUCUUUAUACAUAAAAUUACUCCAAAAUUAUAAUUUCAUUAAAUAUAAAGGGUAAAAUUGUCAUUAGAGACAUAAUGAAUUAGAAAUGACUGAAAGAAAAUGUUAAUAUGCUUUGUAUUAAUAUUUUCUAACCUGAUAGUUUUUCAAAGUAAGUGCAAAAUUAGUGACUUAAAGGUGAAAUGUAACGAACAACUAAUAAUAUUAACGACAAAGUAGUAAAAUGUAAGAUAUUAUGAUUCUUUGAUAGUAAAAUGUUAAGGUACAAUACUUGCUGCACCUAAUUGUUAUUUUCUAGUAAUAAAAUAAUAAUAAUAAUAACGCUUUGAAAAUUACCUAAAAGGUUUUUGUCAUUACUCUCAUAGUUGUUAAAUGGUUUUUGUCGUUAUUCUUAUAGUUGCUAAAUUGGACUUUCCAAGGGUUAGUAGUUUUUGUGUCCGAUGAAAAUUAAAAUAAAAAUAAAUUUUAAUGGAAAUGUAUGCACUAUACACCAUAUGGAUGUUUUGGAUAAUUUUAAAUAAAGGAACUAAUUAAAUAAUUCAUUAAAAGCUAAAGAAGCAUUUACACUUUUAAAUACGAGUUAGACAAUGAGCUUCCAAAUGAUUUACCAUAAUUAAAGAGGACAAACUGGAGUUUUUUUCUCCUACACCAUAUGUUGUUCUUUCUUCUAUAUAUGUUUUUUUCUUCUAUAAAUAAGAGUAAAAGAUCAUGAAAUCCUUCACUCUCUCAAAGCUUAAUUAUAUAUAGAAGUUGCAUGUUCUUGUUUUACUAUUAAUGUUUUUCUCUUACAUCUCAUUUUCUUUUGCUGACUUUGUAUUGCAGAUACAACUUGAAAUAAGGUGCAUAUUCCAAUGCCAGGUGAUCUUGUUCUAGUAAGUAAGUUUUAGAACAAUUAAAAGCAAAAUCUUGCUCAAGACCGCGCAAUUUGUUCAUGAAAAACCGCAUCUGGGUAUUGGUUUGUCAUGUAUUUCAUCAGUAUUUACAGAGAGAAGCAAGAAGAAGAAGAAGAAGAAGAAGAAUAGAAGAUUGGAUAAAAAUGGAUGAGCCUAUACCUUGAUGCUGCUGCUCAUGUAUAUAGGCUGCGUGGUCUUGUGCAAGAUUUUACUUGAGAAAAAUAUGCUCACCUCAUUUGCUAUAUAUAUUCAGUAUAAGUUUAGUUAAUUAAAGUUUCAGUGUUAAUUAAAGUUUCAGUGUUUAUUCAGUCAGCUGAUAUAGGUGCUUUUCCCUUUUAAUCUUUUUACUCUUUUUUUAACAUGAAUAUUUACUUGUUUCCAGGUAUUCUGGUGGGAAUUUAUAUCAAGUUUAAUAGAUUUAUGAUAUAAAGAGGUAUAUUUUUACAUGACUAACAAAGUAUAUAUAGGUUAAUUACAAUUACUUCAUUUUGAUACUUUUUCAGCUGUGGCAGCAAUGUGUAAGCGUUUUAUGUUGCUUAAAUGAUAACUAAUUGACAUCUAUCAGAUGCUUUAAUAAAUGCUUUGUUUGAUUUUUGUACACAGGAAAAACAACACCAGUUACCAGUAUAAUUACAUGUAAUUAAUAUAUUAACAAACUAAUUCAUUCGUAUGAUUGGAUAUGCAAUAAAGUUAUUUUGAGUUUAUUGUGCUUAUGCAUUAUAGUUUUCUAAUAUGCAUAUGAAUUGAUAGUAUAUCCACUUGCAGUGCUAAAAUGAAAAUAUAAGACAAAAUUGCAUUAAGACAAAAUUACACAAUUAACAAUUUUACCACUUUAAAAAGAUAAAAUAAAAAUAAUACUUAUGAAAAGUAAUAAACAACAUCCAAACUUAAACUAAUCCAACAUCUAAAAAUUUAAUUAUACAAUCUAACAAUCAAAAUUAAAUCAUUGUGAUACAAUAAUUAAUAAUUAAUAAUUCAUCCAAAACAUAUUAUAUGAUAAAGACAAAUUAAUUUUUGUAAUAAAUGGGUCGAUAAUUAUCUUGAGGUGGUCUAAUACGAAUAUGAUAGGAUUAUUUAUCGUAACAUGUUGUUUCAACUUAUUUAUUAAUUAUGUCAAUAAUCAGGCACGUGGCUUUUGUAUCAUAAAAAAUAUUACCAUCUCUUCGCAUUAGUUACUCUAACUAGUGUAUUUCUAUUUUUUAUUUAUUAAAAUUUAAUUUUAUCUCAUGCAGCCAAAAAAAAGGGGGGAAGAUAGUUAAGAUGGAUAAAAAGAAUUGCCAAAAUUCAUAAUUUUUCUAUGAUAAAACCUAGGGAUGGCAAUGGGGAGGGGAGGGGAGGGGACCAAUCUCCCCAUACCCAUCCCCGAUAUUUUGUUAUGUCCCCGUCCCCUCCCCGUCCCCGUCAGAAUUACUUAAGUGAAUCCCCAUCCCCUCCCCGAAUACUAACAGGGGAUCCCCGAGGGUCCCCGGUCCCCGAAUAAUUAAUAGUCUAAUACAUUUUUUUUUUCGAUUUUAAAUUAAUCAUAUUAAAAUAAAAAAUUCAGAUAAAAAUAAAGUUCAAAAUAUAUCUUGCAUUAAUAUUGAUCCAUUUCAAAGUCACAUUCAAAAAUAUAAAUUAUUAAAAUAAUUAUCUUUGUCAAUGACUCAAUCUUCAUAAUCCUACAAUAAAAAGAAAAAAAAUUAUUUUUAUAUCGACAAUAAAAUAAAUGUAGAUACUUAAUUAAUAUUUUUAAUAAAACUAUUUACCUCCUGCUCCUCCAGUUCUUCCUCGAGAAAUGUGGCAAAUUGAGAGCUAACCUCAGAUUUCAAACCUAAAACAAUGAAAAUGAUAUAAGUAACGUAACUUAUAAGCGCAAAUAUUAAUAACUGUAUAAUAUAAUUACAAUGUAAAAUAAACUCAUACUGCUAUUGUAAGCUCGUAACCAACUUUGACAGCAUAUUAAGGCCUCCAAUGUGCUUGGAUGAAGUUUGUUACGGUGUGAGCUCACAACUCUACCACCGGUGCUAAAAGCUGAUUCAGAAGCAACUGUUGUAAUUGGAAUUGCCAAAAUAUCUCUAGCAAUUCGAGCUAAUGUAGGAUACGAAUUAGGAUUAGAACUGUUGUAAAUUAUAAUUAGGCAGCUCUCUCCUGUAUCAUUGUGGUUUGGAUUAAAAAUUUAAGACUUUAAUUAGUUAAUUAAGUUUAAAAGUUUAAUAAUAUAACUAUUUUAAUAUUUAUUAUUUUUAACAAUAUUUAUAAUUUUGUUAUUUAUUUAUUAGUAAUUUUAAAAAUAAAAAUAAAAUUAAAAAUUAAAAUGGGGAAAUGGGUAGGGGAUGGGGAUUCCACCUCAUCCCCGUCCCCUCCCCGAAUAAAAAAUUGGGUAAAAAAUUUUCCCCGUCCCCUCCCCGAAUAAAAAAUUGGGUAUAAAAUUAUCCCCGUACCCUCCCCGAAUGGGGAAAAUCCCCGAGGGUACCCGUCCCCGUGGGGAUUUUUGCCAUCCCUAAUAAAACCUCUCUAUAAUGAUACUUUAUGUAGGAAUAACCUCCAUAUAAUCAAAAAUAAUUCUGAUUUCAAUUUGGACUAAUUAUAAAUAAAACAUAAAUUCCACAUUAUAAUAAAUUGUAACUUUUCUAGAAUGUGUACAUAACAAAUUACUAGGCAUAAAAUUGUAAUUUGAUUUGGGUAAAUUUCACAUUAUCUACUUGUGAAAUGUCAACUUAUCCUCAUAUCUGUUUAAAAGACACAAAAAAAUAAUGGGGUUUAGGUUGAAAAUCUUUUUAUCUUAUUUAUAAAAGUAGGGUUAGUUCAGAUUUACAAUAAUUUAGAAAAUAUUUAGAAGAUUGUCAUUUUAUCAGAAGAUAAUUCAAAAUUAACUUCUUCUUUUUUUUUACUUUUUAAAUUGUUGAAUAGAGGGCUUUGGAAUUGGAACCACGUAAAAUCAGUUUUAAAAUUAGGAAUGCUAGAAUUAUGAGAGUAAAAAUAAUAAAAUAAAUAAAAAUACAAACAUUAAAAAGUAUGAAAAUCAUUAUUUUAGGCCCAUGGCCUUAUCUCCAAAUUAGGCCCAAUCGUUUUUAUGAUGCUUUUUGGAGGUCCAUACCCGGCCCAAAUUAUUCGUGGGCCCCGCGGGAAUUUAUGCCAUCCCAAAAAACAGAGAAGCUCCGUCCAAAGUGCAGUCCGCCAACUGCCAAGUGAUAAUGGGCGCCAUGACAAGCAUAUAAUCCAGCGACGAAAUCUUCACUGCUUACCAUAAAUAAAUUAUAGUAACAAUAAUUCAACACGUCUCUUUUGCUUAUCUCGAUCUGAUCGAUAAACAUUUUCGUAAAAAAAAAAAGAAUAAUAAACAACAAAUGAUUCAAUUGCGAUUUUUGAAAUCCCCUUUGCUUUCCUCCUCCAACAUUCUUUCCAAUUUUUCUCCGAAACCCAGAACCGGAACCCUUCUUCCUCAUCCCGUCACCAAGUUUAAGCCUCUUUCUCAAAUGGAUUCUUAUUCUACCACUACGACAUCGUCUUCUUCUUCUUCAUCGAAGCUGCUGUUUCGCCAGACGUUUGAGAAGGAAUCCUCCACCUACACUUACCUUCUUGCUGACGUCAAUCAUCCCGAUAAACCAGCUCUGGUUAGUCUCUCUUGUUUGUAAAGAUUUUGCGUUCAAUGGGGGCUGUUUUGGGAAUUUUUUUAUUUUGUAAGUGCUUUUUUUUUUCUUUCUGAAAGCACUUUGUUCAUAAGUGCUUUUUCUGGAAGUACCUUUUUUUUUUUAUGAGUGCUUUGCACACGCGUGUUUUAUAGAAAGAUCUUUAAUAGUGUGGUCGGAGUUUUGUGAUUAUCUUUUGGGAUUGUGUUAAGGGGCGGACCUACAAGAAAAAAUCGUAUACCCCUUAUUUUUUUUACUAAUUUAGUAAAAUAAUAUAUUUUUUAUUUUAUUUUUAUAUAGGUUGCUAACUUAAUUAUACUUAUAUUUUUAUUAAUUUAUUAUAACAAUAAGAUUUUUAUUUUAUAUUCAAAUACGUCCUUACUGAAUUAUUUUUAUAUUUUCAUCAAUGUAAUAUAAUAAUAAAAUUUUUAUUUUUUAUUCAAAUAUGUUCCUAAUUCAAGGCAAAUGCUAUGUUAUAAUUAAUGUAACAUACACACUCAAUAACAACCACACAAAUUAUGUGAGUUUAUUAUUUGUGUGGUUGUUGUUGAGUGUGUAUGUUACAUUAAUUGUAACAUAGGGGCUCCCCUAAUUCAAUUAUCUUUAUAUUUUUAUUAAUUUUAUAUAACAAUAAAAUUUUUAUUUUAUUUACAAAAUUUUUUUAAUUUAUUUAUAUUAUUUUCAAUUAAAAUUAGUGACUUAUUUUAUAAAAUAAUUAAGUUAUAUAUUUAUUGAAUAGAUUGAAAACAUUUGGGAGCUAAAAUUUUAUUAUUGCCUUGAUUUAUUUUUAAAAACUUCUAAUUAAAAAAAAAUCAAUGUAAUAUAAUAUCUUCACUAAUAUUAAAAGUACUUAUAAAAACAAAAUAUAGUAACAACUAUCAAUAUUUUUCAUAAAAUUUUAUAUGAAUUUUUACAUUUUAUUUAUUAGUUAUAUUAAAUAAGAGGACGAGUUAGAAAAUAAAAUUUGAGUAUUUUAAGAAACUUUUGAUAGAAGAAUCAUGAACAUCUAAUUUUUUAAAGGGAGAUAGAGCGCUUGACAAAGAAAUAGUUGCACCCAAACACUUUUUUGUUUCAUUGAAUUUAGUUUAUUAUUGAAACUUUUAAUUAAUAAUACUUUCAUAAUUUGAAAAGAUGAAUAAAUUUUAAUUGUUUAAAUUAUUAAGUUUGAUAAUUUAGUACUUUAUUGCAAAUGUAAAAGUUUUACUUAUUAUUUUUAAUUGAUUGUAAUUACAUGUAUUGAUCUAUUUUAAUUUUAAAUUUUAAAUUGAUUUUUUAAUCCUCAUAUAAUUACAUGUUAUUAUAGGUUGCAAUGUCAUAUUUAUAUAUUGAAAAAUAAUAUUUUCAUAUUUAAGUUGUCUUUUAUUUUUUAUUCUUUUUUUAUAAUUAUUUUUGUUUAUAAUACAUUUUUAGAGGGACAAGGUUCUUAGUGUUCCUCCUUAUUUAAUGUACUUAUUUCUACAUAUAAAUUUUUAUGUUCACUUCAAAAUAUAAAUUUUAAAAUUUAGUCUAGGUAAUAUUAAGUCCUAGGUCCGCCCCUGAUUGUGUUGAAAUAGACAAUUAGAUUUUUGAGACAAAAAAGGCUUCAAAAUCCCGUCUUGGGAAAAAUAGUUUUAAGUGCUUUUUGUAGAAGCACUUUCAAAUUCUGAAUUUUUGGCUUACCCUUAUGCUAGAAUCUUGAAAUGAUGGCAUUUCAUAAAACCAUUUGAUUAGUUUAAUUUCAUGCAGUGAAAAUGCAAAUCCAUAACUUGAAUCCCCUUUAACAUUCAUUUUUAUGCUAAUGUUCAUAUUGAAAUGCCUUUGAAAUGUAUGUUUGUAUUGGAAGUUGAUUGACCCUGUCGACAAGACCGUUGAUAGAGACCUGAAUGUUAUUAAAGAACUGGGAUUGAAGCUUGCAUAUGCCAUGAACACCCAUGUACAUGCUGAUCAUGUCACUGGAACGGGUCUCAUUAAGGUUUGUUAGUAUUCAUUUUCUACCAUUGCUUGUGAAUCUGAUGUCUUAUUUUUACAUGGCUUAAUUGGUGCUUGUUUAUGUACUUGUUUGCUGCAGAGUAAGGUUCCGGGAGUGAAAUCUAUUAUAUCAAAAGCAAGUGGUUCCAAGGCUGAUCUUCAUGUUGAACAUGGGGAUAAAGUCUCUUUCGGUGAUCUCUUCCUUGAGGUAUGUAUAGUUGGUGGCUUCCAAGCUGCACUAAGCAAAUCUUAAAAUUUAUUUCUUAUGGGGAUAAGGUUACUAGCCUGAUAUGAUGUCCUGUUUGCACCAAUCUGUCACAAAAGCAAUAGUUUCCUUUAGGUUUCUUUCCAGUAGGAGCUCAACAGAGUGAAUGACAAAGCAGAUAUGGUUGUGAUGAUGUCUGGAGGAAAGCAUAGAUUGAGGCAUCAGUUGAUAAUUGCCUAAAGUAAUGGCAAAAAACGAUGACAAAAAGGCCUCUCUGCAUCAGAAAGUUUCUCAGAAAUAAAAUUAUUGUACAAGUUCAUUCCUCUGUCUGGACUUUAUUCUAAUAUGAUUACCUAGUUUUGCUGCAGAUAUGAUCUGCUGAGUGUUUUCAGACCUUUAGAAAAUGUGAUACGCAGAAUGGUGUGGAUCUCUGAUCUGGAUUUCUGAUGAUUAAAAUAUUGAGUCCGCAGAGCAAGAAAUCACUUUUCUGGAUAUCUGUUUGCUAAGUAGUUAUCAAACUUAUUUCAUUGAAGAUGGCAUAUGAAUGAUAGAAGUUUUAUGUUUCUGUGAAGAACAAUCAUUGAAAUUAAAUUUGUAAACUACAGGUCGCUGUAUAUGACAUUACUUAUAGAUUUAGUUUUCUGCAAAUUUUGCUGCUUGCUAAAUCAAAUGUAGCUGUGCAGGUUCGUGCUACUCCUGGCCAUACGUUGGGUUGUGUUACCUAUGUUUCUGGUGAAGGACCUGAUCAGCCUCAACCAAGGAUGGCAUUCACUGGAGAUGCCUUACUGAUACGUGGAUGCGGGAGGACUGAUUUUCAGGUAUUGGGUCUUAAAACUACUUGAUCAGGAAAUGAAAAUCUUUUCAGAUAAUUAUUCAUAAAUGUUCAAUUAUCAGAAUCUCACAUAGAGCUGAAAUUUUUUUAAGACAAUAACUGCAUCCUGUUUUAGUCAAAGAAUAAUGGCUGUGCCGUGUGAGUUGGCACAUCUUUCCUAUCAAUUCUGGAAAGAAUAAUGGUUGUGCCGUGUGAGUUGGCACAUCUUUCCUAUCAAUUCUGGAUCAUCCUAAGAUUUUAUGAAGUGUUCUAAUUUUUAUAUCUUCUGUUUGGUAGCUCAUGGAUAAUAAACUAAUGGCUUUUUUUCAUAAAAGGAUGUGGAAUAAACCACUGUGGUGAGUUGUUUUGACAGAAUGCAACUCUUUUAAAAGGGGAUGAUUCAGGUUUUUACAGUGGUGUUUUAUAUUGUUUAACUCCUUCAUAAGCAUUCAAGUACCAUCUGUAGGUUAGUUUGAAACCAUGAGAAAACAACACACUUUAUAGUUGUAAUAUUUUGUUUCUCUUCAGCUGAUCCAUCUUUAUCUUUCCAUUUUGGUGAUUGAUUUUGAAAAGAUGUUUCUUCUUUGGGAUGAUGUUCAUUACAUUAUCAAGCUUCCCUAGUGAUUGAUAAUUUUAUCCCAUAGUGGCAAAUUUAUUAUUGUUAUAUAUUAUCCUGUGUAUUCAAACCAUUUGGAAUACCUACCUGUGAUAUUUCAUUCCACAAGUUUCUUGACUAUCAUAGAUUUUAGGUUCUAACAAUACUCUCCCAUAAGAAAGUUUUGGGGGAUUUUGGGGUAUCAGGAAAGGGAAGAAAGGGCUUAUGUGGUUUUCAUUGCUUCUUUAACAUCUUAUAAAUGAUGGAAGGUGUGCAUAUUUAUUAUUCUUUUGUUUUUAACUCAGACAGAACACCUUCAUGCUUUUUUCUCUUCAUCUUUAAUGAAUGCUUUAUAUGUGGCAAAGAUUUAAUACUUGUUACUUUCUUGAAGGGUGGAAGUUCAAGUCAGCUCUACAAGUCAGUGCAUUCACAGGCAAGGACAUGGGGUUCUGUGAAAAAAAGAACAAGAGUGAAAAAAAAAAAGAAUUUAAUACUUCAAGCCUUCUGUUAAUUGUUACUAACUUUUUUCUUGUGUUUCUAGAUAUUUACUUUGCCGAAGGACACAUUAAUCUACCCGGCUCAUGAUUACAAGGGAUUCACAGUGAGUUAACAGUCAAUGUUGCAUCUUUUAUUUAUAUUUGAAAUAGUCCAAUAACGCGUAAAAGUUGCUUAUACUAUACUGAUAUGAAUUUCAGGUAAGCACAGUGGGAGAGGAGAUUCAGUACAAUCCUCGCCUAACGAAAGAUGAGGUACUUGUUUGGCUAAUGUUGAAUUCUUUUAUUUCUAUGGAUUACUCGUGAUUGCAUUAUCAACUAACUGUUAGAGCCCUUCUAAUUGGGAGGUGGAUUGUCAUUGCUUUUUCCUUAAAAGAGUUUCGGUUAGAUUUUCAUUUUGGGUAUUCUUUUUAUGACAAUACUUUUCACAACAUUUUGCAGGAAACAUUCAAAUCCAUAAUGGAAAGUGAGUAUAUGCAAAUUACAUGUUGAGUUUGAUUUAUCUUAUAUUUAGUUGUAGUCCUUUCUUAAUCUGUAAAACAACUAACAACUGGGACAAAUUUUUUCACUGACAGAUUUAAACCUGUCAUAUCCAAAGAUGAUAGACAUAGCAGUUCCGGCAAAUUUGGUUUGUGGAAUGCAAGAUCUGACCUCCAAAGCCUGAUGAGCUUCCUUGGGCGACGCCCAAAUGGUGAUAACCUCGGUACCUGCUGUUCAAGUUACUCUGUACAAAUGAUAUACAAUGGCUCUUAAUUGGGAUAAUACAAAACAAUAACAAAGAAAAAGUUGUUAAGCACCUACAUAAUGUAUGGAUCAGUGAAAUGAUGAAAAUAAGAUAUAAUUGAAUAUCUUUGUGGGUUGGUGUUGAAUGUCAUAAUUGUCCUGGAAUCUCUGUUGUAGGAAUUGCCUUGGAAUUGUUGGAUAAGGUUUGAGCACUGGAAUUUUGAUGCGUGAAUCCCUUGGCUGGAAAAAUUUAGAUUGAAAUAUAUCUGGCUCAUUCGUCCCAAUAGAGACAAAUUCAUGUACUUUUAAUACUAUGAAGCAUUUGAGGUCCAUGGUUGAGUGCAGCACAUGAAUAGCAGGUCCCUACCAUGUGUUGGAUCCAAUCCCAUUUCCCAAUCCUGCCUUCUUUGGCAAAUCUAUUAAUUCAACUAGCACAAGGCCAACUAGAUUACUUCACUCCUUUGUCCUAGGAGACUGAUUAUUUUAAUUUUUUUAUACAAUAAUUCUCUUCAAAAUAUGGCAAUAUUUUCUUUAAAAGCAUGCAAUAAUUUUACCUAAUUUUCAUCUAAGGUCCUUUUUUUUUGCGUCGGCCUUAGGCCGCAAGUUUUAAAGUUAAAAAAUAGUAUGUAAUCAUAUACUUUCGCAACUAACAAGAUCUCAUUGUGAAAGAUUUUUAUUCUCAAAAGUGAAUAUUUCAAAUGGGUCUAACACAAAUGCUAAACUCAAUAAUCUUAUCCAAAGUUUUGAUAGCAAUUUUUGCCAUGGAUGAAUAAUCAAAGCCAAGGUAACUCCAAUAAACAAAAUAUUUCUUGUGUUUGUAUAACAAUAAAGUUGAUUUUCUUACAAAAAUUGGAAAAUAGACUAAGGUUGGACUUCCAUUCUAAAUUUCAAAUCACCGGAUUGAUUUAUAGAAAAUUUGGUAUAUUUGUGAUUAUCAAUACCAAGAAAUUUAUACAAAUAAAAUUUUCAUGUAAUAAUAAAAAAAAUCAAUAUUUAUUACUUAAAUUUAUUAAGGAUUUCAUUUUGAUGGAAAAAGAAACUACAUUUUUAAAAAUUGCUCUUAAUAUGCUACGUUUACAAAUUCCAAAAUACAUCAACAUUAAUAUCAAAAUUUUUAAUAAAUUUGUCAAAAAAAUUGUUUAAAAUGUAUACAAAUAAAUUUCUAAAAUUUAUUAAAAAAAAUGUUCGUUACAACGUUUUUGGUGAAUUUUGAGAUUAACCAUUUAGAUUUCAAUUUUUUUUAACAAUAUUUUAUAAUAAUAGGAGAAAAGGAAAAGGGAUACUCUUAUUUUAGAAAGAAUAAUGAAUGGCCACACAAAUUCUUUUUGAGAUGCACAAAAUUAUAAUCUUUUUUUUUUUUUUUUGGGGACAAGUCUUCGGCAAUCUGUAUGACUUAUUCAUGAAUGUGAAAAGAGUCAUUAUGUUCCAAACUACGUGAUCAUUUCAUCAAAUCAUGGAUGUUAUUAGUAGUUUUUCCUGAAGAAUUUAAUUUGCCAAACAAAAUCUAAUAACAAAACCAACAAUAAAAACUACAAUAAUACAAUAAAACCUCUCUAUAGUUAUAAUUUUGAAACCAACUAAUUUUAUUAUUAUGAACAGACUAUAACUCAACAGAUAUAUAGUCACAAAAUUAUAUUUUUGACUUAACUAUCCUUAAUGUAAAUAAUAUGCACUACAUUAAUAAUUAGUGUUAAAUUUAACGUAUAGACAUUGAUGAAAAAGAUAGGCAUAAUUUUAAAAACCAGUCCAUACAUUUAUGUACCGUUGGGAGUACGUGAGUUAUUUAAAAAAUUUAAACGUUUUCAUUCUCUUUUAUGUUUCUCUCUUAAUAUAAAUUUUAUAACUACUAUACAAUAAUUUGAUAACAAUUAUAAAAAAAUAACUUAUUGUCUCAAACAAUUUUAGAAAAAAUAUGUUCUCAAUUUUAAACUUUAACCGUAAAACAUUUAUAUAUUUUUUGUAAUAUAUAAAUAAUUAUUUCUAUACAGAAUCAAAUUUCUUAAAAGGAGAUCUAGGCAAAUUUUAAUUUAUUAUAAUAUAACAAUUUAUUCUUACGUAUAAUCCGCUGGAUUGAAAUUGUAAUUAUUUAUAACCACAUUAAGAUUAUUUAAAAACUAUUCAGAUAUUUUACUCUUGACGUGUGCGCAAAUAAUGAAGUUAAAAUGGCAAUAGACAUCACCAUCAGCAAAUGAUCGUACGAAUUGUUAUAUGCUUCAACAGCGUCACACGGAAAUUACAGGACAGCUUCUUGUUCUCUGGCCUCCUCUAAUAACGAAAACUUCAUUGACUUUUGCGUCUUCUCUUUUGCCAAAUCCAAAGAUCCCAAUUCAUCCCAUCAAUCAAGAUCAUGAGUGAAGAUGACAAAAACAGAGCCGUUGUUGUUGGUCAUCAACACCACCAUCACCACCACGAUCAGCAGUCACCACCACCGCCACCGCAACCACCGUCCCAAUUCACCCCACCGGUCAUCACCAUGAGUGAAGACGACAAAAACAGAGCCGCUGUUGUCGGUCAUCAACACCAUCAUCAUCACCCUGAUCAACGGUCACCACCCCCACCACCCCAGUACGGUACGUUUCAAGGCGUAGCCAAUUACCCUCCGCCGCAGCCACCGGCAAUUGGGUUCCCUCAGCCCGUGCCCCCACCUGGCGUUUCCGGCCAAACCUCUUCACAUCUCCACCACCACCAUCAUUCUCCUUACUACCCCCAAGGCUACCAAACUGUUCCAGGUGAAAAUGCGACCAUUUUGGCGAAUAUUUGAUCCAUCGAUUUGUAUUUAAACAAAGUGUAGGGGUGGUCGAUGAUAUUUACCAUUUUUUAUUUAUUUAUUUAUAGGUUAUGCCGUAGCUGAAGGGAGACCAGUGAGAGAGCGUCGCCUUCCUUGCUGUGGUCUUGGUGUUGGCUGGUGCUUGUAAGUAGUUGUUGCUAUUUUUUUAAACUUUUUGUAUAUCAACUCGAUAACAAUGUAAUACUGGGGAUCCAAAUGACUAUCCCUGUAUUUGGGUUCCAUUGUGGCUGCUUAUGUGUAACUGUUACGUCAUGUUAGUCAUUAAGUGUUUAUUAAUUUUUCAUGAAUUAUAGUUUCACCCGUUCCUGAUCAACAUUAAUAACUAAUAUGCUGUAGCAGUGAUAUAAAAUGCCACAUCAAUUGAGAAGCAAACGUUGGGAUAAUGGUUGAGAUCCUAUGGCAUUACUCUUUUGAUGAUCCAUUCAUUUAAUGCUCUUUUUUUUUUUUUUAAAUGAAGGUUUAUUUUGGGUUUCUUCCUUGGUGCCAUCCCAUGGUAUGUUGGGUUAUUUGUGCUGAUGUGUGCAAGGAUUGACAUCCGAGAGAAGCCUGGAUAUAUUGCUUGCACCAUUGCUGUGAGUCACUCUAAACAUAAUUUACUUUUGAGUUUUAAAAAUGGUUGUAUAUUUCGAUCACUGCUAUCACCGAAGUCUCUAUCAUAAUUACGUUGUUACUUACCACACAAAUUUUCGUAAUUUUUUGUUUGUAGUGAGAGUUCGGAGUUAAGUGUCGAAAGGGUGUUCUUAUUCUGUUGUGAAAUUGGCGGAGAUGGUUACUUAUUCCACUUCGUGAUAAAAUCGUUGGUGAUUGCUAUGCUGGAGAUGAAAAUUUAAGUAUUGAAAAUUUGUGUUAGAUCGAUACGAUCAAAUAACCUUUCCUUUCUUAGAACAACGACGUCAUAGAUACCAACAUGUUUGUGUUUAUCAUUCAUUUGGGUUCUCUGUACAUUCCUAUUCCUUAGAGUAAAAGUAUCAGUCUUGCCAGGUUGUUUUUACCGUUGCAUGGUUCUGAUCAAAGUUAUUUUAAUGGAACACUUGAUCAACUUCUCCCAGUUUUAAAUAACGGAACCUGAAUAUCUUUUCAAUUGAUCUUACUUGCUUGUAUGCUCGUACCCAACAAUAGGAAAUGCAGAAUUUAGUACUGUGGAUUUUUUCAGCUCGUGGCUGGAGGCAGUUUUCAGCUUUUUUGUCUGUAAAUUAUUCCAUUAUGUAUUUAGACAGAGAUCAUUAAUUUGAACUGCUAGAGUUCUUUUUCUAUUAUUUUUAACGUGCUCCAGUAAACAGCUGUUGACUUCCAAAACCAUUUUUCAUGAUUGUGUAAGUCUACUGUCCUUUUUGCUAAUACGUUAUCAUAAAAUCCUUCAGUUACAGAGAGGGAGGAGAUAUUGGGAGGGGUGGGGUAAGGAGUGAGAUGAAGCUUGAAAAUAUUUGCUAAUUUGUUCAAGCCUAGGUUCAGGCUUAGCUUGUUUAUAGUUCUGUAAAGGCCAAUGGAAAUUAGGUUUAGAAUUCUGGGGUUUUGUUUGCAAUAAGUUUUCUGUGAAUAGUUGUUAUACCGGGAGGUGCAUACUUGAGUGUAAAACUUCAGUUAUCAAGAAUAUUUUCCUUCAUUUUCUAAUCGAUUUGUCGCUUUUUCCGAUUUUUGUUAAAUGGCCUUGUAGCUUAUGUUUUCGAGCCAUGUUUGAUGCACAUAUUUCAAAUUUGAAUGACAGAAGAUCUGCAAGAUCUUUUCAUCUUUGUUUUGUGGAACCUCCAUUUCUUUUAGCCUCAAUUCUUGCCCUACGCUACUAUAACAGGUGUUUUCUGGCCUUCCUCUUGCAAUGAAGUUUGACUAUGUUAGCUCUGUGCUCGUCUUUUGUGCCAUUUCUGCUUCAAUGUGAUGAGUUCUGUCAAUUUAUUCUUACGCUUGUUUCAUGCAACAGACGUUCUUAAAAUUUUUGAACGGUGAAGGAAACUUCACUGUCAGUAUCAUAAAUACGCUCCUGCAAAACGAUUGUGGGUUUGAACCUGUAAUGUAAUUAACUGGUGGUGAGAGUGCAAACAGUUUACAAGUUUAUGAUGUCUCACAUCUCAUCCAAUUUGCGACAUGCUAAUCCUGCAUCAGAGUGUCUUCAUGUUUUUUUUAGUCAACUAAUGGCAUUUUAUAUGAUCUUGAGAAAAUAUACCUCCGUUUUCCCCGUCUCUUUCCUUCUUGAACCGACGGAAUUGCUUUAAGUGGUAUUUAAUGCUGCUGAAUAUUGGUGACAGAUGCAGAAGCAAAGUUACCUCAAUUAGCAUAGCAAGUUUCAUGGGUGUGAGAUAUGUCAUCUAAAGUUGUACCCUGUCCGAAACAAUUCUCCUUGCAUUAGCUAGCUCUUGUUUUCUGGCCUAGUAGUAAUAUUACCUAAAGUUGUACCUUGUCUUAAACAGUUCUACUUUUUUUUUUUUCCCCCCUCUAUGAAGUUUGGGGUGCAUUCUAUAAUAUUUAGAGUUGCCCCAAAUGGAGAGCUACCAUGUUUCUUCAUCUACACUGCUUAGCUAUUUCUCUAACACAAUGCAAUUUUUGCAGGCUGUUCUUGCUACAAUUGCAAUUAUUCUUGGUGUAACAAAGGGAGCCGAUGAGUGGUAGUUGUACAGGUGAAAAAUGGAUAUACUCAUCUCUGAAGUCCUGAACUGUAUCUGGGGUUUUAAACAUUGUGUGAAAUCGUGAAAGAUCUAGUAAGUCCUUGAAUGUUAAUUAUGGUUAACGGUACUCAACAGAACUGCAGAGACUACAGUGCCAUUUGUUAGUGAUAAUCUUGUUUAUUGAUGGAGUUCUUUGUAUUAUAAGAGAAGAAUAUUUCAGUAUGUGCUUGACUUGUUAAAUUAUGGAAUUAUGAUCAUUUCUUAAUUAUAUGUAUGUUUUUGCAAAUCAUGUGGUACUAAGAUAGUGUUUUGAUUAUGAUAUAAUUGCUUAGGGUUAGGGUUUGAGCUCGACACUUGUACGAAGAAUUGCAGCUACAGAUGAAUCAUGAUUUUAUAUUAUAAACUGUGCAGAAAAUGCUGUGAAAAUCAAUUGGUCCCGUAUAGAAAUGUAUAGUAGUCUUAUUAAUUUGGGGAACUGAAUUAUUAAGUGAAACUAUGUCGCUGUAUUUCAAAUGUAUCUAUUCUCAAUUGAUACACAAAGUUCACUUGCUUUAUUGUGUUUACUUUUCGGAUUACGGAAUCAGAAUCCGAAAUUGAUAACAUUGUUUUCUCUACAAAAUAAAGACGAGAAUUAGAAUUGGAAUCAUAGGGUCCAUACCAAUUUGAGAAUGAGAAAUGAGAAUCUCAUUUCUAAAAUUGAUCAUUUUGUUCUAAUUAAAAUUAUAAUAUGUUGAAAAUAUCCUCAUUUGAAUUAAAAAUUAAAAAUAGCAUAAAAGAAAAACGAUCGAGCUCGUCACUGCCAAAGCUCCCUCACCGUCAUCGAUCGUGGCCUGUGGAGUAGCAGUUGGUCACUAGUCGUCGCGUCAGUGGCAGCAGCAGUCGUGGGCAACAAUCGUCACGUCGUAGAAGUCAAACAACCACCAGGAGCAGUCGUCGUGAACUGAUGAUGAUGAUGCCGAUGAUGAUGAUGUUGCUUCUAAUCUGAUGAUGCUGAUUAUUAUUAUUAUUGAUAAAAGUUUUUAUAAUUAAUGAAUAUAUUAAUGUUAAUAAUAAUAAUAAUAAUUUUUGAUAAAUAAUCAUAAUAAUUAAAAUAUAAAAUGAUAAUUAUGACUAGUAAUUUGUAACAAUUUAACUUAUUUCGUUUUUUAUUUCAAUAAAAAGUAAACAUAUUAGUGGCAAUUUAGUUCAUUUCGAAUCCGAUUCCUAUAGUUCAAGUAAAUAAUUUUUUGUGAUUUUCAUUUCACAUUCUUAUUCCAACCCGUUUUCAUUCUCGUUUAAUAAAUGUACCAUAAAAGUUAGCACUACUAGCAUGUCAUUAUUUACCAUAUCAGUCUACAUCAUUUCACUCAACAAAAGGAUUCUAUUUUACAUAAAAUUUCAGUCACAUCAUGAGAAUAAAAUUACGGGAGUUUGUCAAUUUUUUUUUUAUUAAAAUCAACAUAUAACACUUAUUCCCUAUUGUUAUUGUAGUACUUAAUAAUUUCUCCCACAACAUAAUUUUACAGUAUACCCUUAUUUUAAGUAUAUUUUUAUUCAUAUUUAUUGUAAAUUAAAGAAAUUAUAUAAAUAGGAAUUAAAAUAAAAAAUCAAAUACUAAAAAUAAAAAAUAUAAGUUUUGAUGUGAAUAAAAAAUUAAUAAUAAGAUAUGCUUUUGCUAUUUUUUAUUUUGAACAUUUUUCUUAUAAUAAAUGUAUAUUUUAUAUUCUCAAUAUCAAAUAUCAAUCAAAUGAUCGAUAACUCUUUUUUUUUCUUUAAAUUUUAUUGUGCAAAGAGGUUAUUGAAUAUUAUAAAAAUAAUAUGAGGUAAGUGGUAUAUGUUGAUUUUAAUAAUAGAGAUACCGGCGAUCUGCUUAAAUUAAGUCUAAAAGCCAUCAAUACUCCUAGGUUUCUCAAGUGUAUAGUUUUUGAAAUGGUCAUUCAUGUCUUCAUUUGAAUAAUUAUACCCAAAUAGAAUACAAUUUGGUCAUUGUAAUCGAUGGGCAUAAUUAUCUAAAAAGGAGUUCGUGUGCCCAUGAAUAAACUAAAACUCUAAAAGGGACUUAUAUGGGCAUUUAUAACCUAUUUGGAGCAGCUGCCCCACGUCUAUAAAAGUGGAGAAAUUUUAUCUGAAAUAUAGGAGUUUCUCUCAAAACUAAUUAAAAAUAAAAUUGUUUUAUCAUACAAUUACCCUUAAUCCUUAUUAUAUUAUGCUAUAUUGCUUUAUUAUGACUUUGUAACCAAAUGGAUCCUUCUGAAAAAAAAAAAAAAGAAACAAAUUGGACCAAGGGUUUUGGCACCAAACCCUCAAUGCAAAGCGCCGCAUAUAAACCCCGGUUCCCCUCCUUCACCUGCAGUGAGCCAGCUCUCCUUGGAGGAAAAAUGGUUACCUUCAGGGUAAGUUUUUGAUUCAAUUCCUUUUCUCUUCGUUUAGAGAAAUAGAUUGUUGAAAACGAUGACGUAUUGAUUUGGGUUUCUGUUCGGGGUUGCAGUUUCACCAGUACCAGGUUGUGGGAAGAGCUUUGCCCACAGAAAAGGAUGAGCAUCCCAAGAUUUACAGAAUGAAGCUCUGGGCCACCAACGAGGUUCGUGCCAAAUCCAAGUUCUGGUGAGUAAGGCUUCAUAAUCAUAUCAUUCAUUCAUUUUAUUUCUUAAUGUAAUAAUAGAACCCGGUACAAUUUAUUUUUAUGUUUUGUUAAAUUAGUAAAUGCAGUAUUAAAUUGUCCUAUCAAGAGUUCUCAAAAUUGAUAAUGUAUGGUUUAAAAUCUUUUAUUCUAUGCACAUAUAGAGAUUUGUUGUAGUAAGCACGAUUGCCACAUCUUAUAUUUUAGGCACCCGACUCAUGUGGCAGAGUUGGUCACUUUGUAGUUGUUGUUAUUGCUCUCCUGAACACUUUUCACCAUUACCUGUUGCUCGGGUGUUGAUUUUAAAGAAUUUUUCCUGAGGCUGGAAUUUCCGUAGUGAUUUAAUGACUUUGAUUAUUAUCUUUCGGCUGAUUUAGAAUUUUUUUCUUCAUGAAAUGUGUCUUUUUUGUUUAGUCUCCUUUUUCGGCUGUUAACUUUUAUCUUGUUGUCCUGUUUAGGUAUUUCUUGAGGAAGCUGAAGAAAGUUAAGAAGAGUAAUGGGCAGAUGUUAGCAAUCGAUGAGGUAUGUCUUUGCUGCAUCUUGUUAAAUAUCACUCUUUUUUGUUUAUUACUUCUUGCUAUUGCAUAAGUAUUAGUGAAGAGGGGUCGGCACCUUCCAGUGUGCAGCUUUAGAUUUCCAUCUAAACAACCUUCUCUUUUGGCACUUAAAUGAGUGGGUGUAUUUGAUUUGGUAUUGAUAAUAUCAGAAUGCAUGAAAAUUCAGUGAGCAUGUUACAAGUGCACGACUUCAUAUGACCUUAAUUCUCUUGUUGAAUAGCACAAGCAAAUGAAGUUUGGAUGCAAAUAAAGAGUGUGAAUAUCUUAUAUAUGAGUGUUUCAACUCCUGGUUUAACAUUUUUGACAUGUUUAAAUGCAAUUCUUACAAUUUAAAUGAAUGAUAGUUUCAUAGUGUUUGUGCUGAGAUUACUUGUCUAGUGAGUUGAGGUUGCUGCUUCUUUAAAAUUUUUAUGCAUGGUUUUGUUCAAAUUAAUUCAAUAUUUGGGGACCGCAGAAGUUUUUCUUGAUAGACUGGAUGGAUAUAAGAGGGAUCAUUUUUUGAGAUUUCUUUAACUUGAUUUGUGACUUUGGCAUGGCAUCUGCAAGAACUUUCUGUUUUAGCUUCAGGUAAUAAUUUUCAUGGUAUUCUUUGGGCAGUAAAGUUUUAAAGGCAUUAAAUUUUGAGUUAUUCAAUCUAAGUGAGAGUUAAUAUAUGCUUUCAUGUGAACCGAAGAAGAUGACAUGCAUUGUAGAAAAGUUAAAAAACUUAACAUGUCUCUUAAUGAAAGGUUUCCCAAUUUGCAUAGGUAGUUGCAUACUUGGAAAUCAGUAAUGGAGUUUUUGCCGUUUCCUUUCCAAAUGGAAGUAAGUCUCUUGGCUCUACUUCUUAAAUGGAAAUAACAGAUGUACGACCAUUCUAUUUUUUGUUAUUAUUGAAACGUGAUGGCUAUUAGUUGUGUCUACCUGUGCUGGUCUUCGAAUCAAAGGUUUUAUGUGCACUUUAACAGUCACUCUGAGGAAUUAUAUUAUUGCACCAUUGCAGCAUCCCAUAUGUCAACAUGUUGCUACAACUUCUUUAUGAUUUGUAGUAUAUAUUUAGCAUAUAAUCCUUAGAAGGUGUAUGAGUAUGUCGCUCUUUUUUAAUUUAUAUGGUGGAUUUUUAAGUGCUCUGCUUUAUGCUUUAUGAUAAGAUUAUCUUUGUCUAAUUUCUUUAAUUUGUACUGCAGAUUUUUGAGAAGAAUCCUACCAAAAUUAAGAACUAUGGAAUCUGGUUGCGAUAUCAAAGCCGAACUGGGUAUCACAAUAUGUACAAGGAAUAUCGAGACAUUACUCUUAACGGUGCUGUUGAGCAAAUGUACACUGAGAUGGCUUCUCGUCACCGAGUACGGUCUCCAUGCAUUCAGAUCAUCAGGACAGCCACAAUACCAGCCAAGCUCUGCAAGAGAGAAAGCACAAAGCAGUUCCAUAACUCCAAAAUCAAGUUCCCUUUAGUGUUCAAGAAAGUUAGGCCCCCCACGAGGAAGCUCAAGACCACAUAUAAGGCGUCAAGGCCCAACUUGUUCAUGUAACCUCCUUAAAUGGGCGUCAGUGCUUUGCAUUUUGCAUUCUCUUUUUCCGGCACAAUACGACUGUCUUUUUUAGUUUUUCAUACCAUUUCUUUUACAAGUAUGGUUUCAGAAUCUGAUUAGAAACCUCUGUUGAAUUGUUCUUAACUUAUGAAGUUGCUCACCUUCUUUUGAAAAAGCUGUGACAUUCUUUUCAUCUUUUGUUCUAUUUCUUCAAGUGAAAGGAAAUUUUGAGUAAGUUUUGUGUAGCUACUCGUAUAAAGUUUCUAUAUUGGGGCUUGUAAAGCUUACUAUUUUCAUCUAUUUAUUUUGGUGGCAUUUUUUUUUUGUUUGAAAUUUUAAUAGAUUUGAAUUAAUCUGAAUUAUGAAUAAAACUGAAUAUCUGAAUUUGAAUGAUAUGUUUUUUUUUUUUUGUCUAAAUUGCUUUUAUUUGAAUUGUUAAACAAAUAAUAAACAUCAUAAAAAAUAUAAAUGAGAUAAUAGAUUAUCAUAACAUAAAUUAUAUUCAAUUGAAUACGACUUUUUAGUGUUUUAAAUUAGUAUAUGUUAAUCAAUUUUAUUGUAGUUAAUGAUAUUUUUAUAUGAAAAAUUAUGAAGAUAAAUAAUUUUAAUAUGAAGAAAAUUAAAAAUUAAAAAUUAAAAAUAAUAGUGUACUAUAAAAAUUAAUUAAUUAGAUAGAAAUAUCUUAGAGAAUAUCUUUUAAAAAUAUUAUUAAGACUUUUUAGAUUAAACAAAAAAUUUAAAAAUUAGCUUGAUAAUUGAAUGACUUAGUGAUUGAAAAUUUUCAUUAAGUUGAAAAAAUAAAUGGACUCAAUGAUUUAAAUGAUUAAAAUUAAAUUAAUUAAGCUUAAAAAAAAAAAACAGCCGAUUGGUACACCAUAGUUUGUGACCUUGGUUAUCAUGUUUGAGAAUCGUGGAUUAUAUUCAUGAUAAAGAUAAAUGAAAUAGGAGUAGAGAUGAAGAUGAUAGAUCCAUUGCGUCUUGUCUGUAUCACAAAGCAGAGUUCUAAUCGUUUUGUAUUUCUCUGAAAGCAGACCCCAAAAUUAAGCAGAGCCAUUAAUCCCCAUAACAGUAGAAUUGAAAUUCCGUAUAAGCCAAGACAAAGUGGACCUACAUUCGUGUGAAAGCAGAGCACAUCAUGCUGCUCGAUUGUGCAUUUACGAAAAGGCAUUAUAUUUCCUGGCGUCAUAUGACAGAAUACAGAUCUUGUUUCUAGAUGCUUGCCAUUCAAAUGCAGGUUUAGAUUUUAUUUUACAAACAUUUAUACUUCAAAAUUCUUACUAUAUGAAUUUUAGUUUAUUUUUUAAAAUUAAUCGAUCCCAUACGGUCUAGUUCUAGAACAAUGUCCACAGUUCACAGUCACAUGCAAGCUUGACACGUAUCGUUAACACCGCUUACUGGGGACAAUGUCUUUGUCCGGGGAAAUUCUGAAAUCAUCGAUCCAGAAAACACCUAAUCAAAAACACAUGCAAAGGAAAACGAUUUUCUCAUUCGCUUGAUGACUAUAUAUACCAUUCUCGUUCGUCUCUGCAAAUUUAAACCCACAAAAUCUGUCGGUGUGAAAUGGAGUUGCCUCUGAAAUCCAUAGCUUUGACCAUUGUUAUUGUAACGGUGCUAACAUGGGCAUGGAGAGUGCUGAACUGGGUGUGGCUGAGGCCCAAGAAGCUGGAGAAAUUCCUGAGACAGCAAGGUUUAAAAGGCAAUUCUUACAGGCUUCUGUUUGGUGACUUGAAAGAAAAUUUCAUCGAGUUGAAGGAAGCAAAAGCCAGACCCCUCAGUUUGGAUGACGAUAUUGCUAUUCGUGUCAAUCCAUUCCUUCAUAAACUGGUAAAUGAUUAUGGUAUGUAUGUCAAUCCCGGCGUGUACUCUUUUAACUUUACUCGUUCAAAAGUAUAUUUGUUCUGUUCUGGACUCAAAUGACUCAAAUACGCCACUGCUUAAAGAAUUCAUCCUGUCUGAUGAAAGAAAUUUGAUUAGACUUCUGAUUCAGAAGAGAUGGUUCACGUAAAGAUAAUUCUUGAAACAUAAUUUUGGUGGGUUAAAACAUAAUUUUAUUUUUACGCUUCUUUGAUCAGAGAAAAAAAUCGAUGUUGCAGCUAAACUUCUCUCUCUCUCUUUUUUUCUUUUUAAUUAAGUGGUGAUACUUUACCACUCAGCCUUGACCGAGUGGCUAGAACCACUAUUGUCUUGAUGAGAUAGGCGUGUGGGUGUAAUUCAACCUGUGGAUGGGCUAUGCCACAUGUAAAAUUCCCAGAGGGCAGCGUCGUUGCUUUUGCUGAGUGUUGUCUGAUUAAUUCACUGUUUCAACGCCGUUAGGCUUUUACAUAAUCUUAUGAAAUCGUGCCAUGUUUCUAAUUGUUUACCUUAUAAUGGGCAAAGUUGCUUGUUAGAUCUUUUCUGCUUGAAGUAAAAUCAAUUAGUAUGAAUGGUUAUUCUUUGACUGAUUUGUGAAUAAAAUCACUAAAUUUUUACAGCUUAGGUAUACUACCAUUUUCAAUGUACCAUCUGCCUCUAACAAGUAACAUGUGCAAAUAUUGGUAAAAAAUUUCUGCAGGUAAGAAUUCUUUCAUGUGGUUUGGUCCGACACCAAGGGUGAAUAUUAUGAAUCCUGAUCAAAUAAAAGCGAUAUUUACCAGGAUCAAUGAUUUUCAAAAAGUCAAUUCAAUCCCACUUGCCAGGCUGCUGAUAGUUGGAUUGGCUACCCUUGAGGGGGAGAAGUGGGCUAAACAUAGAAAACUCAUCAACCCAGCCUUCCACCAAGAGAAGCUCAAGGUUUAUUAAUUAACUUCUCCAUUUGUUUACAUAUCUUUGGAAGAUUCGAUUUUGCCCUCAUUUAGAUUUCUUGCUUUUGUUACAGCUUAUGUUGCCAGCAUUCUACUUGAGUUGUAUCGAAAUAAUUACAAAGUGGGAGAAGCAAAUGUCUGUAGAAGGAUCAUCUGAGUUGGAUGUAUGGCCUUAUCUUGCAAAUUUGACAAGUGAUGUGAUUUCUCGAACGGCUUUUGGGAGUAGUUAUGAAGAAGGAAGAAGGAUUUUUCAGCUCCAGGCAGAGCUAGCUGAACUCACAAUGCAGGUCUUUCGUUCAGUUCACAUUCCAGGAUGGAGGUAUAUUCACAUUUCUCUUCACUGGAAACAUUCAUAUAUACAUGUCAUAUAGGAUUAUUUAUGAUUAGGCUUUGAUUAACUUUGCGGGAGUUAUUUUCUUUCGCGCAAAAUAUUAGAAGUAGACCUAGCUGAUUCGGCUCAGAUAUCUUGAUUGUGCUAAUCAUAGAGUUAUUCUAAGAGGCUCCAGCAGAUUUCUGAUUGGUAAAAAGAGGGCAAAAAAAAAUUAAGGGUUUGAUUAGUUUGUUUAGUUCUUGUCUUUUCAGUUGUUUCAUUGCUUAUAUAUAGGUUUUUACCUACAAAGAGAAAUAGGAGAAUGAAAGAAAUUGACAAGGAAAUCCGGGCUUCAUUGAUGGGAAUCAUCAAAAAUAGGGAGAAGGCAAUGAAAGCAGGGGAAGCUGCGAACGAUGACUUGUUAGGCAUACUGAUGGAAACCAGUUUUAGAGAGAUUGAAGAACAUGGAAAUAACAAAAAUGUUGGGUUCAGCAUGAACGAUGUGAUCGAAGAGUGUAAGCUAUUUUACUUUGCCGGCCAAGAGACUACCUCUGUUUUGCUUAAUUGGACGAUGGUCUUAUUGAGCAAGCAUCAAGAUUGGCAAGAACGUGCAAGGCAAGAGGUUUUGCAAGUGUUUGGCAAUAAUAAGCCCAACUAUGAUGGAUUGAAUCACCUCAAAAUUGUAAGUACGAAGGAAAUAGUAUUCGAUAUUGAUCAAUUUGAUCAUAUUAAUCUCAGUUGUGUUUGUAUGUAUGUGACAGGUCCAGAUGAUACUUUACGAGGUACUCAGGCUUUAUCCGCCCGUAACUGCGCUUAGUCGAUCUGUUCUUAAGGAAACGAAACUCGGAAACUUGACAUUACCCGCUGGGGUUCAAAUUGGCUUGCCAAUGAUCCUAGUUCACCAGGAUCCUGAACUUUGGGGUUACGAUGCAGUUGAGUUUAAGCCGGAAAGGUUUGCGGAAGGAAUUUCAAAGGCGGCCAAAAAUCAAGUUUCAUAUUUCCCAUUCGCAUUGGGUCCUAGGAUAUGUGUUGGACAAAAUUUUGCUCUAGUAGAAGCAAAAAUGGCCAUGGCAAUGAUUCUUCAAAACUACUCAUUCGAGUUGUCUCCAUCCUAUGUCCAUGCUCCAACGGCGGUUCCAACCCUUCAUCCGGAACUGGGUACCCAAUUGAUUCUACGGAAACUAAGGUGCAAAAAUAAUUAAUGCCGGCAACUAUAUAUUGUCAAUAAGAUUAGCAUGAUGCCAAUGUAGACUCUUUUAUAAUGAAGUUUAAUGUAUUUAAUUUUGUAUUGAGAUUCAAAGCUUAGACAAGAGCUGUUUAGAUUUUUAAAUUGAGCUCAACACAACUCUAGUUUUAUUUAGAGUAAAGAUGUUUCCCCACAUUGGAAAAUUUUAUAACGCCAUGAUUAGAAUUACAGCAUUAAUGUUGUGGUAAAAAAUAUAUUUUAUAAAAGGCCAAAAGCUUGCUUAGUCCCUACAUUAUGAGCUUAGUGCUCAUUUAAUCUCUAUAUUUUUAAGAAUACCUCAAAACGUCCUUACUAUUAAAUAUUGACAUUUAUACCAUUAUUUUUUUAGCAUGUUUUUACAAUUUUACACUCUUACAGUAAUGUUUCUUUUUUAGAAAUUAAUAAAAAAUUGGAUUAUCAAAUUAAACCCAAAAAUAAAAUAAAAAACAAAAAAGAUAUAUAUUAAUUUUUGUGGAAGCUCAUGUGUGUCCAAAAAAAAAUAAUUUUGUAAAAAAUUAAAUUAUCAAUUUUGUAAAAAAUUAAAUUAUCAAUUUUGUAAAAACUUAAAUUAUCAAUUUUUUUUUAAAAAUUAAUAUUUUAACUUCUCAGCAGAGUGUUCCACAAAAAUUAAUAUAUAUAUUGUUUUUAUUUUAUUUUUUGGUGUUAAACUAGUAAUUUAAUUUUUCUUUUUAAUAAUGUUUAAAAAAGGAACAUUAUUGUAAUAGGGUAAUAUUGUAAAAAUAAGUCAAAAUGAACAAAAGGUAAUGGCAAGGAUGUCAAUAAUUUAAUGAUAGGGAUGUUUUGAGAUGUUUUUAAAAAUAUAAGGACUAAACGGACACUAACCUUAAAAUAUAGGAACUAAACGAACUUUUACCCUUUAUAAAAUUAUACAUAAGAUAAGUGAUUGGAAGAUAAAACAUGUAAAUUAAUAUAAGCCAGUUAAUUAUUAAAACAAUUAACAUGAUUUCUACAUAAUUUUAGUGAAAAAUAAUUUUUUCAUUUACUUUAGCUAAACAAUGAAAUAAAAAUAGUCAUCAAUCUAAGACCAAAAAAAUUAUACUAAAAACAAGUAGAAUAAGUUUUACUGAAUUGGUUUAAGAAUAAAUUCUAUAUUUGUCUUAAGAUAUUUAUAAACUUUUUUUUUUCAUUUUCUAUCAUUGUUUUUUUUUUACUACACAAGUUAACUAAGUGAAAUAAUUUAUCUUAAUGUGGAUUAAACAAAAAAUAAAAUAAAAACAUGUUCUUAUAUUACUAAACACAUAUAUGACAUAUCAAUAAAGUUAGAUUUAAUUUUGAGUUUUACAAGUACUUCUUGUAAUUUUAACCGUGACCCCUUACUUGUAUUUAGAAACUAGUUGCAUUACUGAUGAGGAGAUUUAGAAGGAUGAAAAAUCAUGUCAUCUUACAAUAAAUUCAAAAAACAUUAAAAGAAUAGAUUUCAAAAUCUAAUUUUGAGAAUAAAUUUAUAUAAAACAUCACAUUUAUUACAUAAGACCAAAACUAUCAUUAUUCAAUUUAAAAUAGAAUUAAUAAAUAUAUAAGGUAAUCAAUAUUAUAAUGAGUUUUUAUUUUACAUUUGUAAGUUUUUUUUAAUAACUCUUAUAUUAAUUUUGUAAAUUACACCUAAACUUAUGUUUUAUUUGUACUUAAUAUUGAUUUAUAGUUUUAUAUUAUGUCUUUAAAUUUUUAUUUUGUUCACUACCAAUACAUUAAUUUACCAAUCUUAUAUUAAUUUACUUAUUUUAUCUUUUAUUUACAUGUCUUAUGUUUCAUUUACGCAAUUUAUAUUUUAUUUCACACUAAAUAUUGAUUUAUAAAUUAUAUAUUACAUUUGUAAGUUUUUCUUUUGUUUAUCAAUAAUAUACCAGUUUAUCACUCCUAUUUUAAUUUGUUUGUUUUACCUUCUACUUACAAGUCUAAUAUUUUAUUUACAUAAUUUAUAUGUUAUUUCACAGUUAAUAUUGAUUUACAUGCUUUAUAUUAAAUUUAUAAGUCUUAUGUUUCAUUUACAUAAUUCAUAUUUGAUUACAUAAAUUCAUGACAUCAUCAAGUGACCUUGUACUUUAUAAUCGGGUGAGGCUAUUUAUUUAUAUAUUCUAAAAGUUAUUUUUAAUCCUCUUUAUUUAAUAAAAUUUUAUAUUAUAAAAAUGUCCUUUUAUGAAAUUAGUAUUAAGGAUUGAAUAAUUUUAACUUGAAACAAAUAUCCUUGACACACCCAUGUAUUAUAAAAUCUUAAAUCACCAUCAUCAUCUUCUUCUUCUUCUUUUUAAAUCAAUUUUUUUUCAAUUGGAAAAUUUGAAAGAUUGAAGACUUCUUUGCAAAUUUUUGUCAUGGGUGCACGUAUCCUCACUCUAAUAUCGUUUUCACCAAAUAUAUUUCAUUAACAUCUUCGAAAUAAGAUUAAUGGAAAUUAUAUUUAUGUAACUGAUACCUCAAUGAUAAAUUGUAGCCAAUACAUACUAAAAAUCAAAAUCACAAGAACUAUGAUUCAAUAAAAGAAACGAAGAAUUAUGAUUCAAUAAAAGAAAAAGGGAUAUAUAAUUUAUCUCAAGCCUUUAAUAAGAAGAGAGAAAAUUACUUUAGAAAAAGAAUAAUAAAACAGGAGCCCCCCAAAAAAAAAAUUCAAGACUAUUUUUUAGAUUUAUAUAUUUUACAUAGUAAAAAUUUGAUUUUAAAUUUUAAACGUUGUAUUUGAAAUAAUGAGUGCGCAGGCGGACCUAAGCGGGGGUGUAGCCCGGAUUAGUCCAGGAAAGUUAUUUAUAGCCCUUAUUUUUUUAUUAAUUUUAUAUAAUAAUAUAGUUUUAUUUUUUUUCAUAUUUGUCCCUAAUUUAACUACCCUUAUGUUUUUUUUUAUCAAUUUUAUAAAAUAAUACAGUUUUUAUUUUAUUUUCAAAUAUGUUCCUAAUUCAAUUAUAUUUUCUUCCCAAUUGGAAUUAGUGACUUAUUUCAUGAAAUAAUUAAAUUAUAUAUUUAUUGAAUAAAUUGAAAAGAUUUGGGAGCUAAAAUAUUAUUACUGUUUUAAUUUAUUUAUAAAAAUAAUUUAAUUGAAAAAAUGCCAAUACUUACAAAAACAAAAUAUAGUAACAACUAUAUAUCAACAUUUCUUAACUUUUAUGUGAAUUUUGAGAUUUUAGUUAUUAGUUACAUUAACCAAGAGGAUAAGUUAUAAGAUAAAAUUUAAAUAUUUUGAGGAGUUUUUGAUAGAAAAACCGUCAACAGUAGGUUCUUUAAAAAAAAGGUAGAGUGUAUGACAAAGAAACAAUGAUACCCAAAUAACUUUAUGUUAAGUUGAGUUUAGUUUAUUAUUAAAACUUUUGACUAAUAAUAUUUUAAAAUUUAAAAAGACGAAUAAAUUUUAAUUGUUUAAUUUAUUUAAGCUUGGUAAUUAAGUACUUGACUUCAAAUAUAAAAGUUUUACUACCAUUUUUAAUAAAUUGUGAUUACAUGUAUAGAUUUAUUUUAGCUUGAAAUUCUCAAUUGAUUUACUUAAAGGUUUUAUUGAGGACUUUUUUAGUAUUUUAAAAAGUGUGCAGAGUUAAAGAGAGUAGCUUUUUCAGUAUUUUAUGAGAUCGUGGCUGCAGCUGUUAAGAGAGUAGCUUUAAAAGGAAAUGUGGCAAACAUGGAGGCAGAAGCAGUGCUGCUUGGUAUUCAAGUAGCUCAGAAAACAAAUUGUACCCUAUUCAUUGUCGAAUCAGACUUGAAGGAAGUUGUGGAGCUCACUUUAAACAAGAAGGAAAGUUUAGCUAAAAUUUGUUGGAACAUUGAAGAAAUACAAGCAGAGUUGAAAAACCAGGCCUCGGCAGCUAUUCGUUUUGUCCCAAGAAAGUGUAAUGUAAUAGCCCAUAACUUAGCUAAUGUAGCUCUUGAGUUUGAGGAUCCUAUCUAUCACAUGGAUAGGUGAUUUCCCUGUCCAGCUGUUGAUGUUGUUCUCUUCUUCUUAAUCAAUUGAAUGCUUUACUUUCUCAUAGAAAAAAAAAGAGUGUGUGCAGAGUAAAAAUUAAUUAUUUUAAAGAGUGAGUAUAUUUGAACCCACCAAAUUACUUUGUAAACUCAUCUACUUAUUAAUUCUAUUGUUAAAAAUUUUAUAUUAUACUUUAUAAACCCAUGUUAAUAACCAACAUAUCCUUGAAAUUAAUUCAUGAUUUUCUGCAACAUUUUUCUUCUCUUCUUCUUCUUCCAUCUCUCCAACCCUUGGCGCAUUCAUAACCAAAGGUCGUAUCCUUCAACUUCUCAAGUGGAAUUUAUUUUUUGUCCGCGCUUGUCAUUAAACUAUUAUAAAGUAUAUAUAAUAUCAUGAAAAAAUUAAAUGACAAUAAGAUGAUAGUUGUAAUCAAUAAUCAAUUGAUUACACAACUAAUUCAAACGCUCAAUAUUUGUCAAUGGCAUAACUCUUCCCUUUCUUAUACAGUGCAAAUUUAAUGAAAUAAAUUUUAGGGAAAUUAUCAGCCAUAUACCUUUAAAUGACACCCGCAUCAAACGUGUGUGAACACUUUUCAAGUGUAUUACUCGUAUAUCCUAAGUUGACAAAAUACUUCUGACAUCCAACAAUCUGUUAACUUUCGUUAGAAAGUUAACAGAAUUGUGACAAAUUGACUAUUUUGCCUUUGAAACUCAAAAUAAGGUAAAAAGAUAAAUUUACUUCAAAAGUUAACGUAAAUUUUCAAUACACAAUUUUUUUUAUUUUGUUAUUAACAAUACAUUUUUUUGAUUAAAAAAUGAAUUAUUAAUGGUAUAUAUUAUUAACAAUUAUUCAUAAAAAAAAUCCAUAUUAUACCAUAAUAAAUUAUUAACAACAUAUUAUUUACACUUAUACAUAUUAUACCAUAAAAAUUUCCAAUUGGAGCUUGGAGGAGUGGAUUUUCAAAAAUUUAGGUUAAAUUUUGGAGGAGUAGAUUCGGUUGUAAAGUAGUUUUUUUUAGCAAUUAUUAAAAAUUAUCCGAUAAAUGGGAUGACAUGUCAUUGUUAUCAAUAUAUAUCAUAUGAUAUGUCAUUUUUUACUAGGUAAAUGGGAUGACAUGUCGUUUUUUAAUCAAAGUUUUGUCAAUCUUAAAAGACUAAAUUACCCUUAUGAUGUCAACACUUGCAAAAAGAAGUUAACGGAUUGGUGGACGGAAGAAGUGUUUUAUCAACUUAGGGUACACGAGUGAUACACUUAAAAAGUGUUCACACAUGUUUGAUACAGGUGUCAUUUAAGAGUAUAUGACUGAUAAUUUUCUUAAAUUUUAUUGCUUGAAUCUAAAAUAUCUUGACUAGAACUUAUUGGUUUAUUGGAUUCCAAUGAGCUUUACUGGUGAGAUAGUUUUGACCAAAUCCAAGUAUCCAACAACUUGAUUGGAUUUGUUUUCGACCAAAGGAGUUGAAGAAAAUUUAAAAAAAAAAUUAAAAGUAUGAAACAAAUUUUCUCUUAUGUCUACAUUGAACAGAUUUAGACAUGAUUAAAAGAUGAGAGCAUGAAGUAUAUACAUACUAUUAUGUCUUUAAUAGUAAUUUACGUUAGAGAUAAUUUAGUAGUAAAAAUGUUUUCUAAAAAGUGGUUCAAAUGAGUAUUAUGGUGGAUUCAAAUAGUCCCACCAUUUUUCAAAAGAUUAGGUUAUUUAUACUCCAAAAAUUACUUUGAACACUUUAUUACUCUGUACAAUCAUGUGCUGGAUUUAAAAUAAUUAAAUUUUACUUUCUACACUCUUUAAAAUACAAAAAAAAGACCUUAGUUAAACUAGUUAAACUAAUUUACUCAAAACACCAAUUAAACUAUUGAGCAUCCAAAAUGAAUUAAUAACAACUUAGUAUAUACACAAAGGAAUCAAAUUAUAUUCUAAACAUAUUCUUUGUUAGCUUUUGUCUAUUAAAGAAUGUAUUCAAUAUUAGUUUUUGCACCCAAUUUUUUAACCAAACAAUUGAAAAAAAUUUUGCCAUCUAGCCCCCCAAAAAAAAAAAAGAAAAAGAAAGAAAAAAGGAAAAAAAGAGGAAGAAGAAAUAGACGAAGAAAAAGAAGACUAAAAGAAGGAUGAGGAAGAGGAAGAAGACUGCAAUUUUUUUUUUCUUCUGAAAAUCAAAGAGUAAAAAUAUGCUCAAAAUAUAUUAAAAGUAUUGAUUUGCUCUUUGUUUAACUAAAUAUUGUUUAAGUUAUUGGAUUUAAAUUUUUUCGGGUUUAUGGCAAGAUAAUCAUAUAUUGAAUAGCGAGUGUUUGGAGUAAUUUUAUUAUGUUAGUUUAUAAGAGAGAUUCCAUAUUAGUAAUUCAUAUAAUAGGUGUUUUUGUAAUAAAAUAAUUUAUUAAAAUAAGAAUAUUCAUAGUAAUGUUAAGAGUGCAAAUAGCCCCACCUUUUUUAUAAAAUAAGUAAAUGAGUAUACAUAAAUAAUAGUAUAUUUUGAGUAUUUUUUCAAGCGCAAAUAGGCCCACCAUGCAUAAUUUAUUUAGAUGAGUUUUAUUUUAUUUAUUUUUUGUUAACUUCAGUUAUCUCUAAAUUAUCGUAAACCUUAAUUUACCCUAAUGAUCAUUCAAAAAAUACGAUCAAAUGGGAACAAUAGAUGAUUUCUUUUUUCUUUUUUUACCUUCUUAAUAGUAAUUGUGGAUUGAUUAAUGUUUAUUAUAGUUUGAGGAUAUUUUGAGAAUAAUUAAUGUAUUAGGGGUAAACAAUUUUUUUUUUUUCAAAUAAUUAACCGAACUUACAUUCUCUAGUUCUAUAGAAGACAGUCAAUGAGUGACAAGUCCACAAAGAUCACCACAUGCAUGAUUGAUAUUGACACGUGUACCAUUAGCUGGAGACAAUAUAAUGGUACAGGAAGAUUCGAAACAAAGAAAAGCCAUUAAACAUAUGCAAACGAAAAUAUGUUUUUAAUUCACUUUCAACUAAUCUACCACGUAGGCAAGUCUCAUUUCUUUGAACACUUCAAAAAUCUCUGUGUGUGAAAUGGAAUUGCCCCUGAAAUCCAUAGACCUGACCAUUGUUAUCGUAACAGUGGGAACUGGGCAUGGAGAGUGCUGAACUGGGUGUGGCUGAGGGGCCCAAGAAGCUGGAGAAAUUCCUGAGACAGCAAAGGUUUCAAAGGCAAUUCUUGCAGGCUUCUGUUUGGUGACUUGAAAGAAAGUUUAGACGAUAAUAUCUCGACUGGAUUGUGCCAUUAUUAAUCAAACUAAUUCAGUUUGCACAAUUGUAGAGCUGAUAUAAGUAGAAGAAAUCCAAAUAGACUUCUCGUUAUAAAUGUAGUUAGUAGAGAUCAUACACAUCAAGAUAAUUCUUGAAUAUUUUUAUGGGUUAAAACGUAAUUUUAUUUUUAUUAAUGAAGAAAAUAUGUAUGGUGUUGAAACAUUUAAGCUAUGUUGUUUGCGAGACCAAUAAUUUUCUUGAUAUCAUGGGCUAAUGGGUGUAACUCAAGCUGUGGUAAGUUAUGCCACGAGCAAAAUAACCAGAGCUUAAAAAUUGAUGCAGGCAAUAAUUCAUUUAUGUGGUUCGGUCCGACACGAAGGUUGAAUAUUGUGAAGCCCGAUCAAAUCAAAGAGAUAUCUACCAAGAUCAAUGAUUUUCAAAAAAUCAAUUCAGAUCCACUUGCCAGAUUAUUGGCACUUGCAUUGGUUAGCCAUGAGGUGACAAGUGGGUUAAUAUAGAAAUCUUAUCAACUAGGUCCACCAAGAGAAGCUCUAGGUUAUUAAUUGAUUUCUUCAUUUGUUUACAUAAAUGUCUUCAUUUUAAUUUCUUUCUGUUUCGUUUCAACUUAUGUUGCCUGCGUUCUACCAAAGUUGUAGUGAAAUAAUUACAAAGUGGGAGAACCUGACGUCUAAAGGAGGAUCAUGUGAGUUGGGUGUACGGCCUUCUCUUGCAAAAUUAACUAGUGAUGUGCUUCCUAGGACGGCUUCUGGGAGCAAUUAGCAAUGUAGGAGUUGAUUUUCUUCAAAUAUUAUGGAAGUAGGUUUGGACCAUCCUGGGCUUAUUACUUCGAUCCAUGUCAUCAUAUAUUUAAUCUAAGAUGUUAAUCAUAUUGUUGAAAUCGAUAAGUAGGACUUGAUUAGUGCAUUCAAUACGUUCUUGUAUUUUCUAUUGUUCUUAUUUCUUAUGGGCAGGCAUGUACCUUCAGAGAGAAAUAAGAGAAUGAAGGAAAUUGACAAGCAAAUACGAGCUUCACUGAUGGGAAUCACAAAAAACAGAUAGAAGGCAAUGAAAGCAGAGGAAGCUGGAAAUGAUGACUUGGCAUACUGAUGGAGACCAAUUUUAGAGAAAUUGAAGAACUUGGAAACAACAAAAAUGUUGGAAUAAGCUUUAACGAUGUGAUCGAAAAGUGCAAGCUAUUUUACUUUGCUGGCCAAGAGACUACCUCUGUUUUGCUUAAUUGGACAAUGUUGCUAUUGAGCAAGCAUCAAGAUUGACAAGUGUUGAGUGUUAGAAAAUGUAUAUUAAUAAAGGAGAAAAUCGUCAUUUUACACUUCAAGUCUCACUAACAUCCUUACUUUUCUAUAAUUAAGUCCCUUGUGAUUUAAUUAUGUGUGUUUUAUUUUAAUGAAGUAUUUUAUGUAUUUUAGGGGCAGCAUGGUCAUUUCACAAUUAACGAAAGAUUAGAGAGCAAAACAUAUAGCAAUUUUGGAGUCAGGACAGUCAAAAGCCUUAGGAGGAGCAUACAAGGAUAAAUAUUACUGUUCAUAUGUACGGUACUAUACAUGAUACUAUUCACGACGUUGUUCACAUAUACGGUAUGAUGACAUGUCAUUGACCGAUGACGUGGCAUUGACCAAUGAUGUGGCACAGACCGAUGAUGUGACAGUAUCGAUUGGACGAGUGAUGUGGCAUUAACUGCUUAUGUGGCGGUGACUGAUGAAUUGGCGUUGACCGAUGAUAUGUCACGAUCCUAUUGGCUAAAAUAUUGAUGUGGUGUUGACCGGUGACGUGGUAGUAUGUUAGUGGAGAAAAAAACGUGCAUACGGUACAUGCAUAUACACAGAAUAACAGCCCUGAUGAGGUGUUCUAUCCAAUCAGAACUUGCCACGUGGCGCAAUCCUUAGCAUCUAAAUUUUUUUAAUUUGAUGGCCAUAAUUUACUCAUUGUAUCUAUAAAAUGGGAGUUCUCCCCCCUAAUUCUAGACCCUUGAAUUCAUUUUUGAGCUCCAUUUUCUGUAAUUCAUUAUUUAUCUUGUAUUUUAUAUAUAUUUUAAUAAAUUUCAUUUUACCCCUAAUUUAAUUAUGAGUAACUAAUUUUCUUUCAAGCUUGGGUUGAAGGUGAAGUCUCAAUAUGUUCCCUGGUUUUUUUUUUGGUAAAUUUAAUUUUUCUUUUUGACUUUUUGUCGACAGAUAGUAAUAAUCUUGUCUAGAUACCGCACUGGUAUAACUGGCUCCCAAGUGUAGUGUUAUUACUAUUUGGCACGAUAAGUCAUUAACACCAUAUUAAUUAGAGUGUGGUUUAUAAGGAGUGGAAACCCCCCUCAUGAUUUAAUUGGCACUAAUAAAGAAUAUUAAGCCCAUAGUGCAUGUUGAUGCAGAUCCAGAUACCCAAGCAUUUCAUUUUAACAGAUUUUACUUCAAUUUAUUCUCUCCAUUUUAAUUUGAAAUAAUCUAAAUCACUUCUACCACAAAUCCAAUCACCCACUUAGAAAAUUAACUCUAUACACAAUUAAAAUCCACCUUCUCGUGGGAUCGACGCUCAUCACCAUUGAUAUAUUCUACAAUAGAUUCGUGCACUUGCGAGUUCAAUAAAAUUUACAUAACAACAAUAACGUGCAAGAAAAGAGGUUUUGCAAGUUUUUGGCAAUAAUAAGAGUGAUUAUGAUGGAUUGAAUCACCUCAAAAUUGUAAGUACAAAUGAAAUUGAGUUGAAAUAUGCUUUACUAUAGUUGAUAAAUUUUGGUCGUAUUAAUUUGCGUUUUGUGUGCAUAUCUUACACGUUCAAAUGAUAUUCUACAAGGUACCCACGCUUUAUCCCCCAGUAGUUAUACAGGCCGAGCAAUCAGAAUUUUAGGAUGAAAAACAAUGAAAUUUGGAUGAAAACAACAAACAUUUAAGGUGGGCGAUAGCACUGUCCUUAAGAUGCCUCAAGAUGCAAUAUCUCGGUGCAAGAAGGGCUAACAAAAGUAGUUUGAUCUCCACUAUACAAUUUCUACUAUUGUGAUGUUGCACUUGAACAUGAUAAUCUAGAACAACAAAAUGUAUAAUGACGAAAGAAAGGAAAACAUAGAGCAAGAGAGUAAGUUUUCGGAUGACCAUAGUGUGAUCUAUUUGGCUCUUUAAAUAGAUACAAGCCCUAACCCAUUUUUCCUCUCUAAAUUGGAAUUAUAAUUAUAUUUAUUAAAUCCUAAUUCGAUUAGGAAUUGAAUUCUCAAUCUAAUUCGAAUUAAAAUAAAUAAAAUUAAAACAAAGGACAAAAACAUAAUAGAUGGCCAAGCCCUCACAUAUACAUGAAACCCCAUGGGGGGGAGAGGGUCCCCCUUGCGAGUGAGUUAUUGGGUAUGAGCGACCAAUUAAUAGAGUCAUGGAAUGAGCUCUUCUCAUGGGCUUGGUUUCAUGCAAAUGGGCCUCCUCUUCAUAGGCAUGUUACUGCACUUUAUUUGGUUUCUAUAUAAAAAUCAACUUAUACUCUCUUAUUUAAGUAAUGUGGGAUAUUGGUAUUUUAAAAUACCAACUCAAUCUUUAACAAUCCUCCACAUAUUUCAAAAUACUCAAUUUCUUUCGACUUCAUCAUAGUCCAUAGAGUUUAAUGCAUAUGAACUGGUGCCUUUUGGCCAAUGAACUAGCCAUUGAAUACCUAACCAUGUCUCAUAGGAACUUGGUGAAACUGAUAAUUUCUAUAAACCAAUAUUCUCUUUUUUUUUGUAAGACAGAGGACUAGAAGCUCAUAUUAAACUCUCUCAAUGUUUUGUUGUUUUGCGAUUUGGCACUUUAGUAGCCAUGUGCCCUUGUUUUCAUGAGCACUCUAGAGAAGCAUGUUUAACUCUCAUAGGAACUUACCCAAUUCUACACUAACAUAGGUGAACCUCCAUCAAGUAUGUCAUGCAGUUUUGACACACCAUCAUAUAUAAAAAGUGAGUUAUGAAGUUUAUUAAAAGCUCAAUUGCUUAACCUAAAUCACUGCGAUAAACAUUAUCUUGUUCUAGGGAGGAUUUACAAAUAAAGAAAAUAUUUAUAGAAUAAAAAUAAGAUUACAUAAUAUUGAUAAUAAAUAUAAGAUUACAUAAUAUUGAUAGUGUUACAAAACAACAAGUAACUUAUUAAACGUUCUUCAUGGGAUCUCCAAUCACACAGGUAGAGUUACCAUCACUCUUGUCUUUUGAUCUAGACAGUAGUCCCAUCUCCCUUGAUGUGAUCUCUACUUAACUCUUGUUUAGUGUUUUUGGUAGAGGAUUGGUCAAAUUCAACUUUGUCCUUACAAAAUUUAGGCUCAUAAUAUUUGAUUCCAAUAGCUACUUAACGAUACGAUGUCUCAUAAUGUGUAUACUCUUCUUAUUAUAUAUGUCACUUAUAGCUCUUACAGUAGCAACUUGACAAUCACAAUGGAUUGGCGUAGUAGUAGGAUGGUGAGCAAACAUGGGAAGAUUUUCCAAAAGGUUUCGCAACCACUCAGCCUCAAAACAUAUUUUCUCUAAAGCAAUUAGCUUGAAUUCCAUGGUAGAGCAAGCUAUACAUGUUUGCUUGGAUGAUUUCUAAGAUACUGCACCUUUAUCAAGCAUGAAAAUAUAACCUAGUGGAUUUGAGCUUAUUUGAUCAGAGAUCCAAUUUGCAUCACUAUACACUUCAAGUACUUAUGGAGAUCUACCAUAUUUAAGCCUAUAAUCAAUGGUUCCUCUUAAAUAUCUAGCAAUUCUAGCUACUGUAGUCAAGUGAUAGUCGUCAGGUUUUCUACAAUUCAUCAAGUACAUUAGGUUACCAAUUAUUUGGGCAUACAUCACUUGAUCAACACUAUGUUAGGUAUUCUUCUUUAUGUGGGUAUUAUUAUCAUACGUGGAAGGGACAUUGUUUUGCAAUCAUAAUACUUAAAUCUUGUUAACAGUUUUUCAACAUAAUGUUCUUGCAAUAACAUGAGACCAUCACAAACUUUUAUAAUUUUGAUGCUUAAAAUAACAUUUUCCUCUAUCAUAUCUUUCAUAUCAAAAUUAGAUUCAAGCAUCUCCUUAAUCUCAUUAAUAGUUCCAACAUUAGAACUUAAAAUAAGCAUGUCAUCAAUAUAGAGACAUAUGAUGAGAAAAACAUAAGUGUUUAUAGAUUUAGAACAUAUACUUUUGUCUAAAUCAUUAAUCGUAUAUCCAUUGGACAAUAAUACUUGAUCAAAUGUCUCAUGCCAUUGUUUCGGUACUUGUUUUAAGCCAUAUAGAGGCAUAACCAACUUGCACACUUUAUGCUAGAACCUAACAACCUUCAGGUUGAUCUAGAUAGAAACUCCUCAUCUAAGUUUGCAUUGAGAAAGACAAUUUUAACAUUUAUUUGACGCACAUGUAGAAUAUGAAUUGAUGUAAGAGCAAUCAAAACUCUAAUAGAUGCAAUCCGAGUUACAGGAGCAUAUGUGUCAAAAUAAUCUAUAUCUUUCUUCUAUAUGAAUCCCUUGGCCAUCAAUCUUGCUUUAUAUUUAUCAAUAUAUCCAUCAACUUUUAAUUUCUUUUUGAAAAUUCACUUGCACCCAAUAGGUUUUAUACCUAGAGGUAUGUCAACUAAUUCUCAUACACGAUUGCUCAUUAUAGAAUUUAGUUCAUUGUUGAUAGCUUCUUUCCACUAUAGUGCAUCUCGAGAAAUCAUAGUUUUUGUGAAAGUCUGAGGAUCAUUUUCCGCAAGAAAGAUAUAGAAAUCAUCCUGAUGCAUUUUCUUAGUUCCACAUUUGAACUUUCAGAAGAAUUAAUUGUUGAUUCAGUAUAGGAUAGUUGUUUCUCCAUGCUAGUUUUUUAAGAAAAAUAGAUUCAAAGAACUUAGCAUUCUUGGAUUCAAUGAUGGUAUUAGCCUCAAAUGAGAUACCUUAAUCUUGUAACACCAAGAACCUAUAGGCAACACUCUUGUGGGCAUACUCUAUAAACAUACAGUUGAUAGUUUUUUGUCCUAAUCUUAUUCUUUUGGGAUCCAUUUUAAGAACUUCGGCUAGACACCCCCAUAUUUUAAGGUGUGAUAAGUUAUGCUUAUAGCCUUUUCAUAAUUCAUAGGGUGUCUUACCUAUUUCCUUAUAAGGUAUUUUGUUUUGAAUAUGACAAGCAGAUAACAUAACUUCCUCCCACAAAUUCAGCAGUGCCCCAUAACUUAUUAUCAUGGCAUUUACCAUGUUUUUCAAAGUUUUGUUUUACCUUUUAGCUAUACCAUUAUAUUCAAGUGAAUAGGGAGGUAUCACUUCAUGGAUGAUACAAUGAUUCUCACAAUAAACAUUUAACAUGCUUGAAUCAUAUUCACCUCCUUUAUUAGUUCUUGAUCUUUUAAUUGUCUUAUUAAAUUGAUCUUCAACUUCACUUUUAUAGACUAAGAAAUUUUCACCUGCUUUAUUUUUAUUUCUUAAUAGAUAUAAUUUUGUAUAUCUCAAAAACUCAUCAAUAAAAGUAAUAUAAUACAUUUUGUCUCUUCUGAUCAUAGAUUGUUUCAAAUCAUCAAGGUCACUGUGAAUUAAAUUGAGAAGUUCGGUUUCUCUAUAUUGAACUUAUCUACAUGUCUUCUUAGUGGAUUUGGCUUCAACACACACCUUGCAUUUGUCAUUAGAUAAGCUCAAAUUAGACUGUAAACCAAGUUCUCUCAUUUUAUUAAUAUAAGAAAAAUUCAUAUGACUAAGUCUCCUAUGCCAAAAUCAAUAAAGUCAACUACACAAGCAGAAGAAGAAGCCUUUUCAUUUAUUAUAAUAUUGGAUACAUAAAGUUUCAAGAGUUCUCUAGAACAAUACCCUUUUUGUCAUUACAAUUUUAUCACCCUCAAAGGAGACUUUGAACCUAGUUUUGCCCGCAUAAAAACAAAUAAUAGAUUGUAUCUAAUCUCAGGAACAUGGAGUACAUUACUCAAUGAGAGGUUUUUCCAAGAUGUAAGCUUGAGAAGAAUUUUACCUUUGCUUGGGAUUGAAGUAGAUCGAGAAUCACCAACUUAAAUAACUUGCUCUCCCUCCCGCACUAGAUUUAGUCAAAGAAAGAGUGUUUAUUGUUAUAUAUAUGUCUAGUAGCUCCAGAAACAAUCACCCAAUCUUUUCUUCUAUUUACCAUGUUCACAUCAGAGACAACUACAGCAGCAAUGAUGUCAUCUCCUUUUCCUUCAAUCAUAGGCUUUAGGAGGUUUUUUGCUAUCUUCAUUUCUCAUAGCUUUAUGCUUGCAUUGAUUAGCAUAAUACCUACUUUUUCGACAAACAAAACAAUGACCUUUCUUCUUAGCAAUGAGCCUUUUGGAGUUAUUAAGGUGUUUAUUAUUAAGAUUGUUCUGCUUUUUAUUAGGUUGAGGAGUGUUCUCUAUUAGAUUUGGAUUGGAAUAAAAUUCCUUUACUUUAUCGAAUGCAUCUCUAAUUAUGUUCUUCUCUUCAAUCUUAAUAUAUAUAAUAGCAUUUUCAAGACUCACUUGCUUCUUCUUAUGCUUUGAGGUUUUAAUAUUGUUGAGUUCUAACAUUUUUAACCAUUUUUUUCUUAAGUAGUGCCCAUAUCUCAAACGCAUUCUUAUAUUAAUAGUAAACAUCGAAGGUAGAACUAGCAAGAGUGUUCAAUAUUGUGUACUUGUAGACCUUGUUACAAAUAUUCUAAUUCUGGAGUUUCUUGUCAUUAUCUUCAGUGCCCUCUUUUAGUGGUGAUGACUGUAGAUAGUCAGUCAGGUCAUGAACAUCUAAUACAUCAAAGAGCUUUACUUGCCAGUGCUUAAAAUUUUUGCCAUUGAACAAUUCAAUCUUGGAGGUAUUUGGCAAGUUUUUUUUUCCUAGUGAUUAUAGUGGAAGCAACUGCUAGAAGAUCGGCAGUGGGAACAAUAAGUCCAGAGGCUGAGGGAGCAUCAUGUCCAACAACUAAUGAAGACAAAUUUUGUGGUUGAAUAUCACUCAUAUUUGAUCUUAAGAUUGUUGGAAUUUUAGGACAAAAAAAUUGUGAAAUGUGGAUGAAAAAUAGCAAAGAGUAAAGGCGUACGAUAACAUUUUCCUUAAGAUCAAAAUGUGCAUCUCAACAUGCAAUAUCUCAGUGCAAGAGGAAGUGAUGAAAGUGAUUUAAUCUCGAUGUUGCACUUCAACAUGAUAGUCUAGAACAACAAAACAUACAACAACGAAGAAAAGGAAAACAAAGGACAAGAGAACAAGUUUUUGGAUGACCAUAGUGUGCUAUAUUUAGCUCUUUGAAUAAAUGCAAGCCCUAGCCCCUUCUUCUGCAUUAAAUCUGAAUUUUACAUAUAAAAGGAUUUGAUUGAACCAUAAUUUGAUUAGAAAUCAAAUUCUCAAUCUAAUUCGAAUUAAAAUAAAUAAAAUAAAAAGGGCAAAAAUUAAAAGAUGGCUAAGCUGGUGCACAUGCACGAUAGCUCCGUGGGGGAGGUGGGGCCCCCUGCACAUGAGUUAUUGGGCAUUCUCUUUAUGACCUUGUUACCACACUAUAUUUGGUUUCUAUAUAUAAACCAACUUAUACUCUCUUGUCUAAGUAAUGUGAGAUAUUGAUAUUUGAAAAUACCACACUAUAUAAGUGAUGUGAGAUAUUGAUGCCCAAACUUUAUCCCUCAGCAGCUAUACUAGUCGAGCUAUUCGAAAAGAAAUGAAGCUUGGAAGCUUGACAUUAAAAAUUUUGAAGCUGUUAUAAUACUAUACUUACAGUUAAAAAUGUACUAGCACUACCUUAAAUCAAAUUUAUUAUGACACUGCUCGAAUUCUUUCCUCACUAAUUAGAGAAAUAUUUACUUUAUCAACAACAAUAAAGGAGAUAUUUCUACUCAUUUUUAAUUGGAAGAGGAAUAAUCGAGUCCUUAACGUGAGAACUUAAACCCAUGCCCUUACUAAAGUGAGAGUAUAAAAAUUCACCAUUUGACUAAAAAUUUCAAGUUAAAUUAUGGACAAAUCCAGCAUGGGACCAAUUUGGACACAUGCCCCAGCUAGUUUUUGAAUUUUUUUUAAUUAUUUUAAAAAUGUAUUUUAUUUUAUUAUUUAAGUGAUCUAGCAAAAAUAAAAAAUUAUGAAAGUGUCCCAAACAAUUUUAAAGAUUUUAUGUUGCUCCUAGUUUAAAUAUCUAAUUUUAAAUAAUUUAAUUAACUAUUUAAACAUUAUGAAAGUUAAAUCAAGACAAAAGACUGUAGAUAAAACAAAAGAGAUUCAUUUUACACUUUUUACAUUUCUCGUCCUUUUUUUAGUGCUUUGAAUGAAAGGUACUUUAUUUAUUUAUUUGUUAUAGUGGUAGUAGAAUAGUUGAUCAGAGCAAUGCGUAUGCAGCCAUACGUGGAUUUCAUUGUAGUUCCCAUAAAUGAAAGGCACUUUCCUACAAUUAUUUAGUUUUUUAAUAUUGAUCCCUAAAUUCUAACUCUAGUCAAUUCUAAUUUUCAAUUAUUCCAAUUGACCUUUUAUCUAGAAAAUCCCUAGUUUUAUCAUGUAUUCAUGUUAACUCUUUGCGUCACAUUAUAUGAACAUAUUUACUAUCAUAAAAAGAUUUUAGAGAAUAAUUUAAUUUAGAGAAUAAAUUAAGUGAUAACUUAAUUGUAUGCAUUGAAAAAUAUGCUUUUGAUUAUAUUAAUAAUGAAGUUGUUUCACGUUAUUUUCAACAUAUUACAUCCCAUCGAAAAGCCUUCAACAAGGGCAAUUGUAAUGAGUAAAUUUAUUAUUAAUGAAUAUUAGUAUUGUCAUGUUAUAUAUUACUAUAUAAAAUUUUAAAUUAUAUUAUAUUUUAAAUAAAGUACUAAUUAAGAGUGUGCAGUCACACAUAGGGAUGGUAAUUAUCAGACCCGGACGAAUCCGGAUAAUCCGGGCCGGAUUCAACCCAUAUAAGAAAAAUUUAAAUCCAAUAUCCGGAUGUAUUCGGGUCCAGUUCUGAGUUUGUGUGAACUCGUAAAUCCGGAUCCCAAUGCUGAAUAUCUUUAUUUUAAUAUUAAUUUUUUUAAUAUAAAUAGAAACAUCAAAGAAAAAGAAUUUAACUGUGCCCUAGUUUCACUCUCAAAUAGAGGUGGCAAAAAUACCCGCCCGGUCCGGACCCGGACCGUACCCGGGCAUUGCGGGCCGGGUAUUACCCGGCUCGGGUAUGAAGCCGGGUCGGUCUUGGGCAUCACUUGAUAAACCCAGAAUCCGGAUUUUAUUAAAAAAAUUAUAAAAUAUAUAUUAUUUUAAAUAUUUUAUAUUUAUUUGACUUAUUUAUUAUACAUAUAUAAAGUUUUAAACACUUAAAGUUUAUAUUUUCAUGUCAAAUUUUAUUGAAAUAAAUUUAAAACUUAUAAAAUUACUAAAAAAUAAAAAAUAUAUACACAUAAAAUAUUAAAAAAUAUAAAAUUCGAGUACCCGGAUUAAAACCCGGCCCGGACCCGAACCCGGACUGGUUGCAUCCGAGCAGGGUCCGGUCAUGGCAAUACCCGGACCCGGCCCGGGGUUUUGCCAUCUCUACUCUCAAAGUCGCGGCCGCCAAAGCCUUAAAGCCAAAAAUUUCCUCAUCAAAUCACCAUGAAUCGUGCUGUGUUCCUCAUCUUUACCGCCAAAAGCCCAACUCAAAUCAACAUGCUUAACCACCUCCGCGGCCGAUGACUGUGAUACGGGUUGAAAACGGCACCAUCAUCAUCAGCGGCUUGAGGGCGAUUGCGGCUGUGAUGCAGUAUAUAACCAUUAUCCCGAUAUCGGUAUCUUCAGCAAGGCCAUGGGUGUCUCAUGAACAGUUUCAACAAUGAUAUUUUCGAGAAGUUGGCCCAAGAACGUGAUUUCAUUCUCUUUGGGUUCUGGUUAUUGAAAUGGGUAGUGGAUUGUGAUUUGAUGGGAGUGUCAUACAAGGCAAUUGCAAAACAAGUAAAGGCUAAAAAUGGGAUUUUGAAAGUGUUUUUUUUUUUUUCUUUUCCCUUACACGACUGUGGCUUUGAGAAGCUUUGGUUGAGUGAUCCAACGCUCAUCGUCAUUCCUUACAGUGAGUAAAGUUUGUUAAAGUUUUUUUCAAAGCAAAUAAGAGAUUUUAAGUUAAAAAAUAUCCGGGUUUAAAACCUGGAUGUUUCUGGAUUGAAACCGCACCGGACCCAAACUUAAACUAUACGGUUACUAUCCGGACCUGGGAAGAUGAAUUGACAUUCGGGUCUACAACCGGAAAGACCAAACCCGGACCCGGACCUAAAAUUUGCCAUCCUGACUCACACACCUUAUGGAGUACGAUUGCGUACGUAACAAACACCCAUUUGACAGUUGUAAGACCCACAACAAUACUCGUCAAAUGAGAACUUAUCACACAAACAGUUGUAUCCCUGAUCAUAUUCGAUUUUGAAUGUACCCCAACUCGGUUUCGAUCCUGGCUAUUUUCCUGUUAAACUUUUUCAUCUACCUACAAUUGAACGAUGGUUAACCAAAGCACGGUUUAAUAUUAAAUUCAUAAAUUUUAAGAGUACAGAUGUCAUUACUAGAAAUUCUUAUUUACAUAUCCACACGCAUAAUUUUAUUUUUGAUGAAAUUUUAGUGUGUUUUUAGAAAAUAUAAUUAACCGAACCAUACACUCUAUGGUUCUAGAACAAAAUCUUGAGUUGUGUAAAAUAAUAGACCCGUGUUCUCUUUUAACACUACUUGUUGGAGACAGUAUCUGGUCCAUCAAACGAAUGCAGACAAAAAUGAUUUUAUCCGUCAUUUAAACCAAUCUUCCAACCUCAAAGAUACAUACUCUCCCAUUUCUCACAACACUUAAAAAAUUUCUGAGUGUGAAAUGGAAUUGACUCUGAAAUCCGUAGCGUUCACCAUUGUUAUUGUAACAUUGGUAACAUGGGCAUGGAUGGUGCUGAACUGGUUGUGGCUGAGGCCCAAGAAGCUGGAGAAAUUCCUGAGACAGCAAGGUUUAAAAGGCAAUUCUUACAGGCUUCUGUUUGGUGACUUGAAAGAAAGUACCAUCAUGUUGAAGAAAGCAAAAGCCAGACCUCUCAGUUUGGAUGAUGACGCUGCAGUUCGUGUUACUCCAUUCCUUCACAAACUGUUCAAGGAUUAUGGUAUGUAUGUCAGCGGCCUCAUAUUCUCUUUUACUUGUUUCCAAUUUCAGUAGGUAACAGCCUAUCCACUCAUUGGUUGAACGGUGUCAUUAUUUACAAAGUUAAUUUAGAAGGUUCGUUAGAGUUAUAAUUAUAAACUAAAAAUUGGAUUUUGAUUAUAAAUAUCAGUGAAAAGUAUAACAUGAAAAGUUGGUUCUUGAAAAUUUUUAUGGGUUAAAACAUAAUUUUAAUCUCCUUCGAACAAAGAAAAACCUAAUUAUAGGUCUGGGAUAUCGACGUUGCAGCUUUCCUUGGGCUUUAUCCGUUAUUCUUUGUUUAUUAUGAAGAAACUUUAUAUAUUGUGAUAAACGUUAUAUAUCGUGAUAAACUGAUAAACGUUUUUAAACAUUAAUGCUAUGGGAGAAACGUCGGUGAGGUAGUGUGGACUACAAGUGGAUCCCGAUGAUGCUCAGCCAUUUCUUUGUGGGACUACAAGUGGAUCCCGAUGAGGUACCCACUCCUCUGCCAAAUCACAAAACAUGUGUGGCGCUUGAGGUGGUAGGCCACCCCUCGGAAUUUUGUCUCUAAAAGCUACAUGUAUCUAGAGAUUGGGAACUAUCUAGUUUAGCUCGGCUCUGGGUGAAAACCGAACUAAACUAAAAUAAAUUGAUUUAUCAUUUUGUGGAUUAUAAAUCAAUUUGUGGAUUGAAUACGAAUCAAAUGCUAGAAUUGAACUGAAUCGAAUUAAUUUAGUUCGGUUCGAUUUUGUGAUUGGGUUUAGUUUUGAUUUUAUUUAGUCCAAGCAAUUUUACUUGUAUAUUUUUUUUAAUACAAACUUUGCUUGUAUAAUUAUUCAAUAAAAAACAACAUAAUAAUAUAAUAUUACUAUAACAACAAUUUUAAGUCCAUAAAUCCACGAAUAAUAAACUAUGUAAUAGAAUUCAACACAAAUAAAUCAACAUAAUAAAGUCACAACACGAAAUAUACAUAAUUUAGAAAUUCACUACAAAUUACAAAUCCACAACAAUAAAUAAAACAAGAAAGCAACAAUACAAAAUCAUAUAUAGGAGAAAUUUCAAAGUUCCACGUCAAUUUAAAUUUGUGAGUUUUAAUUUUUCUCUCUAAAGCAUUUGGGUUUUCAGUUUAGUUCGAAUUAAACAAACACAAAUUGGUUUGGAGAUUUAUGAAUCAUUUGAUUUUUUACUGCCCCCAACCGAAUGUCUACCCCUAUGAGAGACCAAUAAUUUUCUUGAUAAGAUGGGAUAGUUGCUCUAACUCAACCUGUUGAUGAGCUAUGCCACGUGUAAAAUUCCCAGAGGGAAAAUUGGUCUGUGGAUGGUGUUACUCCCCGUACAGUGCACAAUAGCGUUGUGUAGUUUCAACAUCAUUUGCAAAAUCUUGUGAAAUCACACCAUGAAUGUAACUUCUUACCUUGUAUUAGGCUUAGUUAUUUGGAAUAGAAGUUUAAUGAUUGAAGUAAAAUCAAUUGGCAUUUAUUCUUGACUAAGUUUUGAAUAAAAUCACUAAACUUUUACUGCUUAAAAUGUGGCCAUGCGCAAUGGAGCAUCUGCCUUCUAACUUUUGCAUAUAUAAUGUUAAAAACACUAAUGCAGGUAAGAAUUCUUUCAUGUGGUUUGGUCCGACACCAAGGGUGAAUAUAACGAAUCCUGAUCAAUUAAAAGAGAUAUUUUCCAAGAUCAAUGAUUUUCCAAAAAUCAAUUCAAACCCACUUGCCAGGAUACUGGCAGCUGGCUUGGUUACUUAUGAGGGUGAGCAGUGGGCUAAACACAGAAAAAUUAUCAACCCAGCAUUCCACCAAGAGAAGCUCAAGGUUAUUAAUUUCUUUAUCUGUUUACAUAAAUCUCAUUGGAAAAUUCCAUAUUCCCUUCAUUUUUCAUUUUGAUUUCUUGCUCUCAUUACAGCUUAUGUUGCCAGCAUUCUGCCAAAGUAGUAGUGACAUAAUUACAGAGUGGGAGAAGCUAAUGUCUACCGAAGGAUCAUGUGAGUUGGAUGUAUGGCCUUAUCUUGCAAAUUUGACAGGGGAUGUGAUUUCUCGAACUGCUUUUGGGAGUAUUUAUGAAGAAGGAAGACGGAUUUUCCAGCUCCAAUCAGAGCUAGCUGAACUCACAAUACAAGUUAUUCGUUCAGUCUAUAUUCCAGGAUGGAGGUACAUGUACAUUUCCUUGUUAGAUCAUAAAUGCUUAGUUAUAUUUCCGCUUUGAUUAACAUGGUGGGAGUUAAUUUUUUUUUUUUUUGGGGGGGGGGGGGGGGGCAAUUACUGAGAAUAAGAUCCACGCAACUCAUUUUGGUUUAGAUAACUCAGAUUGUGCCAUUAUAGUGUUAAUCUAAAAUGGUUCGGUGGAUUUCUGACGUUAAAUAUUAGUAGAUUAUAAUUCAAAAUAAAUAAAUAAAUAAAGACUAGGGGUUGAUUAAGUCAUUUAGUUAUUAUCUCUCUCAUAACUGUUUCUAUGCUUAUUUGUAGGUUUUUGCCUACUAACAGAAAUAAGAGAAUGAAAGAACUUGACAAGGAAAUAAGUACUGCACUCAUGGGAAUCAUAAAAAACAGAGAGAAGGCAAUGAAAGCAGGGGAAGCUGCAAAUGAUGACUUGUUAGGCAUACUGAUGGACACCAAUUUUAGAGAAACCGAAGAACAUGGAAAUAACAAAAAUGUUGGAAUGAGCUUCAACGACGUGAUGGAAGAGUGUAAGCUAUUUUACUUUGCCGGCCAAGAGACUACCUCUGUUUUGCUUAAUUGGACAAUGGUGCUUUUGAGCAAGCAUCAAGAUUGGCAAGAACGUGCAAGACAAGAGGUUUUGCAAGUUUUUGGCAAUAAUAAGCCAGAUUAUGAUGGAUUGAAUCACCUCAAAAUUGUAAGUACAAAGGCAGUUGAAUUUGAAUAUGCUAUACUGAUAAAUUUUGGUCUUAUUAAUUUGCGUUUUGUGUGCAUAUCUUACAGGUUCAAAUGAUAUUCAACGAGGUACUGAGGCUUUAUCCUCCAGCAGUUAUGCUUGCUCGAGCUGUUAAUAAAGAAACGAAACUUGGAAACUUGAUAUUACCCGCUGGGGUUCAAAUCAGUUUGCCAGUGAUCAUGGUUCACCAUGAUCCUGAACUUUGGGGUGAUGAUGCCAUUGAGUUUAAACCUGAGAGGUUCUCUGAAGGAAUUUCAAAGGUGACCAGGAAUCAAGUUUCUUAUUUCCCAUUUGCAUGGGGUCCUAGGAUAUGCAUUGGACUAAAUUUCGCCCUGGUUGAGGCGAAAAUUGCUUUGGCAAUGAUUCUGCAAAAUUUCUCAUUCGAGUUGUCUCCGUCCUAUGUUCAUGCUCCGACCGCAGUUCUAACUCUUCAUCCAGAAUUCGGUACCCACUUGAUUCUACGGAAACUGUAGUGUGAGAAUAAUACAAGUAAAUAGUAUAUCAUCAAUAAGAUUAGCAUGAUGCUAAAUUUCCUUGCCGUUGUAAUGAAGUUCAGAGCUUGGGCAGCAGCUGUUUGUGUGUGUAUUAUACACACACACACACACACACACACACACAAAUUAGAUUUUUGUAUUGACAAUACGUGAGUUGAAUCCAUUUUUAAGGAAUCAUAAUUAUCACAUCCCACAUUGUCAUUGUUUAGAUGGUUUCCAUAUACGUGGGUGUGGGUGUGGGGGUGUGUAUAGAUUUUGUAUUGACAAUAUGCGAGUUGAAUCCAUUUUUAAGGAAUCUUAAUUAUCACAUCCCACAUUGUAAUUGUUUAGAUGGUUUCCAUAUGGGACGAUUCAUUAAUUUUUUUGACUUUUAUAUUUUUUAAUUCAAUUAAGAUUGUGCAAGAGUUUGUAUUCCUGUCAUUGCACCUAUUAGGUUAUAUAUAACCAGAGAUUCGCUUUUUUAAAUCGUCACAAAAGAAAUGAAGCUUCAAAAAUUAACAUCACCCCUUAGAGUGCAACUUUUGGUGUUAAUUAACGUAAAUCUCCCAAAGAUAAGUGAGAUCUUGUGCUCAGUGAGACUUGUGAGAUCUUGCACUCAAUGAAUUUGCUCCAAUGAUACUUGUUUGGGGGAUGUACUUCGACGAGACCAGCCGUGAUGAGCAGAUACCUAUUAGCAGGGUUCCCACGAACAUGUAUAUCUUGCAGAAGUCUGGUAGCAGGAGAACAUGAGCAGGAAUAUUCUGCUCGUCCACGAAUACGCCAUCGGCGAGGCCGGUCUCCUGCUAAUGGUUGAGCCUCCUACUAAUUGUUGAGGCGAGGAGACCCGGUCAACAACAGUUGACGAGACGUGCACUCCAACCCGAGAAUCAAGGCACGAAAACCACGCGACCACCCACGAUUACGGAAACGGAGCAUCCAUUUCCGAGAGAUGGGAAGACAAUGGGCGUGGAUUGAGGGAAGGUGUGAACUCAGGAGAAGCAUAUAAAAAGGUGGCCAACAAAGGUAAAAGGGUUAGAAUUUUUGACAUUGAAACGGAGAUAAAGAGAGCACUGAAUAAUCGAUACCAAAAAUAAGCCAUAAGAUUAGUGGCUAACAUUCCCAGGAACACCAAACCUUCAUUUCUGACUUGAGCGUCGGAGGGUUUACGCCGGAAAAAUAACCGGCGUACUCUGACUUGUUUUUGUGUAUGCAGGAAUUUUUGGAGAAGAAGUCAUAGGAGGAGAGAUCCUGAUCGUGGUCGAGUUGAUUGAGCAGAGAUCCUGGUCGUGGUCGAGAGGGUAGCCAGAAUCUCGCAUCAAUAUUUUGGCGCCGUUUGUGGGGAGCUGAUCAAAAAGCUUCUGUUGACAGAAAGAGGAGGAAUACAACAAGUGAAGAAACAAUGGAUGUAGGAGGAAGUAGUGCACAAGGAGGUGAUAUGAGGCUUAACGAAUCUGUGACGUUGAGGGAGAUAGCCAAUGAAGCACGGGAAAAAGACAUGUAUGACCGGAUGGAACGGAUGGAAAAGCAGAUGGAGACCCUGACAACCAUCCUACAUGAGCUGACGAGUGAACAGAGGGGAAUCCAUGAGGAAAGGGUGAGAAGUGGCGGAAUGGCACCAGGGCACGAUGAUAUGAUGAAAAGUCGGACCACUAGGAGAUUUGGUGGUGAGGGAGGUAACUCAUCUCUAUGGGGAGAAGUCUAUAGAGGAGAAGACCAAUCUCCAGGAAGGCAGAUUUUUGAUAAUGAUGACGGGGUGGAGAAUGCAGAGGAAACAGAGCUCAUGCAACACCUACAUGAUGUAGAGCAAGAGCGGGAUCAAGUUGCAGCACGUGACCCUGGUCGUGCAGUACAGUUGGAGGAAGAAGUGCGCAGAUUAGCGUAGGUAAUUGAUGACAUGCAAGGAAGGAGCAGAGCAUCUGGUUGGAGGAUAAUGCUGGACGGAGAAUCCCCGCUCCCGGCAGAGAUCAUGAGAGCAGUCAUUCCAAGGGAUUUUCGCCUCCCAGACCUCAAGUACUCGGGAAGAACUGAUCCGUUGGUGCACAUAGAGCGCUUUAACGACAUAACUGGGGUGCAAGGAUUAUCCUAAGCUCAAAGAUGCAGGGUGUUCCCGCUGUCUCUAGAGGGAUGAGCAUGUGAGUGGUACCGGAAACUUCCUCGAGGAAGCGUUAAAUCCUUCGAGCAGAUGUGAUAGGAAUUUGCAGAGCAGUUUCGUGGGGCAAUGGCACCAGAAGAUGACAUGAUGGAGUUGAAAAGCAUGAAGCAGGGGGAGGAAGAAACCCUUCGGGAAUUCAUAAAGAGGUUUCAUCGCGCUGUCCUCGACCUGAGAGCCUUCAACCAUCCUCAGGCAUUAAGGGGAUUGAAAGAAGGGGUGAAGAUAAGAAGGUUGUGGUACAAUUUGAGGAGCCUAAUUAUUCAGACGUAUGCAGCCGCUUACGAGCAGGCUAAGAGGGACAUAGAGAUUGAUGAGGAAAAGGCAGCACGAAUUAAGACAGACCAACUAGAAGGGUUGAGAAGGAAAGAGAAGAGAGCCUUAUUAGGAAAUGGGCCGAUCAAGAGGAGCGACCACCAUGCCUCAGGUAGUGGUACAGGAGGUCGGGUCACCGCUUACCAGCCUCAUCAGAGGCCACCACAGUAUCAGCGCAGCAGAGCACAACCUCGUCGUUCACCAGUUAGGGAGCCUUGGAGGAGGCAUGAUUCGGCAUAUGGUCAUCCUCAUCCACACCCCCAUGGCGGUAGAGGGAGCAGACCAGAAGCGCUGCCACCUCCUUCAGUUCAGAACGGCACAAACAGGGAAAGGGUUGUGCACAUGAUCGGCCAAAACCAGGACUAUGGGCGGUAUACUUCCUUGAAGAUGCCUCUGGAUGAGGUGUACGAGGCCAUAAAGGACCGGGGAUUACUGUACCUCCCUGCCCCAAUAACAAAGCUACCCGACAGGAGGGAUAGGAGACGUUAUUGCAAGUUCCAUGGCACUCAUGGCCAUACCACAACAGAAUGCUGAGAUCUCAAGACCUAGGUUGAAGAUCUGAUGGGAAAUCGAUACCUGGACGAGUUCAUAGAUGGGACUUUCCCGAUGGCGGCCUCGACAUGUGAAGGGAAGCAGAGUGAUAGAAACUUGAGCCACGAGCAGCCUAUAGUAAGAGUGAUUGCUGGGGGCCUAACAUUGGCAGAAGACUCAAACAGGUCGAGGAAGAACUACGCCAAGUAUGUCAUGACUAGCAAAGAGGUAUUCUUUAACACCCCAGCAGCCAAGCGAGCAAGAGUCAGACAAGUUUCAAUUAUGUAGACAGAUGAAGAUGAAGAAGGGAUUCUAUAUCCGUAUGAGGGUGCUUUAGUUAUUAAAGUCACCGCUGCUAGCAAGAAGUUUAACCGAGUUCUAGUAGACACGGGAAUCUCAGUCGAUGUUUUGUUCAGGUCAACUCUAGAGGAGAUGGGAAUAGCGGACUUGAGGUUGGGGCACACCAAUACCUCCUUGAAGGGAUUUGGAGGAGGAAAGCUGGUCCCUCUUGGAGUGGUCGAGCUGCCCAUCACAAUUGGUAAUUCCCCGACAGAAAGGACAAUGAUACUGGAUUUUGUGGUGGCCAAUGAAGAGGGUCCUUACCAGAUGAUUCUGGGUCGUCCAUUUCUGAGGAUGAGCAAAGCGGUACUUUCCAACCAUUAUCUAGCUCUCAAGUACUAGGUGAAUGGGGUAGUUGGAGUGGUACGAGGAGACCAGAGAAUCGCUCGAAGCUGUUACUCCACUGCAGCAAGGGAAGUGAUGCAGAUUACAUCCCUUGAUAACCGAGUGGGAGCUAAGAAUGGCAGACAGGAACCUGUAGAGGAGCUGGAGACAGUAAGCUUGGGACAAGAUGAUCCUGGAAAAACAAUCUGAAUUGGGUCGAGGCUUAAAGAAGAGCAGAAAUAGGAGUUGGUGCAAUGCCUGCGAGCUCAUGCAGAUGUGUUUGCUUGGACGCACGAAGACAUGCCAGGAAUCGACCCUGAGGUCGCAUGUCAUAAGCUGGCAAUAAAGAAAGGUGCUCGGACAGUUAGGCAGAAAAUGAGGUAUUUCAACCUGGAGAGGUAUGAGGCUAUAAAUGGCGAGGUGGAGAAUCUCUUGAAGGUAGGGUUCAUUCGGAAAGUUAACUAUCCUGAAUGGAUAUCGAACGUGGUGUUAGUGAAAAAGACUAAUGGCAAAUGGAGGAUGUGUGUAGAUUUCACGGAUCUCAAUAAGGCGUGCCCGAAAGACAGCUUUCCCUUACCCAAGAUCGACCAGCUUGUAGACUCAACAGCCGGACAUGGCCUGCUCAGCUUCAUGGACGUAUUUUCGGGAUACAACCAAAUCUCCAUGUUCGAGCAGGAUGAGGAGAGCACAACAUUUAUAACUAACCAGGGUUUGUUCUGUUACAGGGUAAUACCGUUCGGUCUUAAAAAUGCGGGGGCCACGUACCAGAGGCUGGUGAACAAAAUCUUUAAGCCGCUGAUUGGGAGAACAAUGGAGGUGUAUGUGGAUGACAUGAUAACCAAGUCAAAAAUCCCGAACGAACAUGCCGAGCACUUCGAGGAGACAUUUGGACUUCUGAGGAAGUAUAAAAUGAAGCUCAACCCGGAGAAGUGUGCUUUUGGGUUCGAGUCCGGUAAAUUUCUUGGGUUCAUGGUAAGUCAUAGGGGGAUCAAGGCGAAUCCUGAGAAGAUUCAGGCGAUCGUGCAGAUAAAGUCUCCUUGUAACCUGAAGGAAACGCAGAGCCUUACAGGGAGGUUGGCAGCAUUGAGCCGAUUCAUAUCCAAGGCAACAGAUAAGUGCCAGCCAUUCUUUCAAGUGAUAAGGAGAGGAAAGAAAACAGAAUGGACCUUAAAAUGCGAAGAAGCCUUCCAGAAUUUGAAGCAAUAUUUGCAGUAAGCAAUUCUAUUGUCCACGCCGCGGGAUGGGGACGUGUUGUUCCUGUAUGUGGCGGUAUCAGAUCAUGCCACAAGUUAUGUCCUAGUGAGAGAGGAAGAAGGGGUUCAAUGUAACACCCCAAAUCUAACACGUGCGGAGCACGUGAAGAAGGAGGUUACUCACAAAUCAUAAUCUUUACUCAUAAGUUUCAAACUGAAAUUCCUCAAAUUCUUAUUCAAAUAAAUCCAUAAAUCCAAACGUCAAAUACUAAAUAAUCUCUCUCGAGGACAUAUAAAAAUAAUAACAAAAGUCUCAAACUCCAAAUUACACGUUCAUAAUAAAAGUAACUAAAUAGAAACACAAGUUUAUUCCUCCUCUUAUUCAAUAGCAAACGGAAACUGGAAAUCACUAACUCCAAAGCUAAGUGCACCUCUCAAAAGAAACUUAAUCUGCAAAAAGUAAUGACGAGGGGUGAGCCGUCAACUCGGUAAGUAAAACCAUUCCUAACACACUAGGCCUAUUGAUACCAAAAAUAUUGCAAGCCUUCUUUUGUUUAAAGCAUGUAUCAUAAUCCAUAAUUUUCAUAAAACGAUAUAUCACAAUAACAUAAGAUAAAUUCUUAAUAAUUCAGAAUAUUCAAAAGCAUAUUUACUUACGAAUCAAAUCAUGUAAUACGUAUACAGAAAACAAACAGGUUAGCUCAUGUCACAUAGUGUCACCUAUAGUCCCGGUGACCCGGCCAGAAACAGAAUCAGAAUAUCGUGUGCACAUUCAGAACAGAAACCCAGUACUGGUCCAGACAGAUAUAUCGUAUAUUACGAUCAGAAUCAGAAUCAGAAUAACUAUGGAUAAUGAGCCAAAACAUUAGGAAUCUCAUACAAUUAUCAGUAAUUGAAAUCAUAUAUGGGUACAAAACAUUCGUAUCAGAUUUAUAAAAGUUCAUAACAAUAAUUUAGGCUUGUAUAACAUUUUAAAGAUAAAAUCAUAAAAGGUUGUCAUGUCAUAAAAUCAUUUACAUAUUAAAAAGCAUUUAUAAAAUACUUUGUUAAAAAGAAUGGUUUGAAAACAUUUACAUAAAGCUAAUUUUGUUAUCAAAAUUAGUAAUCCUUUAAGUAGUAUCAAAACAUUUAUACUUAUAAUAAUAAUAUCAAAAUACUUCUACAUAUCCAGUACAUUAGGAAUGAAGUUACUUACCUCGACAAAUGAACUUGGAUUAACACACCUCUAAGCUUCUAAGAGCCUCAAACACCUUCAAAACCUUAAACAAAUACAAGAUAUGACAAUCAAUAACUUAUUCUAAGAAUUUGAUUUUCUAAUUCAUACCCGUACAGGUCUGAUUCUCGGAAUUUUAACUCUUAAUCAAAGACUCAGAAUGAUAUAAAAUCCUAUGGAACCAUUCUGGACAUCCAUGAGUACCCCAUGUAAAAUUUACAAGAGGAUCCGAUAUCAAAAACAUUUUAAAAACUAUUUACUUCUCAGCAUAUUCGAAACUGUUUUCACAUAAUCUAAACUAAACAGAACGGGUUCCGUGAUUUUUAUAAAAUAAAAUACUAAUCAGAAAAUUAUGAAAUUAAAACUGGGAAUCCUAGACACAUAUAUUAACAUACAUAUAAACUUUCAGAAUUUUUUGAGUUCAUUUGGUGGUACAAAUAGUCUUGUGAAUCUGAUCACAAUACUGGAAUCGUGGAUUUCCAGUGCAGUGGUUUCUAUUUCCAAAAUACGUAUAAAAUUGAAAACGAAGUUGAAUUUAAUGAAAUAAAAUUUAAUCAAGAAGCCCUACAUGUCUAGUUUCCAGAAAUAUAAAUUUUAUAAGAAAAUUCGUUCAGAAAAUAUAGCUUUAAAAAUUUGAGAUACUCAUGCUGUUCAGAAUAAACGUUGUGAACUUACCCGUCGCUUUGAGUCUCUCCUAAACAAAGGUUUGAAUCCUAAGAUUUGGGUAGGAGCGUAAAGAGCAGCAGAGAAGAAGAAUAAACGUUGUGAACUUAGGGUUAUGGAAGGGGGAAAAGUAUGUAUUUAUAGGGGAUCUUAAGAAACCCUAUUCAAUAAGGAAAAAUAGCCCUUUUUCCAAAAUGAUCUCAUAAAUAACCUCUAUUUAAUUAGUACCCCUUUCUAAAUAAGGGUUAUAGGCCACCCAUAAUUCUCAAUGAAAGCCCAAUUUCCAAUUUAAUAUGUAUGGGAAUUUGUGGCGUUACAUUCAAUAUCCGAUAUACUACACUAGCAAGGCCUUGCUCGAUGCCGAGACCAGAUACCCACCGUUGGAGAAAUGAGCACUCGCCCUUGUGGUUGUUGCUCGGAAGCUGAGGCCAUACUUUCAGGCAUUCCCCAUCUUGGUAAUAACAAAUCAACCAUUGCGACAGACUCUACACAAGCCGGAUGCUUCUGGUCGACUCGUGAAGUGGGCUAUAGAGUUGAGUGAGUUCGACAUAGAUUACAAACCCCGAGCAGUAAUAAAGGCCCAAGCAAUGGCCGAUUUCAUGGCAGAAUUCGCAGAGCCCGAAGUAUGUUAUGACCAGCUGGAUACUGCUACAGCCAACAAUGAAACUCGAGUAUGGCAGGUGUAUGUGGAUGGAUCAUCAGAGGAGCAGGGGUCUGGAGCAGAGAUUGUCUUGAAAGGCCUAGAAGGGGAGGAGAUCUCUUAUGCCGUAAAGUUGGAGUUCACAGCCACAAAUAACCAGGCAGAAUAUGAAGCCCUAAUAGCAGGUUUGGAAUUGGCUAAGGCAGUGAAAAUGGAUAUGGUGAAGAUCCGAACUGAUUCUCAACUAGUUGCAAAUCAUGUUAGUGAAAUAUUUCAGCCGAGAGAUGGGAAAAUAGAACAGUACUUGAAGAAAGUCAAGCAGAUGAUUGGGAAGUUUGAAGCAGUUGAGGUGAUACAAAUCAUAAGGGAGGAGAAUAGUCAAGCAGAUAUUCUGGCCAGGAUGGCAGCGGUAACAGAUCCGAAAAUGCCCAAGUCAGUCCCUCUUGAGGUGAAGUCCAGCCCUAGUAUCGAGCAAAAUCUGGAGGUGCUGCAGAUAGAGCAGAAAUGCUCGUGGAUGGACCCGAUAAUCUCGUACAUCUGGAAUGGGGUACUGCCACCAGAUAAGUUACGAGCCCAGAAGACCAAAGCCCAAGCGUCGAGAUACACAAUGAUUGAUGGGGUAUUAUAUCGGAUGGGAUAUACCUUACUGUUCCUUCGGUGUUUAGACGAGGACGACGCAGAUUAAGUGAUGAGAGAAGUACUUUAAGGAGUUUGCAGAAAUCAUUCUGGUGCAAGAUCCCUUGCCCACAAGGUCCUAAGACAGGGAUAUUUCUGGCCGAUAAUGCACCAGGAUGCGCAGGAGAAGACCAGGAGCUGCGUGAGUUGCCAAAGCUUUACAAAUUUCUUUACUCAACCACCAGAGAAGUUCACUUUUAUGGCCUCCCCAUGACCAUUUGCUCAAUGGGGAAUUGAUUUGAUUGGGCCAUUGCCAAGGGGACGAGGAGCAGCAACACAUGUAAUAGUAGCAAUAGACUAUUUCACGAAGUGGGUAGAGGUAGAAGCUCUCAGUAGGAUCACAAAGAAAAAGACAACUGACUUCGUAUGGAGAAACCUGGUCUGUCGAUACGGGAUCCCUUAUGCUUUGAUAACAAAUAAUGGCAGGCAUUUUAAUAAUCAGAACUUCAGGGACUUCUGCCAGAACCUCGAGAUAGAGUUGAAGUAUUGCUCGCCUGCUCAUCCUCAAUCUAACGGGCAAGUAGAAGCAGCCAAUAAGAUAAUCAAGAGGCUGUUGAAAACCAGGCUUGGAGCAAAAAAAUGGUGCAUGGGUUGAUGAGUUAUCAGGUGUAUUAUGGGCAUAUAGGACAACCCACAAAACAGCAACUGGCGAAACUACAUUCUCCUUGGCCUUCGGACAUGAGGCAGUUGUACCAGUCGAGAUAGGGACGAGCACGCACCGGACAGAUCACUUCAAUGAGCAGGAGAACAACGACCAGAUGUACUUGAAUCUGGAUUUGCUAAUGGAGAAGAGGGAGCAAGCAUCGAAACGAUCAGCCGUCUACCAGCAGAGGGUUGCUCGAUAUUACAACCAGAAGGUGAAUGUACGGUAGUUCAAGGUCAAAGAUUGGGUUUUAAGGAGGGUGAAUCAGAACACGAAAGACUCGACUCAAUGAGUACUUGGACCAAACUGGGAGGGGCCAUUCAGGGUCAAGCAGGUAGCUAGACCCGGAGCCUACAAGCUUGUUUGUGCGGAUGGUCACGAGGUGAAACGCCCUUGGAACGCAGCACACCUCAGGAAAUAUUUUCAGUAAGACUCGUUCCUGAUUUAAAGUUAUUUCUGUUUGCUUUUGUUGUUAUUUGUUUUAUGUUAAAUCAAACUCGUGUAAGCCUAAUUCAGCAAUUAAUGAAUCGAUGAAGAAUUUCAGUCAGCUGUAAUGUUACAAAAAUUUUCUAAGGCAUGCAAAAGCUCACCAAGUCUCAAAGCCUGUUUUAUGGCGAGACCAGAAGCCAAGCGUGCCAGGAUCUGCUCGACCAAGCGAAGGCGAGCAGACUCCCAAGGUUUCAAAAAUUUCUAAGGCAUGCAAAGGCUCACCAAGUCUCAAAGCCUGUUUUAUGGCGAGACCAAAAGCCAAGCGUGCCAGGAUCUGCUCGACCAAGCGAAGGUGAACAGACUCCCAAGCGUUGUAAAAUUUCUAAGGCAUGUAAAGGCUAAGUCUCAAAGUCUGUCUUAUGGCGAGACCAGAAGCCAAGCGUGCCAGAAUCUGCUCGACCAAGCGAAGGCGAGCAGACUCCCAAGCGUUGUAAAAUUUCUAAGGCAUGCAAAAGGCUAAGUCUCAAAGCCUGUCUUAUGGCGAGACUAGAAGCCAAGCGUGCCAGAAUCUGCUCGACUAAGCGAAGGCGAGCAGACUCCCAAGCAUUGUAAAUUUUCUACAGCACGUAAAGGCUCACCAAGUCUCCAAGCCUGUCUUAUGGCGAGACCAAAAGCCAAGCAUGCCAAGAUCUGCUCGUCCAAGGGAAGGCAAGCAGACUCUCAAACGUAAAAUAAUUUACAACUACAAGACGAGAAAGCAAAUAAGAACAUUCUUAUUAAUUUAUCAACAAUCAUAAAAAGUUGCUAGUCAUAACAUACAACGUUCCAAAAAAGCAACUACAACACAAGAUACAUUCAAGAAAACGGCGGGUCAGUAAGCCGAGCAGCCUCGGUUGGUUAGUCCACCUCAGGUGCAGGGGGGUAUCACCAGUUGCAACCGGGGGGGUACUGGCCUCAGCAACAUCAGUAGGAAUUGCACGAGGAGGAGAGUUUCCCUCCUCAACCGCAAUUGGCUCUACCUCUUCGACAUCCUCUUUUCCUGCCUCCUCGUUCAUGUGUUGAGCAACACCAGCAACAAGGUCAUCCAUCUUCAGAUUAGGAUACUGCUUCCCUAAAACAACCAUGAUGCAGCGGUAAGAAUGCCGCAGACCCUGGUCAUAUUGGUUGUCAGUUUUCUUCUCUAGAUUUUCGACCUGAACCUGCUGAGAGUCCUUGAGGGAUUCGAGCUGAGCCUCAUAGGUGGCCUUCUGCCUCUGCAGAUCCUCCUUGACCUUAGUCAGCUCUUCCUCAAGAGUAAUGGCCUUGGCUUGAGCGAGAGAUUCUCGCUCUAUCAACUUUAGAUUCUUGAGAUUCAGCUCUCCUGCUUUCUUCUCGGCAGCAUCAACUUUGGUUCUUGCCAAUUGAAUAUCCUCCUUCAUCUUCCGUUCAUAGCGGCCGACCUUCGCCUUAUAGUAGGUGACCAUGCAGCCGAAAUGGAAAGCACUAUACUGCAUAGCCCCCACCAGCUCACCAGAGUGUUGCCAUCAAAAUCCUCCAAGUCUCUCUUGCUCACGACCUUAGAAAACUCACUGAUGUAGGGGACCAGAUGCUCUGCUCGAUUGUCGGGCAGGUGGGAUUUCGACCUAGCUGGGAGAGAAGAGGAAGUGGGGUCAGUGGCUGCUCCACUAGUUUCACCGACUUUGGUAGGAGGAGGAGGUAGAGUCCUCAGUGGGGGGACCUGCUCCACGGUGUUCACUCGUUUCGCAGAGGGAGCACCCUUAUUUUGGUCGUGCUUGGCAAUAUGUGGUCGAGGACGUUUCUGAUUCAAAGACCCGAUCACAACAUCCUCCAUUUUAUGGUUGGUGGACAUCAAGCGAGAUUCGACCAAGUUAUAAGCAGUUAGCAACUCUCGGUUCGUACAGGAAUUAGCCAGCAUAGCUUCGACGAGCUUGAGCGACUCGGGUUUAAGCUGGUAGUGCACACUCCAGGAACCUGCAAUGCGAACAGAUAUUGGGUUAGAGAAAAUACAGCAAAAUGAAAACCACUAUGGAGACAAGACAUCUAAAGCGAGCAGGCAACCUGGGACCACGAAACGGGGUGGGACGUGAUAAUUCUUCCCGUCAAUCUGUGCAACUUGACCCCAGAGACCCCCAACAAAAAAAGAAUUUUUUCUUCCAAUUCCCACCACCACCAGUUGGAAGAUCAGUUUCCUGGUCUUAGUACUUGAUUGGAAGUAAUACCAGCCGGCGUCUUUGGGGCUACUUUUUAGCUGGUACAGAUGCUUCACCUCAUCAACUGUGGGCUCGCUUUGGCAACAUUUGUCCCACAAUAUGAACAGACCAGAGAGUAUCCUCCACCCAUUGGGGUUCAGCUGACCAGGAGCUAAAUUUAAUCCAUUAAGCAUCCGGACGAAAUAAGGUUGCAGGGGGUACCUCAGCCCAAGCUUAAAAUUCUCUAGAAAUAGAGUAACAUAUCCCCUAGGAGGCUGGCUGGGGGUAUCCUUCUUUCCUGGGAUCCUAAGAGUUAUCUCAUCGGGAAUUCCAUACCUAACUCGGAGAUUAGUGAGCUCGUCUACUGUGGUCGUGCACGUGAUGAAAUCAAUAGCGUAAUGCUGUGAUAAAGCUGUACCUCCUACUGUGCUCCUCCUAUCUGGUCGCAAUGUUCCUGGUGAGGACAUCUCACUAGAAUCAUCUCCCUGAUCUUUACUUAAGGUGUCUUCCGAGCUAGAAAAACCCUCGUCGUCGCUAUUACCGGUUGAGGAGGUUAUUUGGGGGGACAUCCUCCUAGCACUAGUUCCAAUACUAGAUCUAAUGGGUUCUAAGGGGAUCUCGGGGUCAAAGGCAGGACCAGCGAGCAGACUAGGCAAGAAGCCUAACUCAUCGUCCUCAAUCUCAAUAACUUUCUCAUUGCCUUUUGACAUUCCCUAAACUAUAACCAGAGCAGUAUCACCAAACACUACCCAAACAAAACAGAGAAAAGAAAUUGUCUACAACUAUCCAAGACCGAGGAGAUAAGAAUAAUACCUGAAGUUAUGGCUCAGUCGGAGAGAGGCAGGGAUGAAAGGUUUUUAUGCCGAAAAUCCUUCGUCGGAGAGACAGGGAUAAAGAAAAUGACGAGUCUCUCUUUUGGGGGUUUUGGUUUUUCCUAAUAAGGAACAAACUCUUGGGCUGCCAGCAUUUAACGGCGCAAAUCCCAAGAGUUUCAUAACCGUCUGUUUGAAAUUCAAACGGAGGGGUAGAUUUCUGCCAUAUCACGUCAUCCGCAAUUAAAUGCAACACAACUCUUGGCAACCUUUUCCUACCCCGCGCAAGCCGGAACCGUUGAGUUUUCACUGUCAGCUCACUACGUUACCCAACACCAGAAACUGGGGGACCGUUGUUUGGGGGAUGUACUUCGACGAGACCAGCCGUGAUGAGCAGAUGCCUAUUAGCAGGGUUCCCACGAACAUAUAUAUCUUGUAGAAGUUUGGUAGUAGGAGAACAGGAGCAGGAAUAUUCUGCUCGUCCACGAAUACGCCAUCGGCGAGGCCGGUCUCCUGCUAAUGGUUGAGCCUUCUACUAAUUGUUGAGGCGAGGAGACCCGGUCAACGGAAGUUGACGAGACGUGCACUCCAACCCGAGAAUCAAGGCACGAAAACCACGCGACCACCCACGAUUACGGAAACGGAGCAUCCACUUCCGAGAUAUGGGAAGGCAAUGGGCGUGGAUUGAGGGAAUGUCUAAACUCAGGAGAAGCCUAUAAAAAGGUGGUCAACGAAGGUAAAAUGGUUAGAAUUUUUGACAUUAAAACGGAGAUAAAGAGAGCACUGAAUAAUUGAUACCAAAAAUAAGCCAUAAGAUUAGUGGCUAACGUUCCCAGGAACACCAAACCUUCAUUUCUGACUUGAGCGUCAGAGGGUUUACGCCGGAAAAACAACCGGCGUACUCUAACUUGUUUCUGUGUACGCAGGAAUUUUUGGAGAAGAAGUCAUACGAGGAGAGAUCCUGAUCGUGGUCGAGUUGAUUGAGCAGAGAUCCUGGUCGUGGUCGAGAGGGUAGCCAGAAUCUCGCAUCAACAAUACUUAUUCACCAUGAUCCUCAACUUUGGGGUAAAGAUGUAAAGUUCAAACCAGAGGAUUUUCUUAGGAGUUUAAAAGUUCCAACUAAGAUGUAAAGUUCAAAACCAGUGGUUUUUCUUAGGAGUUUAAAAUUUCAAACCAGAGAGGUUUUCUAAGGAGUUCCAAAAGCAACUAAGAGUAAUUGUAUUCUUACAAGAACAUAUUUUGGACAAAAUUUUGAUUUGCCGAAAGCCAAAAUGGCUUUGGCGUUGAUUGUACAACACUCUUUGUUUUAGCUGUCUCCAUCCCAUUCUCGUUCACUUUUUCCACUUAUAACUAUGUAUUCAGCUGCAAUUUGGUCCUGAUUUGAUUUGCAUACACUGUAGAGUUAAAAUGAACAUUACAUUCAGAUAUGAAUUGCUAUCAAAAUUUUCACUCAAAACUCUUUCACUUUAUUGUCUCUCAAACAAACAAAAAUUGACACUCGACAAUCUUUACUUUGUAACAAAAUAGAAAAUGGAGAUUACUGAUUGGUCCGUGAUUUUCUCCUUUGCUUUAUCUACUGCAAUUACAGCUAGUGACUGGAUGCUAGUGAAUUGGCUAUGGUUAAAAGCCCUAGAAGUAAAAAAACAUUCAGCCGCAACUCCUACUUUAAGGUAGUGUUUGGUUAGGAGGAGAGAAUGUAGGAGAGGAAAAUAAUUUAAAUUCAUUUUUUAUUUUCAUUGUUUGGUUUGAAAAAAUGUAUAAGAAUUUAAUUUCCAUUAGAACUUAAUAUCAUCAUAACGUAGAACUUAAAUUCCACACUAAGUAGUGAAGAAUUUAAAUUCCUCUUAUAUUAAAAGCUAAAAUUUUUAAAAUUACCCUUCAUCUUUUUAACUUAUUUAAUACCAUUAAUAAUUAUUAUUUAUGAUUUUUUUUUAUUAAUUUAAUAUUAUAAAUGGACCACCACCAGAAAGUCGCCGGACCACUGUCGAACCUCGCUGUAAUGUCGCUGGACCACCGUCAGACCAUCGCAGGAAUAUCGCCGGAUCUCCUCCGGACUUCCGCCGCCGGCCACCGGGCCGCCAUUUUAUUUUUUAUAUAUAUAUUUUAUUACUAAUAUAAAUAAUUUAAUAUUUAAGGUAAAAGAUAAAUUUGUCUAAAGAAAAAAAUUAUAAUUCAUUUCCUUAUCAAAUUUUAUAUCAAACCAAACAACAAAAUUUAAUUUCACUACUCUUCUCCAUUCCUUUCUUCUCCCUUCCUCUCCAUUCCACUCUUUUUCUCUCCUCCAUUUUCUUCAAACCAAACAUGACCUAACAGCUUUAGAAGUAACUAAUAACAAUACAUAGUUUGAUAUUCAUCAAGAAAAAAGUCAUUUGAAAGAGAAACACUUGUAUGGAUUAUGAUUUUCUCUUGAUCUGAUCUGUCUUUUAAUACUAGUGUAUGAUAAGAAUUUAAUUAUUUUUAUUUUUUAAUUUAUUAAUCACUAAUUACGUUAAUAAAAUUUACUCUUGAAAACAUAAAAGAUCAUGAAAUGAUCGUCCUAACAGGAACUGACAUUUUGAAAUGUUCCACUCGAUUAAUAGGACCUAACAUUUUAAUAAAUCUAAUGUGUCCACAAACAGUAAUAAAUUUGGAGAGUUUUAUUGAAAACACCAAAUUUAUUUGUUAAAUAUUUAUGAUAACACAAAAAUAAUAUUAUCACUUUUUUUUUAAUUCAUACUACAGUUGCACCUGGUCAUUAAAUUAAGCUACUUAGUCAUUGGUUCUCUUAUCAUAAUUGAAUCAUAUAAGUAAGUGCUAAUAUGAUUACACAGUUGCAUCAUAGUUGUACCUAGGGAUGACAACCAAACCCGGACCCGGAUCGAACCCGGACUGAACCCGAAAAAUCCGAUCCGGGUUCAACCCGCACUGGAGUAAUUUUUAUCCGGAAUCCGAAUCAGUUUUUGACAACCCGUAUAUUUCUGGGUCCGGAUCCGGUUUCAGGUCAACCCGCAAAUCCGAAACCUGGACCCGGAUAUUAUUUAUUUUAAUAUUAAUUUUUAUCCACAAAUCCCUAAAUAUAAAUAGAAAAAAAAGCAAAAGUGAACCCUAGAUCUAGAUCUCUCAAUCUCUCUCGUUCCUCUCUCAAAAUUUCUCCUGAACUCUACUGUAAAUCUAUAAUUUCUCCUCUCAAUCUCUCAAGUCUCAUUUGUAAUCCGUUCCUCUCUCAAUCGCUCUCACCCGUGAGCCGUGACUCGUUCCUCAGUUCUCACUUAAUCUCUCUCACUCUCUUUUCCGAGUUGAACCCGAACUGGACCCGAAUUAAAAAAAUCCGGAUUUAAUACGGCUUCGGUUAUGAAUAUUUUGUAUCCGGGUCCGGAUCCGGAACAGCCAAACCCGAACCCGGACCCAGAAAUUGCCAUCCCUAGUUGUACCCUAUACCUAAUCUAAUAAAUCAUUUCAAUGCAAGAGACACGAUGCGGGACCCACAAACGCGACAGAAUUGGAUAUCCCGAUAUUUUAAAAUGGGGCAAUGAUAUUCGGCCACCACAGGAACAUAAGGAAGCCAGAAACGCAUGCUUCCUCUGCCGUUUCGAAGUUUUCAAUUUAAAAAUAAAAAAUAGAUUUUUCCAUUGAAAAAUAUUAAAAUUAAAUCUAAAAAAGUGAAAAAUCUAAAAUUCUUACCCCUCCCUCUCACUGUACCAGUCACUCAUUUGCUCUGUUCUCUCACUCGCCUUCCCUCUCCCUUACCCGCUCUUCUCUCUCACACGAUCCGUCUCUCACUCACCCUCCCUCUCACACACUCGAUCUCCUCGUAACAAAUCUGCCCGUUUUUCGAAAUCGGGCGAAUUGGUCUUUUGCAGUUGCUUCUCUUGGGUAUGCAUCACGUGGAGGAAAUAAAGAUGAAGCAUCAAAACUGAGACGACAGACUGCUUCUUCCAAAGUCUUACGAGCUGUUGCAGCCCAACUCUUCACGAACGGGCUGAAAAUUGUGCCAUCACCGAUCAUAUGUGAAAUACCAGCACAAACAACAAGACCACCACAAGCAAAUGAUGUUACUUGUACCUUAGCCGCGUGAGCUCCUGCUAUUUGUCCACUCUGAUCAUUGCCAUCUGCUGGAAAGAAUUUAUUAAAGAUCAAUGAUAGAUCUGGUUCGCUGAGAAAUUCAUUAAGAGAAAUUACAGCACCGACGUCUACAAAAUAUACCCCCUCAUCAUUGCACGGUGUGCUUGACGAUUUUGGACCUUUUUUCACCAACCUAGGUAACUAAAUUUAGUAUGUUGCGGAAAGGUUUUGAUUUAUUGUAUUUAUAUUUUAAAAUUAUUAGAAAUAAGUUAUUUGAAAUAUAGAUUUUGUUUGAAUUGUAUAUGGUUAAUACAAUUUAUUUUUCAUGGUAUAGAAAUGACGGAUUCAGGAAAAAAUUACGAAGUCGAAGAUUUAGAAGAAUUAGAUGACAACAAUUUAGAUGGAAAUAAUGAAGAAACUGAUAAUGUUGUGGAUGUGAAACAAAAAAAGUAUGAGCCAAAGUUUGGGAUGUUGUUUGAUAAUCUUGAGGUGGAUAUUGUAGUCCCAACACAUGAGCGCAAUAAGGAUCCAGUAAGUUUUAUGUUUUUUGAUGUAAUACUAUUUAAUUUUUUUAAUUUUUAAUGAUCAUUAAAAUUUGCUAUGAUUGUAUUUUUAAUGGUCAUUAAAUAAUGGUCAUUUUUUAGGAACCUCUAUUCGCAUGCCAAUCAUAAGGAUGUGAUAUUUAUCCAUCGUUUCCUUUUGAUUCUUACAUUAUACGUUAUAAUCCAAUUUCUAUGUUUAUGCUUAGUUAAUUUUGUAUUUUUUGGAAUGUGAUAUGGUUCUUAAUUUGUGCAAACUAGCAAUCUCCAUCACUCUAAUAUUCAAUUAUUGAACGUGGGAUAUUUUGAAGGUUUUUUUAUCCAUAUAUUCAAAGGUUGAGUAUGUCAAUAACCAUUACAACAAUAAGAGUAGUUCAUGUAGAAAUGCCAAAUUAACAAAAAAAUUUUAAAAAAAGAAGGUACAAUUAUUCACUUAAACAAAUUACAUAAUGAAAUUGCUAUUCCUAAAAUGCACAACACAGUGGAAAAAAUAAUCCAAAAAUUCAACCAACUUAAAGUUUUGAUUUAUCAGUUUGCACACUCUUAUCACAUAUUUUCUACGUUAGUCUUCCCAACUUAAUGCGUAACUGAAUUGUUCAUUUUCCUCACACAAUUGUAAGCAUUGUAUGUUGAUUCGGCACCCAACAAUGAUAUGUAAGAUUGGAAUGAAUCAAAUACAUAUUACCAACGUAAAGAGAAAAAGAAAAGGCUGUAUUCUAUUUUUCUAGGAUAAAAAUCAAAUACAAGUCACGUUUGGUUUGAUUUUAGAGGAUGGUUAAUGAAGAAAUAUAUGCUUUACUGCCAACAAACGUAAAUGAAGAACCUUAGAAUGAAGCUGCAAUUACUGGAUUAGCAGUAUAUGCUUUACUGCGAACAAAAGUAAACAUAUAUAAGCAAAAACAAAAUUACGACCAAAUCAUAAGCUAUAUAAGCAAAAACAAAAUUACAACCAAAUCAUAAGCUUUUAACAUUUCACAGAGUAUCACACUUCAAAUAACUUGUUUCUAGUAAUUUUCAAAUAUAAGUACAACAACAAUCCAAAUAUUUUUUUCUAAGCAAAGUAUCACAUACAAGGUUUCAUAAAGGCCGUGUCAAAAGAAUUUCUUUAACUGAUUAAAUAUACUAAUUUUAGGUGAUGAUGAUCUAAUACUAUUAAAUUAAAUUAACUAAAUUUCGCGAUCAAAAAUUCAAAAAACGCAUAGAAUUACGGAUCAGGUCUAAUUAACAAUCAAACUUAGCAACCCAGAUGCAUUUAUGGCAAAACAAAAUGUUCAUCAGACUGCACAAAACCACCCAAAAAAGAAUUUAUAAAAUAAUAAAAGCAACAACUGCGACCCGUAUGUGAAUUAGACAACUAGAUUUUGCCAGAACAAGAAACACAACAAAACAAAGAGAAUAAAUCAAUCAAGGGCAUAAACAGAAUGAACAAAAAAGGGCAAGAUCAGCGAAGAAACUGACCCACAACACCGGAUCCUCCUGAGCCUAGCGUCAUAGUUGCGGGUGAGUGACAGCCAAACAGAGGUCCAAAAUCGUCAAGCACACCCUCAAGUAAGACCGAUCGGCGACGUGAAAGGCGUGACAGCAAUGUCGGUGAUUUUCUGGUCGGCGAUGGGCGUGGCGUGAGAACAAGCUUUGCGGGUGAGGGACAGCCAAACAGAAACAGCUCGCUAGGGGGUGAGUGAGGGAGACAGAUCGGGUGAGUGAGAGAGAAGAGCGGGUGAGGGAGAGGGACGGUGAGCUAAAGAGGCAAAGCGAGUGAGUGGUACAGUGAGAGGAAGCAUGCGGAAAGGUGAUUUUCUUUAGAUUUAAUUUUAAUGUUUUUCAAUAAUAAAAUCUAUUUUUAAUUUUUAAAUCUAAAACUUCGAAACGGCAGAGGAAGCAUGCGUUUCUGGCUUCGUUAUGUUUUCGUGGUGGCCGAAUAUCAUUUUCCUUUAAAAUGAGGAAUAUAAUCAAUCGCCUUCCAAGAGGCUUCAUUAAGAAUCAAGAUAUAGAGUAGUUAAGCACAGCCUCUCUCUCUCUCUCUCUCUCUCCCUCUCUCUGUCUGUUUCCUCUCUGUUCUGUUCAAUGAAAAUGGAGGCUACACUUUGGGCUGUGACUUUCUCCAUUGCUUUCUCUACAGCUAUUCUAGCCGUAGCAUGUGCCUGGUGGAUGCUACUGAAUUGGGUAUGGCUAAAGCCAAAGAAGCUAGAAAAGUUCCUCAGAGAGCAAGGAUUCUCCGGAAACUCCUACAAAGUAUUUCAUGGGGACAUGAAAGAGCUUGCCCAGACCACUAAAGAAGCUAAAAGCAGACCCAUCAGCCUCUCCGACGAUAUCGCCCGGCGAAUUCUGCCUUUCCACCAUCGUAUCAUCACCAAUUUUGGUAAGCCUUCCUACUAAUUUAUCUCACUCAACUUUGCUUGGUAAUAAUUUUAUUUUGCUUUUAUAUCAAUAAAAUUAAAUAAGAUUCAAGUUUUUCUAAUUUUAAAGGGAAAAGGAGAAUGGCAGAUAAGCUCUUAAUAUUUCUUGUUUUUAUCACUUUGCUAUUUGAUUUUUUAAUUUUUUUAUUACACCCUUAAUGUUAAAAUCGUAAUUAAAACAAAGUUUUUUUUUUUUUUUACCGUUUUACAGUUAUUAUCUUAAUUUCACUCUAUCGAUAUAAUAUGAAUUUUUUUUUUUUAAUGUCAAAAUUCAUGUUACUCUUCAACAAUAAAAUUCAAACAUUAAAAUCAUAGUUAUGUAAAGAAAGUAAGAGUGAUUAAAAAAUGAAGAAUAGUAAGGACCAAUGUGCCAUUCUUCCACAAGGGAGAAGGGACCAAAAAGAAAAAAUGGGAUGGUUUUUGGAAACUUUCAACCAAGUGUCUGUUUCUGAAGAUUUCUUUUGUCUUUUAUAAUUACGACAAAGUAAUUUUUUUUAAAAAAAAUUAUAUAUCAAAAGCGGAUUGAUAUAUUGGUCUUAGUUGACCGAGAAUUAUUUACACCAACCAUGAGAAUUAAUACAGUAAAACCUUGAAAUAUGAAUACUCGAUAAAGAAAUAAUUUUUUCAUAAUAAUAAAAAAUUAUGAUCACAAUUUGAGAUUAGUUAUAAUUAAAAAUAAAUUUUAUAUUGUAAUAAAUUAUAUUUUUUGUAAGUUCUAUUUUAAUAAACUUACCUCCACAGCGUAAUAAUAUUUCAAAUAUAUAUAUUAUGUUACAUUAAAUAAUUAAGAUAGAAUAAAAUAUUUUUUUAAAAUUACUUGUGACAAUAAUUUAUUCUUUAAAAUUGUAACUAUAUCUUUCAAUUUGUGGAUAUGUAUUAAUUGGUCAGCAUAAAUGCUUAAUAAUUGGUCAACAAUAUCGAUACAUUAAAUUUGACUAACUUAUUAAUUUAUUAAUACGUGACAUAAUUUAUCUUUAUAUCACUUGUAUUAGGAAUAAUUAAAUAAAGAAUAAUUUUUGUACUAUACUUCCAUUGAAUUAUAAUUUUUUUAUAAGAAUAAAUUUCUCUAUUUUCAAUGAUACGACUAUAUAAUUAAUAAUGAAUAUUAGGACUCCUCCUUCUCUUCUUUUGACUAUUAUUACUAUUUUUUUAAAAUUUGAGAUUGUGAUUAAAUAGCAUCAGUCUAGGUGACUGUAGAAUUUUAGUUAUAAAUAAAUUAAUAAAUUUAAACAUGUUAAAAAAAUAAGACAAAAUAAGAUAACGAUACUGAUACGCUGACGCAGACAUAUAAAUGACGUCUGUGCUUAUGCGAGGAAGCCACGAAAAAUAAUAAAAUACGAGAAGGCUGUAUUUUAUUAUUUCAAGAUAUUACUUGCCUAACAAGGCGUUGAUGCCACCUGGUGGAUCGGUUCUGUAGCAUUUUUUUUUCUCCUUUAAUUUGAAUUUGAGAAAGGGCUAAAAAAAUUGAGUUAAGUUUCAACGCUCGUCUAUUUUUAAAAAUAAAUAAAUAAAAUAUGGUGUUCACCUGUUUUUAAUCAUUUUCUUCGCAUUACGUGUUUUUUAACUCGCUAUAAAAAUAUUCAUCUCGGAAGGAUGGUAAUGGCGUAAUGCGUACUUAAGAAAAAAAAAUUGAAAAAACUAAAGGGUCCUUUUUUUUUUUUCAAUUAUAACAAGAUGACGAUGCCAUAAAAUAAAAUAAAUUUUGCGUUUUUUUUUUCUAAGAACAAUAAAAACAAAGAAAAACAUGAUAAGUUGAAAGAUUCUAAUCCGUAAGCUUAUUGCUAAAAUUACAGGUAAGAAUUCUUUCAUAUGGAUGGGUCCAAGACCAAACAUACACAUCACAGACCCUAAAAUGAUAAGGGAAAUCUUUUUGAAGCAUGAUAUCUUUAAAAAGCUGAGAAGCCCACUUGCGAAGUUGCUGGCCACUGGGAUGGUAGGCUAUGAUGGUGAACAGUGGUUUAAAGUUAGAAAAAUCGCCACUCCAGCUUUCCAUCAUGAUAAGUUGAAGGUUCGUUUUCACCUUUAUACUUCGUUUAAUCACACACAAAAACACACCAUUUUCAAUAUGCAUAUUCAUAUUGUUACAUGACCAAUGACAAUGUUUGACAAUUUCUUUUCUUCUUUUUUUCUUUUUAAAGAAUAUGUUACCUACAAUUCAUAAGAGCUGUAACGACAUGCUAAGGAAAUGGGAGAUGUCGUUUUCAAAGGAUGAGUCCUGUGAGUUAGAUGUGUGGCCUCAUAUUCAAACUUUGACAGCGGAUGUGAUUUCUCGAACAGCAUUCGGCAGUAACUUUGAAGAAGGAAGAAAAAUAUUUGAAGUCCUAAGCGAACAAAUUAAUCUUGUAAUUCAAGCUUCAUUGUUUGCUUAUAUUCCAGGAUGGAGGUAAUUUUAAUAAUCAACUUAAAUUAUUCCUCGUAGUACUCUUGGUGACCUGAGCUGUGCUAAUUUUUUAAACAUCUUAUAUCAUGUGUGUUUAUAGCACUGCAUAAGAUUAAAAGUGGUCUUCUAAAAAAAGAAUCCUUAUCAUUAUAGUGUAGAAAAGUGUUGUCAAAUGUUUUAGCGUAUGAAUAAUUUCCACGUGCCUUGCACUUAAUUAUGAGAAUGGUUUAUUGGUAGGUUUGUGCCUAAUAAACUGAACAGAAAAUUGAACAGCAACCACAAUGAAAUGGGAGAACUGGUAAAAGGUAUCGUUAACAAAAGAAAGGAAGCUCUGAAAGUUGGAAAAGCCAGCAAUAAUGAUGACUUAUUGGGUAUAUUGAUGGAAUCAAAUCACAAAGAGAUUCAGGAGAAGGAAACUGGAAUGAGUAUUGAAGAGGUGAUUGAAGAGUGCAAGCUGUUCUAUCUAGCUGGGCAGGAAACUACUGCAUCAUUGCUUGUGUGGACAACGGUUUUGUUAUGCAUACAUCCUGAAUGGCAAGAACGAGCAAGGGAAGAGGUUUGUCAAGUUUUUGGAAAUAGAGAACCAAAAUUUGAAGAGCUGAACCAGUUGAAAGUAGUAAGUAAUCUUACUCUUACUUAAAUAUCUAAUUUGUCGAAAAUUUUGGGAAGACUCAAUUUCUUGUUAAUUUUCAGGUGUCAAAGUCUGGAUUUACAAAAUAUAAAUUUGAACUACCAUUAGGACUCUAGGCUGGGGUAGAAUUAUUUUUAUUCUAAUCAUAGAUCAAAUUUGGAAUUUGGAAUAUCCAAACAUCCGCACUUGAAAACUACUUCUCCUUAAAUUGAUACCAAUUGAAUUUCUUAACCUGACCAGUUUUUGUCAAUAUUUUACUAUCAAAGAUAGAGGAAGCCACAUAAAUUAGGGAAAAUCUUGGGAGGUGCCAACAGAACUGUGUCAUCGUCCCACAACAUCAGAAUUAUAUUCUGUGAUUUUCACAAUUAAUUAUCCUUAAUAAAUUUGUUAUCAGUCACCAAGAACAAAGAAUUUCCUUGUUUGAAAAAAUAAUUCCAGUGUAUGGUGCAGGUAAGAAAAUUGAGUUCUAUACAAGGUACUUAGAUUGUGCAGUGUUUAUGGCCAUGGGGGUUGGUUACUGGAAAUGAUAAAACCUACAAAAAUGUCGAGGGUUCAAAUCCCUUCUUAUACAGGGAAUGGGAAGGGAUUUGUUAUAUAUGUAUGUAAUAUUUUAAAAAAUCAAAGUUUAAAAUUAACUAGUAGUGAUAGCUUAUUUUGCAAACCAAAAGACGGGAAAUCCAGUGAAAUUUAGAACCUUAACUAAUUUUUUUCUUUUUUCCCCUCCCAAAUGAUUCCGUUUUCUGUUGCAGGUAAGCCAAAUUCUGUACGAGGUACUGAGGUUAUAUUCACCAGCACCUCUGCUUACUCGAGCUAAUGUUAAGGAGAUUAAGCUAGGAGAAAUUGUUAUACCAUCUGGAGUUUUACUUUCAUUGCCAAUAAUGCUUGUUCAUCAUGAUCAUGAAUACUGGGGCGAUGAUGCAAAAAAGUUCAACCCAGAUAGGUUUUCAGAAGGAGUCUCAAAGGCAUCGAAGAAUCAAGUUUCAUUCUUCUCAUUUGGUUGGGGUCCUCGAAUCUGCCUUGGACAAAACUUUGCUCUGUUGGAAUCGAAAUUAGCUUUAGCAAUGAUUUUGCAGAAGUUCACUUUCCAGCUUUCACCAACUUAUAUGCAUGCUCCUACUCGUGGGGUAACUGUAUAUCCACAGCA
rnacentral:lncRNA from 1 species